UUCCGCACCAUACACAGCAUCCUUGACAGGGACGAGCCACUCUUUGACAUUUGGGUUCGAAAAUUGCUUCACCUCCGCAUCAUCGAGCACAUUGUGAACAACCACGAGUUUCCUCUUCAACUCGUUGAGGAGUUCAUCGCUAAGGCUCCGUCGCCGAAUGAAGUUUAUGAGCUCUGGAGAAGCCAACCUUUCGAAUAGAACUUGAAGCGAAGUUGAGAGGAGGGCGUCCGCCAUAUCUGUGUCGACUGUUGCUUUGCAAUAGGAAUUCAGAGGAUUGGUUUCUGUUACCGCGAUACCACCAAACUGCAAAAGACUGGGUUUGGAUUACCACACUGCAGAAUGCUUGAAGGAAUCAUUAUUGGUGGUGGACCCAGCUGCCAGAUAUUGGUGGUGGACCCAGCUACACUGCAGAAUGCUUGAAGUUAUUGGUGGUGACCCAGCUGCCAAUAUUUGUCAAACACCAUAGUGGUGAGAAAAAGAACAGGAAAAGCGAGUGGGAGGUAGAUGCGCUUUCCCCAAGGAAAGCAGAAUCAACAACAGCAUUCGGUAUUUUUCUUUUUCAUCUACGCAUUUCUUCUUUCUUUCUUCUAGUAUUAUUAUUAGUAGACAUAUACACACAAAUAUUUGUUUAUAACAUUUUCAUUCUUAAUAUUAUAAAAUUUAUUAUUAAUAAUAUUUAUACUAAUAUUAUUUUUUAAUAAUUAUAUUAGUAUCAGGAUUUUAUAAUUAGUAUCCUUACUUUUAUUGCUUAUAAUAAUAAUUAUUAUUAUUAUAUUAUGUUAUUAUUAAAAUUUAUUAGUAUUUUCACAUAAACAAUGAUAUAUGCAUAAGACAUAUUAAAAUUUUGAAUAUUAUGGUUAUUAUUAUUUAAUAAUAAUAUUAUUAUUUGAUUCAAAAAAAGUUUAUAAUAUAAUAAUAACAAAAAUAAUUUUUUUAAUAAAAUAAAUUAUAAAAAUAUAAUAAUUUUAUUAUUUAUAAAAUACAUUUAUUUUAAUGCAAUUAAAAAAAUUAAAAUAAUUUUAAAAAAUUUAAAAAUUUUCAAAAAAAAGUUAAAUGGGACGGGAUUAGGAUGGGAUCGAUCCAUCCCAAUGUCGUCCCGUUGUCAUCCCUAACUCAUCUUGUGAUAAUUAAGGCCAUUUUUUAUCAUUGUUUUUUUAAAAUGGUCUUUUAUCCUUAAUAUAUAUAUAUAUAAUAAUUAGAAAUAAAACAUAAUUUUUGUUUUUAAAAAUAAAAAAUAAGGCAUUUUUAGAUCAUAUCCUUUUAGUUACUUUUAUUUGUUUUUAAAAAGUAAUUAUAUAAAUAUAAAAAAUAAAAUAAUUUAAAUAAAAUUUAUUUUUAAAAUAUAGAAAAUUAGUUAAUAACACUUUAUCUUCUCAAGCUCUUGUUUUAUAAAAUAUCAUAAAAUAAUUUUCAAAAACUUUUUUUUUUCACAAUUUUGACAAACAAAACGUGUUGCAAUAAUGCACUUAAAUUCAAUGAACCUAAAAGCCAAAUGUGCAGUGUUGACUUUUCAACAGAGAGUUCACACAUGCCCAUUUUUUUAAUUAAAGCACUAUUGAUAUAAAAUAUAUAUUUAAAUAAAAAUUAGACUUUUAAAAAAAUUAAAAUAUAUUUUUAAAAUUAAAAUAUAUUUUUAAAAUGUUAAAAAAAUAUUUACAAUAUUUCCUUAAAAAAAACAUCUUCCAAAAACAUUUCUUUAAAAAAUACUUCCACCGAUAACAAUUUAGACACACUUGUGAUUUAAUAGUUAAAUAUUCUUUCCAACAGGAAUUCAACUAUCAGUUUGUAUUACCACGAUACCACCAAACUGCAAAAGACUAAUUUUGGAUUACCAAAAUGCAGAAGAGCUGAAGGAAUCAUUGAUGGUGGACGACCCAGAUGUCCACAUUAUUUGUCAGACACCAUAAUUGAGUGAUGAGGAAAUGAAAGAAAAGAAAAUAAAAAACAAAAAAGGUGAUGCCAAACAUGGUCUUAUAAGGUGGGUGGAGCGAAAGCAACAAAGGAAACUAGCAGGAUUUUUCAUUGCUAUUCCAUACCUUAAAGGACAAAUUUUGAAUUACCAAAAUACAAAAGACUUGAAGGAAUCAUUGAUGGUGGUGGACCAGAUGUCCACAUUAUUUGCCAAACACCAUAAUUGAGUGAUGACAAAACAAAAGAAAAAGCAAAAAAGGUGAUGCCAACAUGGUCUUGUAAGGUGGGUGGAGCAAAAGCAACAAAACAAACUAGUAGGAUUUUUUUAUUGCUAUUCCAUAUCUCAAAUGACUAAUUUUGAAUUACCAAAAUAUAGAAGACAUGAAGGAAUCAUUGAUGGUGGUGGACCAAGAUGUUCACAUUAUUUGCCAAACACCAUAAUUGAGUGAUGAGAAAAUGAAAAACAAAAAAGGUGAUGACAAACAUGGUCUUGUAAGGUGGGUGGAGCGAAAGCAACAAAGUAAACUAGCAAGACUUUUCGUUGCUAUUCCAUACUUCAAAGGAUUGAUUUUGAAUCAUCAAAAUACAGAAUACUUGAUGGAAUCAUUGAUGGUGGUGGACCCCGAUGUCCAUAUUAUUUGCCAAACACCAUAAUUGAGUGAUGAGAAAAUGAAAAAAAAAAAAAAGUUAAGAAAAAACAAAGAAGUGAUGCCAAACAUGGUGUCGUGAGGUGGGUGGAGCAAAAACAACAAAACAAACUAGUAGGAUUUUUUGUUGUUAUUCCAUACUGAGAAAAUAAAGGGCUAUUCUAAAUAGAUAAAAACACCCAAGAGAGGAGGUGAAUAGAAGUUAAAAAAUUUCUUUUUAAACACAAUAAAAUUAAGCAUAAGAAGUACAAAUAUAAAGAAGUAAGGUUAUAGAAAGUAAACUCAAAUUUAUAGUGGUUCGACACUUCCUUACUUACAUCCACUCUCCUCAAGCUCCUAAUCGAGUGAGGGUUCCACUUAUACUUGAAGUUUCAACCAAACUUCUAAUCACUUUUUACACUUGGAUUCCAUCUCCAAUGGACUCUUACACAAUCUUUUCAAGUCUUUACUCACUUGAAGGUUUUAACACUCAAUUAACAAGUUUGAAUCUCUCAACCUAGCUCAACAAUGACUCAAAUACAACUCAAGGCUAGGAUGAAUCACUAAGGUGCACUAAAGAAUAUGCAAAUGAAAAUUUAAUGCACUAAUAAAAUAAUGAGAGCUUUUAUGGCAAUAAUAAGUAGGUAAACAAAUAAAUGCAAGUGUUCUCUUACUCAUAAAUGAGGUAGAGCUCUCAAUUUAUAGGUUUCUAACCUCAGGAGCUAAAAAGCCAAAAAACAGUCUCAACUGGUUGAACUGGGGGUUGACUGGUUCAUUAGCCGUUGGAACAUUAAAUGCUUGGCAGGUGACCGUUACCCUCGACCAAACCUUAACUGAGAAGGCAAAUCCAUCAACCAGGAAAGAAAGGCUACUAGAAGAGAGAGAAUGUUUUUCACAUCUCUCAACCGGACCUUGACAUAGAAAGAGUAAUCGGUAGACCGAUACCUUAGCUGAUUGAGCCGAUUGGCCAGUGCCUCGACUAGUUCACCAUUUUUAGUCUGAAAACCUAUCUUUUUCUGGUCUUUUUGCUUCUAGCACUUAGGUAAGGACUUUAGAUAAAAUAAUAUGUCAAUUUUGAAAUGUUUUGCCUAAGGUUCAUUUGAUAGAACUCGGAUUUUGAUGGAAAUGUAACUUUAAUGCAUAAACCGAGUUUUAAAGAUGUAUGAAAUGAUAUGAAUACCCUAAGUACACUCAUGCAUUCAUCUUACGUAUGUUUCCUAUGAUUAAAAGGUCGUUCAAAAGUCUUGAUCUUGCAUUCAUUAGGUCCUUUAAUGAAUUUCCAAAUUAACACCUGAAAUUCUUUAUAAUUCAAAUCAAUUAGUAACUUAACCAUGAUUUGUUAUAAUCAAAACAUGAUUAGGAGAAUCAUUGGGCUAACACAUACCUCAAAGGACUAAUUUUGAAUUACCAAAAUAUAGAAGACUUGAAGGAAUCACUAAUCUUUUUAUAAUUUAGAAAAAUAAGUAAAACGAGUUUGAAGAAAUGUAUAAAAAUAAUUUAUUAAAUUUAAAUUUAUUUCUUAUUUUCCUUCAUUUUUUCUUUUUUUCUACUUUUUCUUUCUAUUUUCUUUCCUUCUCGUUUUCCCUCAAAUUUUCCAAGAGCCAAAUAUAGCUUAAAGGUUUAGAAUCUUAUGCACAAGACUUUCAAUUUUUUUUACAAUAUUAUUUUAUUAGUUAAGAAUUAAAAUUUAAUGUACCAUAUCUAACACUAACAAAAAAAUUUAUAACAACCAAUCUUAUCUUUUAAGAAUAUAUUGUUUAAAUGAGAUUAAAAAUUAAAAAUAAAUUUUAAUUCAUUUAACAACUAAAUUAAAAUGAAAUUUAUAUAUAUAUAUCAUAAAUUUAUACAAUUUUGAAUCAUUUUAUAUGGAGGAUUGAGAAUGGAGAGAUUGAAGAAUUGUUUGGUGACGAGGAGAUUGAUCGAAGAUUUUAUAGUCUUAAGGUUCUAUGGGAUGAAAUUUUUUGUAAAGAGUUUAAAUUUUUGUAAAAAAUAAAAUUAGUUUUAUGUUAUUUGAUUUCAUGGAAAUACAAAGUUUUAAUUCAAAGAUUAUGUUUUAAAAAUAUUAUUUUUAAAAUAUAUUUAGUAAAGAUUUAUAAAAAUUUAAAAUUAAAAUUAGUUAAUCUAUCAACUAAAUUAAAAUAAGAUUUAUAUAUUAUUUUUAUAGAUUUACAUGUGUAAAAUCUUUAAAAUGCCUCAACUUAAAAUAUCCUUACAAAAUUUCAUUAAUCUACUAGCAAUCUGCAUAUUGUCUCUACAUAGAGUCAAUUUGCAUUAGGAUGAAUACCAUCAUAAUAAUAAUUACGCUCCACAUAUGAUGUAUCUUAACAUCCACUUGGAGGUUAAAAAAUAAUUAAAGUAAGGGAAACUAAUAUAUUUAAAAUUUAAAAAUCAUUAUGAAGAUUUGGACAAUAAUUCAAGUAGGCAUCUUUGAAAUUUGGCUUCCAAAUCCCUUUGUCAAUAUACACCACCCUAUGACAAUUAAAUAAAUUAAAAGAAGGAAAAAAAAUGUUAAAGGAAUGACAAAACAUAGGGAACAAUUAUAUUUAAGGAGUGGAUGGAGUUGAUAAUGACUAAAGGGUACAAAUCUUGCAUAAUUGAACUAAAAAGGUAGAAAAGGUUUGUAGAUUGUUGUGGAAGAUAUAAACCCACUUUGUGAGUCAAAAAUGCUCAAAAUACCCUUAAGGGUGUUUUUUAAAAAAGGACAAUUAAGUACUCAUGAUAAUUAAUAUAUUAAGAUUUCAAGAAAAAUUAAUAAUAAAUAAAAUCUUUUUCUAAAUCUAUUUAACAAUCAUAUAGUUUUUAUUUUAUUUUAUUUUUUCAAGUGGCAACUAUUAUCUUAAUUUAUUUUUCAUUUUAAGGUUCAAUUAUUAUUAUUCUUUAUUUUGAAAUUUAAUUAAAUGAAACUGUAUAAGACAUGUUUAUAUUAAUUAGCUAAAAAGGAUAGAUUUUUUAGCAAUAUGAUUAAAAUAAAUAAAAACAAGGAAUUUGAUUUUCUUUAUAAAAUAGAUUAGGAAAAGUAUAUUUCGAUACAUUCGUAUGAAAAAAAAAUUCAUAAAAUAGGAACUCAAGUUUAUAAAAUACAAAUUUUAAGCAUUCAUCUAAAAAUAAUUAUCAUUUCAUGCAUUUUUUUUGUCAAAUAUAUUAUAUUUGAUAAUUUAGGUAUUAUAUUUUAAUAAUAUAAGUAGUACCUUUGACCCCCAUAAAACUUGAAUUAUUUUAAAUAGUUUCUAUUAUAUAAUUAUUUAACCAUUUGAUAUAAAUAUUAAAUAAUAAAAAAUAUAUCAUUUUUUAAAGAAUUUUAAUUAUAUUUGACUUUCUUUUGUAUUUUCUAUGGUGUAAUUCACAUAUGAGAAAAUCAUUUUCUUUAACAUUUUUUUUUCUUUCCUUAAUAAUUUUCGAGAACCAAACAAGGCUUGUAGGUUUGAAUUAUAGGGUAUAGAUGCCAAAAAUACCAGAAUGAGUUUGGGUUUUCAUGCUAAAUGUCUUUAUUAUUAUUUGGUAGCACUUUUCCAAAAUUGUUCCAUUCCCAAAACCACUUAAUUUGCUUAAAUAUUUUUACCUCACGAUAUCAUAACAUUAUAAUGGAAUAGAUUUUGUUGGUGUUCAAAUCAUGUCAACUCAAUUUCCAAACCAUUCGGAUUGUCAUUUGGUGAAAAAUAGAAAGAAAUUUUACUUUAUUGAAAAGCAUUUCAUUUUGAUUUGAAUAUGCUGCAAUGAAAUAGUUACUAAACCAUGGGGUAGCAGAAGAAGUAAUCGAGAAAAUGAAGAAGGAUGUUCAAGAAUUCUUUAUGCUGCCAUUGGAGAAGUUUUCAAGAUUUCUCCUGAGUAGAAAACUUAAUGGUAAGAGUACAAUAAGUCAUAUGAAAUUGGAGAACUGAAAGAGCAUAAGAACCAUGUUUUAUUAAAAGACCUGUGAAAGUUUAAUCAGUCAUGGAACUACUAAGAGGGGAUGAAUUAACAGUUUUCUUAAAUUUUGUCCAAAGUUAUGAAUUUUUAUUUUUUAUAAUUUUUUUUUACUUAAAUUGAAACUUAUUAAUCAAGGUAAGAUUUCAGCCACAUCGAGAAACAAUUUACGUGAAAAGGGACUGAUAAAAUCUUGAGUUUACAGAUGUAAAAACCAUAAGGCCAAAGACUGUAGAACUCCAACCCACUGAAUCAAGAAUAGAAACACAAAUUUAUCUACCAACCUACACUAAUCUCAUAUCUACAAUGCAACACCAUCGUACUCUUAAGUGACUUGAAAGGAUGUGAAUAUUUCUCACAAACUUCAUAAUGAAAUUCAAAUUAGCUCUGAGAGUUUUGGGUUAGGCACAAAGAGUAAUAAUGCAUAGCUUUUGUGUGUGAGUUUUUAAGUGAACUUAAGACUCAAUUUAAAGCAUGUAUUUUACUAAAAAUAAAAAAAUAAAUUUAAGAAACUUCAAGAAUUUUGGAAAGAUAAAUUUUAAAAAAAAUUCAAAGAGAGUCAGAAAAUGUUUCCUUUUUAAAUUCUCAAUUUAAUUUAUUUUCAAAUUUAUUAAGAGUUUAAGAAAUAUUUUCUUUUUAAAUUAUCAAUUUAAAACUCUCUUUUAAAUUAAUUUUAUUAUUAAUUUUCAUGCAAGUCUACUCUAUACAUUUUACAUCGUUAUUCUCAAUUAACUCAACAAUAUUAGAGUGUAACAUCCCCAAUUGAUUUUGCACCAACCUUAAGUCUUCAAAGACAAUGAUUGAGGCAUUUCUUCUCCUAUUUUCUCCGAUGUAGAAAAAAAACUUGAAUAAGGUUAAAGCUGGUCUAUAGCAAAAAGUCUUAAUUUGAGUUAGCCUCUUUUUUUUUUUCCAAAUGAUAUGCAGGUCCAUCUAGCCUUCAACUCAAAUUUUUUAUUCAAAAAUCACAUGUGGAUAUGUGAACAAGUAAAAGUUGAGUUUUACCUAACAAAUCAUUUUGAAAAUUAGGAAAUUUAAAAGGUAUUAGUUUGUUAAACUCACCACCCCUGUCUAUUCUACAAAACAAGAAGAUUAGCAAAGAAAAAGUAUUCAUAUUUGUACUACAAAAUAAAAAGAUUAGCAAAGAGAGAAAUUGUACCCAUGAGUGCAGAGUUUUGGGUUAAAACAACCCUUUUGAUGGGAAAAAUAUUAAAUUUAACCACUUUGUCAAACUAAUGUGUAAAAUGAUCCUUUUAUUAUCACAUAGGAGUCAUAUCACUAAUAUAUAUAUAUAUAUAUAUAUAUAUAUUUAAUUUAAGUUGAAGCCUCAAUUGCCAAUUAAGGCUUCAAUUAUCAAUUAUGACUUUAUUUUUAACCCGAAACCUUACUUGCCAAUUGAGGUUUCAACUAAAAAAAGAAACCUCAAUCGUCAACUAAGACUUAAUUUUUUAAUUGAAGCCUCAAUUGACAAUUGCGGUUUUAUUUUAAAACUGAAAUCUCAAUUGUCAAUUGAGGCUUUACUUUUGUGGAAGGAUUAUGUGACACUCACGUUACUAGAAAAAAGCCAUACUGAAUAUAAGUUUCAAAAGUGGCUUAAAAGGUAUAAAUUUUAUGAUCAAAGAUGCCAUUUUGACCCAAAAUCCCAUGGGUGCAUGAGACUCUAGUUAAUCAUAGAUUUCAUAGAUAAAAAUCAGAGUUAGGAUGAUUCAACCCCUAAGCGUCAAGAAUUCUUUAACAUAAUGUUAGAACAUUUUCCAAUUUAAAUUCGAGAGUUGACUUUAUUUGAAUGUGCUUUUGAUUUUUUUUUUUAAAUAAGCUUCAGUGUUUUUUUUAAAAAGAAAUAAAAAUAAAUAAAAAUAGGAGCUUCUAUAUAGAAAGUAAAAAUUUUAUCCAACAAAUAUAAGGCUCACCUUAUAUCCUUAUAAAAUAAAAAAUUUUAAAUUUUUUAAUACCUCAAAAUUUUUAAUCAAUAUUUAAAUAUCAUUAUAUUUUCAAUAUGAUUCCUUUAAAAGUUAAAAUUACUUAUAUUUUUUAUUUUCAAAAAAAAAAUAUAUAUAUAUAAGUAAUUUUAUGUUUUUUAAUUAUUAAGAUGGAUGAAAUAAUCCCAAAUUUGCAAAAAUAACUUCUUCUAUGUUUGAAUUUGAAAAAUAACUCAUUUCCAACAUAAAUACUCUUCAAUAUUUGGAUUAUUUUAAUAUAAAUUUUAGAAGAAAGUGUUAUUUUGACAGGAAAACAUGAAAGACAUUUUUGUUAAAAAUUGAUCUUUUUUUAAGGCUAAAAUAUAUAUAGGUUUAUAUUUACAAAUUUGAGACUAUUUCGUCCUCUUAAUCAAAUAACUUAAAAAAGAAAAGAGUUAAUUCCACAAGUGGGUUUAAAAUACUCACAAAAUUGCAAUAUAUAUAUAUAUAUAUAUAUAUAUAUAUAUAUAUAUAUAUAUAUAUAUAUAUAUAUAUAUGAAAUUACAAAUUUACCCUCGUGUGUUGAGCACAUGACACUUCCAUUCAUUAAAGCUAACAUUGUUAAAUAACAAAUGUACAUUGCAACUAUUUAAGAAGUAUGAAGGGCACAUUGCUUGAUUUUAGUACAUGGUGAGAAACUUGUUGAACAAGUUAUGUGUAAAGUUUUAUGGUUCAUGUAUGAUAGAAAAUACAGAUCUACUACAACACUGGAUUUGCAAUUUGGGUUAAUAUUUAAAGAAAAGACCAUAGGACAAAAAGAAUUAAACUUUUGGUGGAAAACAAUAAAGAAAGGACUACAUGGAAAAAGGGAAGAGAUCAUUAUAAAGGAAGAUUAUUGAAUAGAAAUAAUUCCAAGAACCUAAGGCAAGACAUAGAGUAUCACUACUACUAUCACAAAAAGGGGUAUAUCAUAAAAUUUAUGAAAUUUUGAAAAAGACCUAAAAAAUGAAGAAAAAAAAAAACAAAUCAAAGAAGCCUACAAGUGUAACUAGUGUUCUUAAAGUUGCGAAAUGAAGGUAAUAAAUCAAAAGUAGAUUUGUUAAUAGUUUUUAAAAUGCUUGAAUUAGGAAUUGUCUACUUGUACCAUACAAGCCCUUGUAGAGACUGGUUUGACAUGUAAAUUGUUUGUAAAAUCAUUUUAAUGGGCAAUAAUGCACCAAGUUGCUCCACGAGAAGGGGAGGGGUUUGUGAAACCAUCACUUGUCAUGACAUACAUCGUCGGGUAAUCACGGAUGAGGGCAUCCACGGGAGGCCAAUGUCUACCCUCGCUCCACACCCCUCUAGUACAAGGCUCUAGGAGGGAGAGAGGCAACAAGUGUGUGACACCAAGGUAAAUAUGCUUGACCUUAUGGCUUUGGGAGCAACUUGCAUUGAAAGACUUGAUGAUUCACAAGAUUCUACAAUUCAUACAAAGUAUUGCAUUUUGCGACGUUCUUCAUCAAUAAGAGAGCCUAGAUAUCCAUUGUCAAGAAUUCUUUAUGUAUGAAAACAAAGGCGCCUAACCGACAUGCCCAAGAUCAAGGCAACUGGAGCGUGUUGCUUCGCCCAAGUUACUUAGCGCGUUUUGUGCCAAAGUUUGUUGUUCGCUCAAGAGGGCUUUUGUGAAUCUUUGUAAUAAAGGGAUAAUACAGAGUGGGCCGUAAUUUAGCAUCUUACACGCUUAGUUUCUUCCAUUGGUGGCAUAUAUUAUUUUGUCUGUCAUUGGUGAUUAUUUAAUAAAACUAUGAGAGUAUUUCAUGAAAUAUAAAUAAGAGGUUUUUAGGAUAUUUAAUCGAUGGUAAACAAAAGUUGAAAACUAAGUAGGGAGGAAGAUAAAAUAUUUUAGAUUUGAUAGUGGACUUGAGCAUUAGAACAAGAAGUUCACAAAGUAUUGCGAGAAUUCUUAUAUUACUUAACAUCACAUGUAAAGAAAUUACAAAGCAAAAUGGAGUGGUUGAAAAGAUGAAUAGAACACCAUUGGAAUGACUAGGUGGCUAAGAUUAACCAUUGGGUUACUUAAGAAUUUAAGGGCUAAAGCUAUCAACAUAACUUAUCAUGUAAUUACUUAGUUGUCAAGUUUUACAAUUAUUUUCAAUAUUCCAAAAGAAGUGUCAAGUAAAUCAAUUGACUUUUCAUCUAUUGAAAUAUUUGAUUGUUGCACUUAUAUUCAUAUAUAGGUGAAAAAAAAAUUCAAUCCAAAAUAAAAAAGGUAUAUAUUCCUUGGGUUUGAAAAAAGGAUUGAUUAAAGACUAUAGACUUUGGGAUCCAACAAUUAAAGAAAAAAAAGUGGUGAGCAGAGAUGAAUUCAAUGAAAAACAUAUGUUAAAGAAAGAUCAAGGACAAAUGAAAUUGGUAUUGAAAAAAAAUUCAACUACAUGACCAAUCAUCGAGAUGAAAUUUGAGAAAAAUGUCAUUAAAUAUGAAAUCCCUCCUAAUUGAUGUCCCUAUUAGAACUUUAUAUGGGCAUCUUUCUCUAUUGCUCUAAAGAAUCAUCGAAUUGGGUAAGGACAUCAAUUUUAAGAUUUUAAUUUUUUUUCAUUAUUUAUUGGAAUAGGAGAUCUUUAAAUUUUUUUGGGGCUCAAUUAGGAAGGAUGAUAGUUAUCAAUGUGUUGGUGCUAUGUCAAAUGAGAAUCCAAUGCACAUGUUGACUAAAGUUGUUCUUAAGGAUAAGUUCAAGCAUUGGUUGAAUGUCAUUAAUUUUUCAUUUUGUAGAACAUGGAAGGUCAAUUUUAUCGAAGAGCCAGGUCAAUCAACUUCUAUUAGGACUUCCAUUGAUUCUUGAUUUGACUAGAGGGACUCCUAGCAGUAAAUUUGUAUGAAGGGGCCCUACGGAGAUGCAAGAGCUGCCAAUCGGAUCGACCAAUAAAUGAUAGGCCCAUGCAGAGAUGUCCCUGAAAUAGGGGAUUGGUUGAUUGGAAAGCUUAGGCAGAGUAUAAAGGAGAACAAUUUAGCAUUUUGGGAAAAGCACAUAUGAAGAUGUUUACAAGUUUGGAAAUUUGAGUUAAAGAAGAGAUGGUCUAAAAAUGUUUCAAAUUUCAAUUUUAUGUUUUUCUAAGUUUGAUAUAUCCUAUUUGGAUAUUUGGGAAGUCUUCUCUUGUUACAUAAGGUAGUCCUAUGAUGAGAUUUGUUAUGAAAAUAGGUUCUUCCUCGUGUGAAAUAUUCCUAUGAAAUUAAGAAGGAAUAUAGGAAGAGUUUUUAUUGAAAUUAUGAAUCUUUUUUUUAUGUAAUUAGAACUAAAAUAUGAGAGUUUUAGAAUUGUAAUUACACCUUUGAAUAUAAAUAAUUGAUAAUAGUGAAUUAAUUUACCUUCUCCCUCUAGAUGUAGGUAAAUGCUAAAUUAUGUUAAAUCUUGUAUUCUCAUAUGAUUUUUUUUUUCAUUUAUUUUUCAUUUUCUUGCCCAUUUCUAACUUGCUACUACAUAAUAACAGGUGGUAUCAGGCUUUUUGUGUUUGCACAACAAAUGGUCUCAGUUUUUCCAGCACCACAAAAAUGAUAUUUUACUUAAUUGCUCCUCAGUGGAAAAGUUGGAAAGAAAAAUUAAAUCAUCGACUACACCUUUUUUUUUUUUUCCAAAACUUUUCUUGUCUUUGUGCAAGAAAAUUAGUAUAUUUUCUCUUUAGUAUUUGUUUCUCAUUUAUAUAUAUAUAUAUAUAUAUAUUCAAAUGGAACCUUAAUCAUCUUUUAUAUGAAGUAUAAAAGAAUUAGAAAAUAUUCAAAUUUUAAAUGAUUUUUAUUAUACUUUGUCCACUUCCUAUUUCAUAUAUCAAAUUACAAUAGAAUUUAAAAUUCUUUUAUAAGUUUUUUCUCCCUUUGCUACCACAUAAACGCAAAGACAGUAUGUGAGUUAAAUACCUUAAAAGAAAAAGAAAUUAAAAUGUGAUACAAAACAAAAGUAACCUCUUUAAAUUCAAGGAAACAAAACACUAAACUUUUUCAUGUAUUUUAUUCCAUUUAUAAAUGCAACAUGACAAAAAUAGACAAAAAUAUAAAUGGAAACCCUUUGGGUCCUUUAUUUUAUAUUUUAUCAACUUCAACCAAUUCUAUUUCUAUAGCACAACCGAUAUUAUAAAGUUCAAUGAGUAUAUAAUAUAUAAAGAUACUAAUCAAUACGAAUUAUUCUUUCUUUCAAAUGGCUACUUGUAUUAAAAAUUAAAUGUAAUUCCUCCUAAACAAUAAAAUAUGUUGACACGAUUUCAAUGAAUAUACAGUACAUAAAGAUAUGACCAAUUAGUACGAAUUAUUCUUUCUUUUAAAUAGCUACUUAUACUAAAAUAUAAGUAAACAUAAUUCCUCCUAGAUAAUAAAAUAUGUUGACACAAGGAGGAAUAUAUUUACUAAUUAUAUCAUUUGCAAUAGCCUCAAUCUCGUGACGUUCUUCGAACCAACCAUAGACUUUAUUGAGAUAGGUUAACCAAGGGAGCUUCCACUCUCAUAACUCGUAUAUGAAAAUUUCAUCUUGUACAACUCAAAUAGAAACCCAUAAAUACCAGUUGAAACCAAAAUGUAAUAAAUAAAUAAAAACAUAUUUCAAUGGAUCCAAUUAGUAUUUUUCUGAUCUCGGAUAAACAAACAAAUUUUUCUUCAUUUUGUUUUUUUUUCCAUUAAUCUUUGUAAGUAAAUUAUAUUUUAAUUUAACAAAGCACUAAACUUUACUUUAAUUUUCAUGCAGGAUCAACUAGCUUAUCAUAAUAAAAUUUAUCAAUAUAGCUGAGCAGAGAUUUGAUGUAAUAAUACCAUACAAAAUUCAAGUAAAAUUAAAUUAAUCAAAUAGGACACUACGGUCAUAUUUGGAUACAUAUUCUAUUUUUUAUUUUUAAAAUUAAAAUUUUGAUAUAAAAUAUGACAACCCUUUGUAUAAAAAAUAAAAAUUUAUCCUAUAAUCUUAAAACUACUUUUCAAUAUUAAAAAAAAAUGAGGACGUGUCCUAAAAUUUUAAACAAAUUUAAAAAUAUUUUUAAAUACCAAGAUAUCCACUUUUUUCUUUUUUAAUAAAAAUUCCUAUAUUUGAUAUAAAACUCUAUUUUAAAAAAUGAAAAAUAAAAAAUGUAUCCAAACAUAAGCAAAAUUGUUAGAUUUCAUUGUGAGAUUUCUUAGAUUCUACAAUUCAUAGUGAAAUGAAGACGAGAGAUAACUGACUGAAUUAUGAAAAAAAAAAUUAACAUUGAUGAGAUUCAAAAAUGCUAGUUAAUGAAAGAGUUUCUCCGCCAGGAUGACUAAGAAAAAUGCUGAAAAAUGUGUCAUGCCCAAAGCAAUGUUACAAUGAAGAAUAGAAUGAGAGCUAACCCGAAACAAAAUCCGACAAUCGCCAUGAAAGCCUGGAUGCAGAGGAAAUGUAACUAGAGACAUGUAAGGAAUCAUUAAGCAAGUGAGAACAAUAUCAAAAUCUCAUGUACGACUUACUUACCUUUCCCUGAGAUUCAAACUUGAAUUUUACUGUAAACCAUGACAAUCCUCUAUCUACAAUAGGUGCAAGUGCAAGGGCCCUGCAUGAGAAGCACCUCUACAAAAAUCACAGAAAACCCAAAGGAAAAAAAAAAAAAAAGAGUAAAUAAAUAGAAACUAGUCUAUCAGAAACCAGGAGGCUGCAACAAAUAAUCUCCAAAUGUCAGAUUUAAUAUUUAUUUACAAAUGCCACUAAAAGGCCUUUUCAUCAGAGAAAUCUAGAAUAAAAAAGGAUAAGGAGCCAUUUGGAUUACAGAGGUCAAAGAUUGGGUUGGAUGGGAGCAAGUUUAACCUCCUCAGUGAAAAUGAAAAUGCAAGGCCCAUCAUCAACGCUAGGUUCAAAAAUUGACACCAUUUCUUGAAGACUUUCUUUUUUCAUUCUUCAAUUGUCAUUUUGAUUCAAAGAAGCAGCAGCAUGAUAGACUAAACAAUCAUCAUAAACCCAGUUGCAAGUUAUAAGGAUAAGAAAGAAAAUGAACAGAAAACAUAUAUGAGAGAACUGAUAGGCCAAAAAAAUCAUUGUUGAAGGAAUCGAGCAUAAAUCUCUGAACAAAAUUUAGCUGAAAUUCACUGAUUUUGGGUUAUUUUGUGAUAAGAGCAUUGCAAUAUCCCAAUAAACUGUUACGCUAACUAAAGAUUUAAAACAGAAUUUAGCUGCUUACCCUCCAGCUCUGACAAGUUUAGUGACCUGGCUGCCUGCCCACACCAUAGCCAUGAUUUUGACAAAUCUGCCAAUUGGAUUCCAUGUCAAGAUAUUUUGAAAAACUUGUGCAAAAAGAAACUUUUUGGAAUAAGUUUUUACCUUUCAACUGCCGCCAAAUAACCCAUCCUUCCUGGUGCUGGAGCAAUAUAAAACCUAGAAGCAGCAUAGUGAAUUCAGAGUUAUACUGGUUAUUUGAAAUCUACUCUGAACACCUAUGAUAGAGACUGCAGGAUGUGGUAAAACACUAAGGCAUAUUUCAAACUACAUUAUAAGGUAUUUGAUUAGAAAAUUAAAUAAAUAAAUAAAUAAAUAAAAUAACAUAACAUAAAAUACAAAAAAGAAAAAAAAAAUUAACAAACUGAAUUUGUCCAUAUGCAACAAUAUGCAAUUGUUAGCCAUGAAUCCCAGUUAUGUCGGUUUCCAGUAUUAAUAAUUAAGCAUGAUGUUUAUGAACUAGACCAGCAUUCUAAUAACUCUAGAUUGAAGGGCAUGGAUGUCACAUUUGUAUUCCAUCAUGUGCAACUAACAUCACAUUGAAAUAAUAUCCACUAAAGCAAGUUAAGACCCAGUAUAUCAGAUUAAAUUUUUUCUACCAUGAACAUAAGCUUGAUAAAAAUGAAGAUGGAAAUGCAAUACUUCUUUAUAUGACAUAAUGAAGGGAACCAAAUACAAGGACUCCCCAUUCCAGAUGCAGAAAGCCAAGUUACAACCUUUGCCAAAUAAAGAGAUCCACCAUAAGUUCAUUUUUAGACAUGCUAUAGUUGAAUAUGCCAUCAGUAAGUGAUCAAAAGCCAAUUCAGAUGGGAAUAACAGCCACAAUGUUGGGAAGGUCAAUAACAAAAGCAUUGACUUGAAUGUUGGCAGUGUCAUUUACACUGGCCAUAAGAACCAGAGGUAAUGCAUACAGUUGGUAAGGUGGGGAGGAGGAGAUGAGAAAUUGAAAAGUCUUGAAUUUAUUUGUUUCAUGCAAUUCCGUUUUCCAAUACUCUAUACGAUAAUAUACAUUGUACAGCACAAGAAUAGGGUUGUUUUAAAAUUUUGAACAAAUAAAAAUUUCAUAUCAAUAUCUAAUAUUUAAUAAAAAAGAAUGAAACAAGAGUAAGUACAUUCUCUUCUCCUUAACAUGGUAUUAAAGCAGUCUCCAAACUCUUAACUCCUAGUUGCAUACUUGAUUUGCACUGGAAGUUGCAGUUUGCUCAUUUUGUUAUUCAAGUAAGUUACUUCAAUCUAUCAUAGUUUAAAUGACUUGGGACGGUAGUUGUCAUGGGCACGAAUUUUCCCACAAAUUUUUCGCAUUCACACAGCGCUUAGAAGCCCUCUAAGCCAACAUACUCAAACCCACAUGAGAUUGCAAUCAAGAAAAACCUCACAAAGACACACAAGGCUAUGGAGCUCAAUCCCUAACUUGUAUUUUAUUUCUUCUCUAAAUAACAAUACCAGACAUAGCUUAACAAGACUUCCACAAUCUCUUUGGUGAGUUCAUGCUCUCUCUCAAGCUAUGUAUAUUCUCUAUGAUCUCCAGAUUGCACGAUAAUUCAAAGGGCACUCCAGUCCUCCUUUUAUAGGUGUGACACCAACCACUCCCUAUUUGAUAAGGAGCAACGAAUCCUAGUUCUACUCAAACUACAAUUAAAAUAAGAAUCUAAACUCCUAUUCAAACUCAAAUUACAAUAACAAUUUGAAUUCAACUCUGAACUUUCAAAUGUCUUCGGCCCAUUCCUCUUUCAUUUGAAACUCCUUGUAUCAGGCCACAUAUCAGCCCUUCAAUUCCCUGGUUUGUGGUGCAAUAUAUCUUCCUUAAGCUUGUCCCAAUGCCAAGACAUCUUUGUUGUGUUCUGCCUGAAGUCUACCCACUCUUGUGCCUUGAGUCAGUCCAUUCAUGCAUUUGAAUCAGCUGAUGCAUCCGAUCAGCUUGCUAUAGCGUCUCUAGGCAGCCUACUACAUGUGUCUCUAUGCAACUAGUGUGCAUGCCAAGCCCUCUCUUAGCCUACAGAUCUAGCAAUUUUCCUUGGUGCCAAUCUUUCCUUUGGCUGUAGCCCCUUGUUGUUCCUUGAGCGUGUCAGUCAUGCUCAUAUGUGUUCCCGCAUCUGGAUCACGUCCAUGCUGAGGCAACCUGCCCAAGUUUGCUCUGCCUAGCUGUUGUUAUGGCAUCAUGCCAUGCCCAAGCCCUCUUCUUGGUGCAGCAACGAGUCAUGGCAUUGCACCCAUGACUCCUCAUCUCUAUGCACAAGGCAUUGUGCCCUUGUGCCACGCCACCUCAUUGCACAAGGCAUUUCCCCCUCAUGCUACCGUUGGGAAGGGAAGACUGCAUAGCACCCCAUGUCGUUGCAACCUUGAGUUGCACACCAUCACAUGUCAUGGAGCCCAUAUAUGGUUGCUAGCAAGGCUUGCCCAUGUGCCUUGCUCAUGUUUGAGGACUUGCACCAAAGCCCCUAAGUGUGGCCAUGCCCAUGCCACCUCGUCUCCCUUGAGUCACCCCCACCCUCACCCCCCUUAAAAGAGCAUUUUAAGCCCUUUUAAUUAAUUCAAGAAAAUCUAGAAAAUUUUGCUUCCACUUGGAGUCUCCCUUUUGAAGGUUCCUAUAAAUCUUUUAUCUCUAAGCGAAUUAACCAAGUCACUUAAUUGUUUUGCAACAUUCCUUCCCUUCCCAUAGUGUAUUUCAAGAUCUCUUAAUGAACAAGACAAUUGGUGGAGGGCAUGAAGUAAGUGGAAUUUAUCACCAUAUUGGCCCACCUUUUACUCCAAUUGCUCUACGUACUUCCAUUUCUUCUAUGUAGUGGCACACCUUUCACUACGCAUCUUUAGCAUAUGGGACUUCUAGUUAUAUUGGACUCCAAGUUAAAGCACCAAGUUUGUGAGUCAAGCAAAUAGCAUCACCAUAGUGUUGUUCUAGUCCUUUUUGUUCUAUAAUCAAUAAGAGGAGUACUAGUCCUUUUCAUCUUGUUCAUUUAGACAUUUACAGUUUAUGUAGUGUUGUUCCUAAUGUUGAACUAAACUUUUUUAUUGCUAUUUUAUUAAUUAGAUCAAUGAAAAUGGUAUGAGCAUAAAGAGGCUGAAUAAUAGGUACUAAUCUCUUAAAAAAAACUAUCUUGUAGAAACAUCAUCAGGUGACUAUGCACAAGUAAAUGGUCUGACAAGGCGUGAGAAAAACAUUCAUUUUUGUGCAACAACCAAGUAUUUGCAUCUUAAUCAACCAAAGAAUAAAUGGCUGAAGACAAUAAAUGACUGAACAAAAAGAAAAUCAUAAGUUUUAGGCCAGACACUUUUUUCAUCAAUUAUAUACAACAACAAUAAAUCAAAUAGUCCUAAAUUUCAAAAGAAUAAUGCUCAGCAGCUAUGCAUACUCACAAGUCACAAAUACCUCAUCCUUGACUAAUUUACAUGAAUGAAUUAUUUACUUACCAUACCAAGAGAAACGUUGUAAGAUAGUAUGCAGUAUUCAGGAGUCCAUAGGAUAAUAUUCCAGAAAUUCCAUAUCUCUUCAGUUUCUUUAGAAGACUGAAAGGUUAAGCAAGAAUGAGCUCUCAAUGUAAGUAGACAUGCAUUUCAGCAUACAAAGGGCAAAAGGAUUGAGGUAUCACUUCUUACAGAUUGUUUGCAUGAAAUUCAGUAGUAGAAGAGAAAUUAAAAUGAUUGGGACAAGAUCACUCAUCCAAACAAUAGUUUAUUUACAGAGAAAAGGUCUAAAGCAUAAUCAUGCAGUAGACAAAAUGAAUCUUUUGUGUCAUGUUCCAAUAAUGUUAACAAACUACAUUAAAUUCAUAAGGUUACAUAGAAAAAGAAAGAAAAGACAUUGUUGCAAUAGUUUGGUUGUUACACUGCUAGCACCCAGACUACGACCAAAUCCUUGCAUUGAAAUUGAAUUUCAAACUCCCAAUGUGAAAAAGGAAGAUACAAAAAAGAAAAGAAAAACAGGAGGAAAAAAAAAAAAACAGAGGGAAAGAAAAGAAACAUGGGAUUUCCAUGUAUAAUACAUACAUAUUAUAUCUAUAGAUAAAUGCAUGUAUGUGCAUAUGUCAUAGAGGCUGGUCAGACACAUUUCAAGAAGUUUCACAACUUGCUUUGGAAUGACAAACACGUGGAUCAAUAAAUGGCUUGUCUCCAUUAUUGAGAAAUUGCAGGUAAAUUUCAUCCACUACAGGCAUGGGGUGGCUGGACAAAGUUAUGCCAUUUGGUGGGAUGUAGUGGACUUAAGACAGAAAAUUCUCAAUCAUUCUUCUGUCCCUUGUGCAGUGUUGAAGCUGACAAUAUUAUUGAGCAUACAAGGAAUGUGAUGUAAAACAUCAUUGAGGACCAUGAGCUGCGAAGGCAGGGAGAAAUUAAGUUAUGAUUAAGUUUUGGUGAGGGAUUUUCAGAUGCAGAUCAUAUGGCAAAUUAACUUCAGAGAAUUGCAUGUUUUUAUUCAUUUCCAUACACAUUGAAUAAUCAUAUUUAAAAUCCCUCAUUCACUUGUUUCGCUUCCAUUAGUGCUCCUUCCACAUGCCUAUUAGCAGCAUAGACCUCAUGAUAGUUUGGUAAAGGUAAGACAAUAAAAUUGAAAAAUACAGCUAAAGCCUAAAAUAUUGGCUCAUAAAGAGAGAAACCAUCCAAGUUCUAUCUUAAAUGACUCUACAAGUUCUAAACAGGGAGACAAGGACUUCAACCUGGUCCAUCAAUGCAUAUAAAUGGGUAAUCAUUCCAACAACCAUUACGUUAGAAGUACACUAAAAGAAAAUUAUUAAACAAUGUUGUUUCCAAAAAUUCCAUGUUAAAGAAUAGAAGAACAUACUGCUAUAAAUGAAAUUCAUUCAAAACAGUUCAAACAGUAAAGUUAAGAAUUGUGACUGCAUAUUUUUUUUUAAAAGAAACAAGAAUUGUGACUGCAUAUCACCACACUUGUUUUAUUUAUAAUCCACACAAUGUAUUCUUCCCUAGCAUGUUAUCCCAUUAAGUAACCUCCAGAUAAAAUUCCCUUUCUGACUCUGUCAAUCAGCCAAAAAAUUUGAUGUAAAAUGUAAAAUACAUGGGUACACAAAAACAACUAUAUAAACUGCCAUCCCAUCAUUAAUAAAUCAUUUGUCUAUAACAUAGACUAAUAGCACUGUAAGGCAAGUAGGAAGUACUCUUUUGAUGUGUGCAGUUCUCCUUCACCAUUUUCGCCCUUUGCACUGGAGUCUAUAAAAAUAUGUAUAAGUAGAUUUUUAGAAAUAUCAAGUUUAUCAAAUGUAAAAUAUGGUAUCACAGAAAGCUACACCAUUUUUCUAGUUAUCAUUUGAAAGAUAUUGAUACCUUCAUGGUUGGCAGAGUAGUCAUGACCAUUUGACAUGCCAGAAGCCUAACCUACAACAAAGGCAAUGUUGAAAAAGCAAUAUUCAAAAUUCAAUGAAAAAAACAGAAGACAAACAAAUGAACAAAUAGCAAAUCAUCACACUCAAUUGUUUUCCAAAAAUGAAAAACCAAAUGAAAGGAACAAGGAAUAUAUUGAGAAAAAAACCUAUGAUCAAUGGAUAUGCAGUUGCAUUCUAGCACAUAUAUAGGAUCAAACAAGUAACUAAUCUAGACAUAGCUGCAGCAAAUUUGUGUAUCUCUGAAUGCGUGUCUGCUUUUUGUGGGGGGAUAUUUAUUAUGACAUGUUCUUAGUGCAGACAAACCAUCUGCAUUUACUUGAGGAUUAGGUAAACAUACUUUCCAUUUAAAAUGAGGCCUUGAACAUCAAGCCCCGGUGAGUUUUCAAAUAAGGAAAACAUAAUAGCUUUACAAUGAGUCCCAUAGCAAGAAGGCAUGCAAUUCCAUUCAUCAGCAUACCAGAAUAUAGAAUAGUGUGGACAUGUGGACACAUGCCAGAAUUAGCAUUGGACACACUAACAUGCCAGUCAUACAUAGAAAGACUUUCCAAAGAUAUUAAAGUAAAACACUGGUAGUAAGCAAAUUAGACCCAGAAAAACAUGCAAGUAUAGGCCAAGAUCAAAUCUUAAUUUUAAUUUCCAGAAAAAAAAUAAAAAAUUAUAUCAACCAAUAGAAAUGGUAUCAUCAGCAAUUAACACCAAAACACACCAACAUAUCGGAAUGCAUAUCACGUGUACCAAUCUCCAAUCAGCAUUACACCUGUACAAGUUAGCCUGUAGCAGGUCAUAAUAGGUUCAGACUAUAAAACCUUCCAAAUCUUCCUUUGCAGGGCUUAGAAACUAUUUUCUAAGUAAUUUGCAAUUUUAAAAGCCUGUGACAAAAUUUUGGAUGAAGAGCUUAAACUAUAUACUCACAAACCCACUCCAAAAUUUCCUUAAGGUAAUACACAUUUUUUGAAGUCCUUUCCAAUGUCUUCUCUUAUUUGAGUUAGAAAAGCCAAUGUUUUUAUGAAUUGACUACUACGGCUGUUGAGGUUUGAGGUGUAUAACUAAUUUCUUAAUAUAUCAUAAUUUACAUCAGUCAUUAGAAAUUAAGGUUCCAUCCUUUUACACUAAGAAAAUCCUGAGAGCAAUUAAAAAAUACCUUCUUUAAUAUUAUUAAAUUUAAGUUUCCUUUAGGUCUUUGAGUCUAAUAGAAAUUAGUAUAAAAGGAAUUUUAAUUUUCUUACACUAAGAAAAUAAAAAUAAUAGGCAAAAUAAUUUUCAAAUUUUGGAACUUUAUAGGUAAUGCUUAUUAAAAUAAAGCAACAAAGUUUGUCAUUUGCCAAUGAAUGAACCAAUUGUGGAAAACUAUGCAAAAAAUUUUAUUAGCAUGGAAUUUUUUUUUUCUGCCAAUAUAUAGAAUUCAAUUUCAAACCUGCCCCUCCCAACCCACCACUUGCUACUUGAGGCAAGCUUAGAGGCAGAAAACUAUUUACAAUUCUACGUAUGGAUAAAAAUUAUUUCUUAGAUUUUAUGCCAAUUCCAUAUUUAUAGGUAUCAAUUUAUUAUUCUACUGUUGUCAGAAGCUUCAAUUUUGGGCGUCCUCAUGGCUAUGCCACCCUUAAAUGAGAACAACUUUGGUCUUCUGUUUUUCUUUUUGAGCUCUUCAAAUUUUUGCAAGUUACUUCUAUCCAGGUUCUAGGAAACACCCAUUUUUUUAAAUCUCCAAUAAUUUAGGGUUCUGUGGCUGAGGGAAUAGACUUAUUUUUGGUUGAAGCACAUAAAAUUCUUGGCUAUUUUUUUAUUUUUUAUUUUGCCAUCAGGUCCUUUUAGGUUGAUUUUUCUACUUAUUUUUCACCCACCAAUUAACAUUGCCCUAACUCUGUUAUCUAUCCGAACAAAUGUUUAUGAACUAGCAAAUCAUACUAAAAUUUCUUACUAGUUGACAUGUGCAUCAUCUCAGCAUGUCAUUCCAACACCAAACUACAACCAUAAUCUCACUAACAUCCUAACUGCCUCAAUGAGUAUGGAUUACAGAAAUGCAAUUAAAAUAUACUUCCCUAUUUAAUUUCAUAAUUUUUAUAAUAAUAUUUCAGCAAUAUUUCCACAUAGUAGCUUAUGUGAGAAAUCCCCAUUUCCGUAUAAAAUCGAAAAACCCUAUAGCUUGCGCAUGUAAAUAGAAAAAAAAAAAAAAAAGACAGAUUUUGCAGAAUUGGGAGAGCAGACUCACACCAGCAUGGCCAUUGAUUGAGCAGAAACGCAGAUGACGAUGAUGGUGGUGGAAUUGGGAGAAAUUGUUGAGUUUGUGGAAUGUGGGAACCCUAGGAAUGCUGGGAUUGAAACCCUGGAUUGAAACAAGAGGAUUGUGAGAGAGAAUUGGAAAUUGAAGAAUCAAACACAAAAAAUAAAUCCAAGAAAUAAAAAAGAAGCGUAAAAAUGAAAUAGAGAAGAGUGUGUAUGACGCACCUGAUGAUGUGAAAGCAGCUUCAGCUGGUGAAGGCAAACUUUCGACGGGAGAGACAUGAGCAUACCGGCCUCCGACAACAAUCCCUCCAAAAUAUUCUUUCUAUACCAUUUAUUAUUAUUAUUAUUAUUAUUAUUAUUAUUUUCAGGUUAUUUGAAGUGCAAUGUCUAGCUAUACCAUUUAUUAUUAUUAUUAUUAUUUUAUUGCUAUUAUUAUUUUCAGGUUAUUGAAGUGUAAUGUCCACCAUACCUUAUAUGCCAUCCAUGAUGAAGGCCUUAGAACUCUCCAUGGAGCCUAAAUCUCGGGAUGCUAAUCACCCUAUAAUAACCAGCAUAGAGUAUAUUCAAAGUAUCAUUAAUGACAAAUUUCGAACUUAGGACCAUAUGUCAUUUACUGAGACCACACUUCUUAAUGUUCAUCCUUAGCGACACACUCAUAUGUACCAAAUCAUCCGAUAACCUGUUUUUCCUAUUUUCUCAUUUUUACAAAAAAAAAGAAAAAAUAAGAAUAACUUCUAUUUUUAAAAUUUUAAUUUUUUUUAUAAGUAAAUUUUUGUUCUCAUUAGGACCUGUGGAACCUCCCACAAGUCCUCCCGAAUCAUUUACCACUUGAGUCAUGCCUUAAUGGCUUGUUUUUUUAAAAAAUAAUAACAACUUUUAUAUAAAAAAAAAUACUUAUAAAAAAUAUAUACAUGUCAUUAAAAGUUUAAAGAAAUUUAAAUUUGAUAAUAAUUUUUUAAAUAAUUUAAUGUGUUAAUUGUUCUUAAAAACCGUAAAUAACCUAAAAAAGAACAGUAUGUUUGUAAAUUGACCAAAUUGUUAUAUGGUUUUAAAUAGUCACCUUAACAAUGUUACAAGUGAGUUGAUUAAUUUAUGGUAGAGAAGAAUUACAAUAGAAUUCAAUUAGUUAUCGCAUUUGAAGUCUUUGAUUAUUUGUUGAAUAAUAUUUGCAGCCAAUUAGCUAGGGUUGGCUAACCCAAGCCAAACCUAGUUACCAAUAUGUCCAACCUAUGCUAAACUCGAUUCAAAGUAAGGUUGGUAGUUACUAAACUCAUUAACAACUAAAGUUUCUAUGGAUUCCCACGAGUUUUCAUGGAUUAUCAAAUAAACCACAUAUAAUGGAAUCUCCUAAUAUAUAAAAGACAUAUUUCAAAUUAUAAAUUAAACCAUAUUAUAAAAUAAAAUUUUAAAAGCUAAGUAUAUAUCAAAGUCAUAAAUUAUAUUACUAUUCACUAAUUUUAAUGGUAACAUGAAACACAAGUGUGAAUAUUUAAAAAUAUUUUAGUAAUUAAACAAAAAUGAUAGACUUAUAGUGUAAUGUAAUAAAACUAGCAAAAGUUAUAGUUAUUUCAUUAUCCCUUUUAUAAAUUUCAUAUUUUAAAUAAACUAAUAAAUAAUAUAAUAGUAAUGAAUUUGCUUAGUCUUCAUCAUGUAGAACCAAUUUGAAGAAUUUUUUUUUAACAGGACUGAUUAAUGACUUAAUUAAGGGUAGGUUACAGCUAAAAUAUUUAGUAGGACUGAUUAGUGACUUAAUUAAGGGUAAACUACAGCUAAAAUUUUCCUAGUAGUCUUCCACUAUGGCAAAUUGUGGGAACUAGUAGUGGCCUGUCCAACCUAUAGAGGAAACAAAUAGGUGAGUGAGUUAUUGAAUAUGUGGCUGAGAGUGACCAACCAUUGAGGCUCACAUGAAGUUGUAGUGGCUGAAAGGAAGGGAUAAGAGACCAAAAACAUGCUCAGAGAGAUUCUUGUUAGGAUCAAAUUGGGGGCAUAGAUAUAUCUCUUUGGUAAGAGUUCCCAUAAUUUAGGUAUUAAUGAAAUAGGUAUAAAAUAAUUAUAUAUCUUGAUAUGAUCAUGUUGUUAAUGAUGAUCUAAUGAGUUGAAAUAUUAUGUUUUCAACUGUGUAUAUCUAAUAAAUACAUCAAGUGCUUAAACUUUAAUAUAGAAAUGGUCCACAAUGGCUUGUAUGACUCAUCGUCUUAUAAACAUAUUAUUUAGAUUAGGCUAAAGUGGUCAAAGUAAGAAGAAAAAUUGAUACUUGAUUUGAAGUAUGAAGAAUUCUUCUUAGACUUUGUGUGUAGUGUUGUUAGCUUAUUGUUGUGUUAAAGUCUAUUUUGAUGUAUUUUGGAAAGAAUGACCAACUAGAACCACAAUAAGAUGUUGCAAAACUUAUUUAAACAAGGGCUUGUGAGCAAGAUUUUUUUUUUUCCCUUUCAUGUACAAAUAGUAUGAUGAAUGAAAAUUUGAUUCUCGAUUGUAAUUAGUGUUUUCUUUAAGUUUUAAAUCAUGCAAUGAAUACUUAAAAUUAGCUUACGAUGUCAAAGAAUGUAAGUAAACAAGGUUUUACAUGUUGGAUAUAUAAUAAAUUCAAAACCUUUACCUUCCACAUUGAAUGAUUACAUUUUUUCUUUAAGUGCCCUUUAAUCAUUCUCAUUUUGUUUAAUCAUUUUCUAUAAUGUCUCGAGCAUAGUAGAUUUCUAUAAAUUUACAUGAGCAUUCCUUAACUCUUCUUGAGUGAUCCUAAACUUAGCAUUGAAACAAUCAUAAUUUAGGCGAAGAUGCUUAUACGUCUUCAUAAUCAUCCUUGGUUGCUAGCCAUUUUUCCUUAAUUACUUUAGGAUGUUUAGUGAAGAUGAUUACAAAUAUUAACUAGUUCACUCAAACAUUUUUGUAUGAGUGUAGAACAAUUUUGCAUUCUUUCCACAUCACUUAUGCAUCUUCGUUCCAAGAAAUAAGAUAUAGAACUCUUAUGUUUUGCCUACACCACUUGGUUCUCCAACCCAUUGUGCUUAUGCAUCCUUUUUAUAUCACAUAUGCGACUUGCUUCUCAUUAAGAUAUUUCACUUACAUGUUCUUGUAUAUGCAUAAUUUAGGAAAAAAUAUUUAAAAAUAGAAAAAUAGAUUUUAAUACAUAUAUUUGGAACAAUUAAACUCAAACUAUGCAAGUGACCUUGUCUACUAUGUAGGUGACUUUGUUUACUACAUAGGCAAAGUAUAUGACAGUGAUAGUCAAGGAAGCUAUGUGGUUGCAUGGUUUAGUGGAGAAUUUAAGAGUAAAGCAAGAUCACAUUGUGAUUUAUUAUGAUAAUGGGAGUGCCCUAAAUUUAUUUAAGAAUAAAAUUCAUCACUCAUUGGUAAGGCAUAUUGAUGUCUAAUUUCAUUUUAUUUAAGAGAUUCUAGAAGAAAGUCAUACCUUAUUUUAGAAAAUUACUGAUGUUAAUGAGGUAGGUCAUAUUUAAAUGUGAUCCAUGUUGAAAGGAUCAAUGUACCUUUAGGUGUGUAGUAGCAAAAUCUUUAAAGAUUGUUUGGUUAGCUUCAUUUAAAUUACUUAGUUAAAUAUUACAUAGUCAAUUAUAUGUUUGACUUUUUGAACUAGAACAUUUAGAUUUUGGUUGUUGUAGUUGUUAUAAUUACUAUUUAGGUUUUUAAAAAGGUAUAAAUUUAUAAUUUUAGUUGGUUUUAUUAGUUUCAUUUAAAAUUCCCAAGAAACUUCAGUGAAGGAAAACAGAGCAAGAGAGUUUUUGAGAAUUGCUUAUAAUUCUUGUAUAUUAUUUUGAUAUCUUUAGUGCAUUCAUCUUAUCAUUACCAUAGAUGAAGGCAUAUUGUCAAACCAUAUAAAUUGUUUAUCUCUUUGUCUAUAUUGAGCUGCCAAGAUCAGUUCCUUGUAAUCCAAUGGCUUAUUUUGAUUCCACGAUGCUACAAUGUAUUGAAUUAAGCAUAGGGAUUAACAAUUCCAAUCAUAAACAAUAAGAGAUCCUCCCCAACAGCAUAAAAAACUUGAGAGACCCGAGGCUCGCAUCUCAGAAUAUGCUCUUGAACUAACACUAAAGAUGCCUAGAUUCACCACCACCCUUUCCACCCCAAUGUUGUUAGAAGUAGAAUCUAAUCAAAUGAAGAGUUCCUGAUAGUUGCGAGUUCUUAUGAUUUUUUUCCAUCAUUUUCUGACUUUUUUUUCAUCCAUUACGUACGUCCUUCUGAGUGGAGUUCUCCUUUCAUGGUAUCAGAAAAUCAUACUCAAUGAAUUCGUUAUAACCAGACCAUAACCAGAACCUCCAUGGCGUGUUUUUCCUGUGUUUUUUCUGAAAAUAUAGCUACAUUUAUACAUAUUUUUAAGAAUAUUAAAGGCAUUAUCAAAGGAAGAAACCGAGAAAACUGAUUGUAUAGAAAUCUAUAAUUGUGCUUACUUUCAGUCCUAGUCACAAAGUUUCAACCAGAUAAAUCAUGUCGAGAGAUGCCCAGCAAGUGGUGGUGGUCCAGGAUGCAUCCAGAGAUGUUAGUUCAAGAGCAAUCCUUAGGAUUCUCCAUGACUUAACACUUAAGCCUGGAGAUGACCUUACACUCCUCGGAGUUCUUCACCAGGUUAAUAAUCCUUGUACGCUUUCUUUCAUGGGAGGUAGGAAAAUACGUAAAAAUUCAUGCCUUUUUUUUCUUUUGAGUACAGAAGAAAAAUCCAAGAAGAAAGAAAUAUUAAACAUAGCACCAGGAAAAUGAUAUAUACCAAAAGGGAAAUUGUGCAGGUUUAUAGAUUGAUGAAUGAUGUGUCAGAUUUCCCAAUACAACUAUUUUAUUCUAAGGUAUACUUUGAUAAUAGAGACAACUAUUUUAUGAUCAAAUGAAAAAAUGAGGUAUAACAAUUAACCCAAGACAAAUCCUUAAGUGAUACUUUAGUUUUUUAUGAAAUAAAUGUUCUUUUUAUAUUAGUAUAAAAGAUUAUUUUUUCUUAGUUUCAUUUAGGGAAAAUUUUGAUUUUUUAAAGUUUUAAAGUUGGUUAAUGUAAAAUUUGUUUUUUAUCUUUUAGAUUUUCUUUUCCAUAUUUACAAAAAUAGAUAAUUAAAUAAACUUAGAUAAAAAUAGAAUUUUCAUGUUCACUUGUUUGCCUUAUGAAUUUAUUUUACUAUUAAAAUAGGUGCUUCUUAUUAUUUAAUUUUAAAAGUGAAGAUGCAUGUUUUAAUAAAUUCUAAGAGAGGACAAUGUUUAAAAUAAAAAAUUGAAAUAUCGUGGAAAUUAAUAUUUUAUUUUAAAUACAGACAAUUUCCAUGUAAUUUUGUUUGUAUAUUAUCACUACAAAUCAACGAUGACUCCAAAUAGCCAUUGGCCUUAAGAGAUGUCAAGCUCACAACAAAAAUAAUGUUCUAAGUUCUCUAAAAAUAUUUUAAUUAAACACAAAGGUAGUCCAUCAUCUAAUCAACAUUUGCAUAUACAAAACCAUUUUAGCAAAAGUUACAUCAUCCGUUAGUAUAAGCAAACAUGAAUAAGUAUUUCCUAAUUAAGAAAAAUAUUAAUUCAAAUAUUUUAAAUUGGCCAACAAAUUAGGAUAUUGAAAUAAUGGUCUCUAUAUCAAAUGAGUUAUAAGAAAAGGUAACAUUAUCUUUCAUCUAAAUUUCUAUGCUUUCACAAUCUUCAAAAUUAAUAAAACAAUAAGUUAUCUUUCAUUUGAUGCCAUUGGCUAUAUUGUAUUUUCUCGUGACAAAGUGAUGAUUAUCUUUUUUUUUUUUUUAUGCACUUGAUUGAUUUGGUUUCCACCAAUGUGACUUUAGUGAUUUAUCCUUCGCCGGUUGUUAGGAUAAUGGUAGUGGUUAAUAUGAUGUCGUCAAUAGAAUAACUACCUACUCUAGGUAGUAUGUUGGAUAUGAUGUUAUAAACCUACUUAUAGAUUAAUAUAGUUCAACAAAUACUAAUUUGAGAGAGAGAGAGAUAGGUCUAUGGUGAGUUGUAGUGAAAGGGAAGGAUUAAGGCUAGGGUUUGUGUGGGUAUGAAAAAGAUAAAAACAUUUUUAUUUUCAUAUCCAUUUUUGGAUUUUAAAAAAUAAAAAUAAAUAGGUGGAUAUAGAAAGAGUUCAAGUGGUUCGUUUGCAAUUUCCCUUCAUAAAACAUCACAGUUGUCAAUGAGAUCUAUGCACUAAGUAAUUUUAACAACCUUUGUUUGUGAAUUGCUUGUUACUGCAUUAAGUUUUGGUAUUCUCCUCCAUGUAGGUGAAACAUAUCAUGUUUAUGUAGAAUCAUUAAUAUAGUGUUUAACAGCUUCCAUGAAAAAGAAAGCGUGAGAGCUUGGGGAUAUACUUCCCAACUUAGAGGACAUCUCAAUAGCAAUGAAUAGAUUUUCAUAUAAAUGGUUAAAUAGUAUAUAAAAUAAUCGAAGAUGUCUUGUUUUAGUUUACCUCCUAGGUAGAUAGCCUAGUUACUUCAAGUAGUUUUGGCAACACCAUUUACUAUCAUCUUCAACGAGUAUAUAUCCUUCAAGGCAAGGCCUCACUUUCUUAGCUCAACAAAAAGUUUAUUAUGAUAAGUUAUCUUGAUAACUAAUGACUAAUCUUGGUGUAUAUAUAUAUAGUUAAGAGGGAUGUGAAUCAAUGAGAAAUAGUUUCCACUUUGUGCUAAUGAUAGGUUUGAGUCAAGGUUCAAAUUUUCAUCCAUGGAAGUAUGAAUGUUGAUCAAUAUGAAAUUCUGGUCCAUCUUGUGAUAACAAAUAGUUUAUCAUAUGUAACUCAAAAUUAUUCUUUCUAUACAUUCAUCUUGUGCACCCACCUUUCUGUUUCUUUAUUGUACGUAUCACUUUCUCUUAUUCCAUAAGGAGAAGCCACUAGACUUGAGAAAUCAAUUAGAGAAUGAUACAAUUCCAACAAGAUCGAGUAUGAAACAUUUCUUAUCAAUCUUUUCAUAGUGACUCAUAGCUUGUAGUAAAUUAAUGGGCUAUUUGUUUUUUAACUUGAGUUUUGAAGCAAGUUGUUUUAAGAUUUAAGAUAAAAGUAAAAAAGAAAUUUACUUUUUCUAUUAACACAAAAUUAUCUUAGAAAAUAUGAUACGUUAAAAAAUAACCAUUUUAAAAAUGACAAAUCUUAUAGAAAAAAAUAAUAUAAAAAAAUAACACUUAACACUAUUAAAUAGUAUUUAGUUUUGAGUUAUAUUAAGGUAUAUAUAUAUAUAGACACACACCACCUAAGGUGAUGUUUUACUUGUUUGUUUGUUUUUUCUAAAAUCUAAAUAGAUUUGAAUUUGGAUUGAAUUUAAAUAGAGCAAAAUGUCAUAAGUGUUUAGACUCUUUGUGCUUUAUUGUAUUUGAAAUAUGUUAAGUGUUAAAUUGUUUAUUUUUACUUAUGUCAAAAUACUAUAAGUAUUAAAUUUAUUUAUUUCACUUGUUAAAAAUGUCUACAAAAUUAAUUAUAGUAUUUGUUAUUAUUUUAGUUUUAAAAAUUUACAAUUUUUAAAAUAUAUAGUAAUUUAAAUAUUUCCAAAAUAUCAAAAUUAUUACGAUAAUAAACAUUUUAUAAUAAUUAAUAUUGUAAUUAUUUAAGCAUAAUUGGAUAAUAACAAGGAUUUCCUAUUAUGCUUGGUUACUAAAAAAAUAUUUUAAAAAAUUUCUAAUUUGACACUUAUUUCUAUAUGGUGUGUCUUCAUAUUUAAAUUUAAAUAUUUUCCAAAAUAUCAAAAUUUAUUACUAUAAUAAAAAUUUUACAAUAACUAAUAUUGUAAUUAGUUAAGAAUAAUUAUAUAAUAAUGAGACUUUCUAAUUAUGCUUGAUUACUAAGAAAAUAUUAAACAAAACUUCUAAGUUAACAAUUAUUUCUAUCUGGUGUAUCUUUGGAUUUAUGGAUUUGUAAUUGAAAAAUGUGUUUUAUUAUUGAGAUUAAUUCAUUAAUUUUUAUAUUUUAGAUUUUCAACAUUAAAUCCUAACAUUUUAUUUUUCAAAAUUAAUUAUUAUUGCUUAUUCUAAUAAUGUGGACCCCGCAUUUCGGCUCAUGCACUUCCACUCGAUGGCGAGCUCGAUUUUUAUUUGAAAAACGAUUUUAUUUAUUAGAAAAUGACUUGGAGUCACCACUUAUUUUUGUUUUAUUUUUAAAGGGUAAACAAAAUACGAAAGAAAACCCUAAGUGUGACUCCUUAUUUUGGAAAAGAUAAUCCACGAAAAACCGGAUCGGGCUCGGGGGUCAGGUUACUUAUCGGGAAGGUAUGGUAAAGACCGUAGCACCCCUCUAAGUCCCUAAAGUCGGGUCUCUACUAAUAAAAUGAAGCUAACGUGGCAAUUGAUGAGGGAAUCAAUGAAUACUUAGUGUAAUCAUGCACAAGUGAGAAUUAAAACAUACAUAUAGAAAGACCAGAAUGGGAGUAGAUGCGUACCUGGGUGAUGAGCCACAAUGCGCUAUCAAGAAAUGGGAUUAGUGCAUAGUAAUGAACAUAAAAUGUGUCAAUCUUAUCACCAAACAAGAGAAAGAACCACCAAUAGCACGCAUGACAUUUCGUUCAAAUUCAUUUUUAUUUUAAAGAAAAUUUAUUUGAUGUUGGGCCCCCACCAUAGCCCAUCUACUUUUGAGUGAAUCGAUUUCGUAAAUUCCAUCAUCAAGAAUUACGAAAAAUAAAUUCACACUUAUUUUGAAACAUUUUGAAAAUCAUGGAAAAUUCAAAAGUGGCUCGCCGGAAAGGAAAUGGUGGCCAAAUUUCAUUGAAAAUGGGAUUUUUAGGUCCUAAAAAUAAACUAAGGAUGAAAACUUAAAAAAAAUGUCAAAAUUAUUUGAAGAAUUUAAAAUUUGAGAAACCAUUUGAAAACUGGAAUAUGAUGGAUUAUUUUAAAAUCAAGGAUGAUGAAAUGAAAAGAGGUGGUACGUGGUCACCAAGACUACAUGUCAAAAGUGACCAUGCAACUCAUGCAAGAGUAGGUCUACGGGUAAGAGUACUGGAAUUGGGUAUAAGAUAACCAAUAGGAAUGGGGUAAAUUAAGAGACCCCAGCGGCAAGCAACUUCAUGAGGCCUUCCUUUGUUGAUGUGUACCAGAACCAACCUUCUUUUUGCCUUUUACAAACUUCUGUAAAGAUCCACCUCUACAAUUCUGAGCUUUUAUGCAUGAUUCAAAGAUAGCAUGAUGUUGUGCUUGGAUGUUCUCUUGGCUAUUACUGCCUUUUCUCCUUGUUGACCGAGAAUUAGUACCAUCAGGCAUCAAGUUAUGCAUUUCUUCCCUCAUCCAAACAAACAAGUUUUCUCUUGCAACUUUAAGAUCCUCUAAUAAGGACUCCAUGAAGAUUUUAAAAUCAUCCAAUGUUGCAGGAUCACAUGCAUUGCUCUUACUCUUCUUCUUAUUAACUUUCUUGAAAGAAUCCCUCUUCGUCUCUUUACUAUAUAAAUUAUUCCUCUUGCUUGAUCCAAUCUGCAUUUUGUUAGCUUUCCCAAUUUUGAAUUGAUCCCCUGAACUACGAUCAGACUUACCUUCUUGUUGAGAUCUAGGAGUACCACUGGUUUCAUCAUUUUCAGGCGAAAUAAGAGAGGAAACCAGUUUGUGCUUCUUGAGAACUGGCUCACCACUGGAACUCGAUUUGGAAUUAUCACUUGAAGAAUCAACGUCACUGUCUCUCCUCCUGAACUCCCACCUCUGCUGAAAUUUCAGGUCUUCACUCAUGUUAGUACUUGGGGAUAUAAUCACAACUGUAUAACUAUGUGCUCAAUCCUCGGGAGAGUCCGACCAUAAACGACUAGACCCACUUAUCAUCAAAGUUUCAACUGCUUGUUUGGAGAAUGAAAUCAGUUUGAUGGAAGGAUUUCCACUGCAACUGCACCUUGAACUCGUUUGAAAGAUUGUACCAGUGAUUCUAGCAGCACCCCUCCUCACAAAUCAAAUUUUGUGAAGAGACACCAUGAUUAAACCGCUCCAUCAUUCUCUUUCAUACACCCAGCACAAGAGCAUCCUCUGUGGAUGAAGCCCAACCAUUGCUCUGCAUCCACUUGGAACAAUCUUCUUAGCCCCAGAUGGGAGCUUGAUCCUGCUGGUGCCAUUAUCAGGGUUGUGGCUGACGACAAUAGCUCACUUGCCGGAUGCCCUGGCGAAGACACCUCGAUCACCAACGUGAUCUUCAACGUUACAGACCUCGGCACCUUCGGGAGUAGAGCGCAGGGGCAGAACGUUAUCGGCAAUGAGGGUGGCUUUCUUACUGCAGCAAACGAACUGGCCCGUGUAUAUGCUCUCAGCCACCACGAUAGGUUCAUCAUGACUGCAACUCCUACUAAACCAUAUCCCUGUCUCAGCAUCAAUAACCAGCUAGGUACUGCAUGUAUCACCAACACCACUAUCGAGGUCCAGGCUAUCACAAGUUCUGUUGCUAGGCAGAGCAGCAGGAAGUUGGUUAUCAAAGACAUGGUAAAUUUUAUCACCACCUAGGCGCACGCCAUCGAGAUGCUCUUUGUAUGUCUGAUCGAAGACACAAGAAAUUUCCAUGAUCAUGUAUAACUUUCUUCCAUUCUUCUUCAGUUGCACCAGUACCAAAUCCAUAUCAGCCAAGGACCCUUCACGCACAAGUAGCCACAGAUCUGUCAGAGAUGCACUUGAUACAAUUUUGCGAGCAACUGUAUGAUGAUUCUGCUUUUGGCCUGGAGGUGGAACUAAACCUUCCACUAAUCUAUAUUUUUCUCAAUAAUAUAUAUCCUCUAACCUUGACAAAAUAAUAACUUAAAUCCCAGUGUUGACUCCUUGCUUCUCGCCACUUAAGCUAACAAUGAUUAUGCCUUGUCACCAGAUGACUUCAAGAGCUAGGUUGUCCAAAAUCCUGUUAAGAAAUUAGUCCACACCAACUGAUAACAAGCUGAUGUGGCCCUCGAAGACAUUGAUUGAACCUAGUCCAUGUUGUAGUCACUUUUUGAAUUUCAUGAUCAAGAAAAUGAAGAGGAAGCCAUUUAGAUGCAUGGUUGAAAAUGGUCAACUGUUAUGCCCCCAUCAUCAUCACCUCUAGUAUUAUGAACACAAACCAGUUGCAACCGCCAUUCACAGACUCCCAUCACAGUUCAUGGGCCUGAAAUGAAUCUCCAACUAAUGGUGUAAGCAACAAGCUGAAUGUUGUUAAAAAUAUGAGAAAUGGGUGGAGAGUUGUGCGUUAAGAAGCAGAGAAUGGAAUAAGGGAAUAUACCCCUUCCCUCAAAGGCACAGAGAUGGAAUCAAGUAAUUGAAGCCGAAGGAAAGCCUUUCGGGUAGCCAAGAAAGCUUGAUUUACAUAUUCUGCAUUACUUUCAGCAACAUUGGCAAUCACAUCCCUGUCUGAGAGGCCAACUGGUUGUCCUUUGUGGUGAGUUCAGUGUCAUUUUAAACUUCUCCAUUGUAUCAAGGGAUAGCCAGCACAAGAAAGAAAUGAUACAAUGAAGCAGACAUGAGGCAUCUUUAGAAAUCCUCUGUGGAUGACAUUUUAAAGGCUCUGUGAUAUUCUGAAGCAUUGCUACUCAACUAUGACCUCCAUCCCUGAUAUAAAACACUAAACCAACCUCAAUCUACUUAACAUGCAUCUCGGGUACUCCAUAGAGAUUAAGCAUCUGUAAUCAUAGCUUCCGCUCCUUGAAUUUGCGUUCUCAGAUGGAGAUGCACCAAUCAAAGCAAACCACAGACAAACACCAAAAACAGAGACGUAUAGAGAAGAAAAUUGAUAAAACAAAACAGGGAUAGGUGAAAUGAGAGUUUGUUAAGCAAAACCUGGUCCCAUAAAUUAUCAACAGGCUUACCAGUUAGUGGGAGGGGAAAUGGGUUUAAGGAGAAAUGAUAGGAGAGAUACAUUCAGACAUCACGCAAUAAAACUGGACAAGAUUCAUACUAUUUCUCUCAACUAAAACCCAUAAACAAUAGAUGGAUAUAUAGUCAUAGCAAAUCCAGUGGAUGCUCAGAGAUCAACAAAAGUAGCCAUAUGAUAUCCACACACAAAUAGCUAAAUAACACCCACUAAUGAACAAAAGAGAAUGAAUAGCAAGAGAAAAAAAUAGAGAUGGAUAAGAAACAUACCUGGAAAUACCCCUCUCCAGUAAAAUCAGCUGAACUGCUAGUCCAUUGCUCUCUCCCCCUUCCUCUGGUUCCCCUCAAGUUAAAACAAUACCCUUCUCAAAUAUCUCCGACCAAAAAACCUUCUCCAAAAACUUCCCUUUCUCCUCUGCCAACCCCCCUCCAAAAAGCAUCUCCCUCUUCUCUACAACUGGCAGAUACGCUCCUCCCAUAACAGAAACGUUCUUCUCUAAACGUCCCUUUGGGAUCUCUUAUCAAACCUCUAAUGACUCUCAAGACUAGGUCACCGAUAUGUAGUGGUAUGGGCUUGACCCGCUUUUUGAAAGCGCGGGCCAUCUUCCUCUAUUAUGCACGAACAUGGUCUGUUGCUCUCAAUCUCAUCUCAUAUAGGAGAUUGAGCUGAUCAAAUCGAGCCUGAGCCCAAUCCGCCUCGGGAAUCUGCUACUUUAGUGCUACUCUCAAUGAACUCAUCUCGAUCUCAACUGGUAGCACUGUCUCCAUACCGUAUACCAAUGAAUAAGGUGUGGCUCCUGUAGAGGUGCGAAAAGAAGUCCGAUAUGCCCACAAUGCGAAAGGGAGCUUCUCUGACCAAUCCCGAGAAGUCUCAACCAUCCUCCGCAAUAUCCUCUUAAUAUUCUUAUUCGCAGCCUCUACUGCCUCAUUCGUCUACGACCUAUACGCAAACGACCUAUGAUGUCGGAUGUCGUAUCUCUGUACUAAGGUAUCAACCUCUGCUCUGAAAUGUACCCCUCUAUCUGAAAUCAACUCAUGAGGGACUCCAUAGCGACAGAUAAUGUGUGAUCUGAUGAAACUAGCAACUCCAGCUGAUGUCAAUCUCUCAUAUGAGGCGGCCUCCACCCACUUGGUGAAGUAAUCGAUGGCGACCAGGAUGAACUCAUGACCACUGGAAGAUUUCGGUGAAAUCUUUUCGAUGAUGUUAAUACCCCAUAUAGAAAAUGGCCAUGGUGAAGUCAAUGCGUGCAACUCAGAGGACGGCACGUGAAUGAGAUCUCCAUGUAUUUGACUCUUGGGACAUCUCUGAACAAACUGACAACAAUCUGUCUCCAUGGUCAACCAAAAAUAGCCAAUCCUCAUGAUUUUACGGGCCAACAUAUGCCCUCCCAUAUGUGGUCCGCAGACUCCCGCAUGAACCUCUCACAUCACUCUAUCGACAGAAGCGUAGUCCAAGCAUAAUAACAGCAUCCCAUCAGGUGAUCGUCUGUAUAGUGUCUUGCCACAAAUCACGAAUCAUGCAGCCAACUGUCUCAAUGUUCUCUUAUCCUUGGCCGUGGCGGCCUUAAGAUAUAUGCCAAGUCUCAAAAAGUGAUAUAUGUCAUGAUACCAUGGCAAACCAUCGUCUAUCUCCGUAUCAUCGAUCAGAAAACAAUAUGUAGGAGCAAAUCUGGACUUAAUCAGUAAAUGACGAAUAGUGGCAUCAGCAGGAAUGUCAAUCAUGGAAGUUAGAGUAGCUAAGGCAUCAGAAAACUAGUUAUGCGCUCUAAGCAGAUGUGUGUAUCUCAAAUCAUCAAAUCUCCCAACCAGUAGCUCCAAAUAUGGCGGUAAGGCCUAAGUUUCACAUCUCUAGUCUUCCACUCGCCCUGAAUCUGUCUCAAAACCAGAUUGAAGUCGCCAAACACCUCUAUCUAUCUAAUCCCGAGCUCAAGGGCCGUCUCUAAUCCCAAGAUACAGACCUCAUACUCAACAAUGUUGUUUGUGGCCGGAUGUCGAUCCAAGAAUGCCAAACAAAUAGAUCGGGGAAUGUGAUCACCAUGAGGGGAUAUCAACAAGACGCCUAUCCCGUAUCCAGAAUGGUUGGCUGCACCAUCAAAGUACAUGUGUCAACCUGAUAAACUAGUCACAACAGCGACAUCCUCGCCUGGGAAGUCAUCAUCAAUGGCUCUACCAUUGGAAACUAGUAAUGAGGCUAAGUGAUCUACAACAAUGCUCCCUCUUAUGGACUUCUGAGUGACAUAAUGGAUGUCAAACUCGGUCAGAAGUACCAGCCAUCUCAUGAGACGACCGAUCAAAGCGGGUCUGUCAAAAAAAUAUCUCAGAAGAUCUAGAUGGGAUAUCAAGUGCACUGAAUACUCGGUCAUGUAAUGUCUUAGUCGGUGAGUGGCCCAAACCAAUGCCAAACAGUAGCGCUCAAUCAUGACAUUCCUUGCCUCAUAGUCUAGCAUCCUCUUACUCAAAUAAUAAAUGGCUUAGUCAUUGCCUGAAUCAUCAAGCUGAGCUAACAUGCACCACAAUGCUACAUCUGAAAUUGACAGAUAUAGGAGUAAGGGACAACCUGGUGUAGGAGGCGCCAAGACUGGAGGUGACAACAAGUACUUUCUGAUCCUCUCAAAUGCACGCUGACACUGAUCAUCCCAAACAGUAGGUUGACUCUUCCUCAAGAGUCGGAAAAUGGGCUCAUAGAUGUCUGUCAAUCUGAUGAUGAAUCUACUGAUAUACUGAAGUCUACCCAAGAAGCCCCUGACCUCUCUCUCUGUCCUCGAUGCAGGCAUGUCAAGGAUGGCUCUGAUCUUAUCCGAGUCUACCUCUAUGCCUCUCUCUCUGACCAUAUACCCCAAGAGUUUCCCAGAAGUCACUCCGAAAGUGCACUUCUUGGGAUUCAGUCUCAAUUUGAACCGUCGGAUCCUCUCAAAGAACCUCUCUAGAGUUGCUAGGUGAUUUGGUCUGUCUUGGGAUUUCACUAUCAUGUUGUCUACAUAAACCUUGACAUCCCGAUGCAUCAUGUCAUGGAAGAGGGUGGUCGUCGUUCUCUAAUGGGUGGUUCCUGCAUUCUUCAAUCCGAAUGGCAUGACUCUAUAGCAAUAAGUACCCUACUCGGUAAUGAAGGACGUCUUCUCCAUGUCCUUUGGAGCCAUCAAGAUCUUAUUGUACCAAGAAAAUCCGUCCAUAAAGGACAACAUCGAAUGACCUGUCAUACUAUCAACCAACAUAUCGAUGUGUGGGAGAGGAAAAUCAUCCUUAGGACUGGCCUUGUUGAGAUCUCGGAAAUCAACACAAACUCUCACCUUGUCGUCCUUUUUGGGAACAAGGACUACAUUGGCCAGCCACUCCGGAUACUCGACCACUGACAAAAAUCCUACACUGAGUUGCUUCUGGAUCUCCUCCUUCACUUGCAAGCUCCAACGAGGGUGCAAUCAUCUCAACUUCUACUUAACCGGUCUAGCAUGGGGCAGAAGUGGCAAACGAUGUUGGACGAUAGAUGGAUCAAGGCCUGGCAUGUCCUCAUAGGACCAUGCGAAAACGUCCAAGUAUGCUCUGAGCAACUGGAUGAGGUUGUCCCUCUCAUCAUCAGAUAAAUCUGAUCUGAUCCUCAACUCCCUAGGCUGAUAUAUUGUGCCGAAAUCAACAAUCUCCAUGUCCUCUAUAGCAGGUGAAACUCUCUGAUCAAAGGGAUCCGAAUCGGAAAUAGAAGAUGAGUCAUCAUCUGAGUCGUGUUGUGCAAUCUCAUCAUCAAUAUCAAAAAUCUGUGAUGUGGGUGAAGAUGGUGCAGAUAAAACAAUAUCGUAAAAGAGAGGCAAAUUUUAAAAAAUGCUCAAAUCCAUAGAUGAAAAGUCAGAAACAUAGUCAUGAUGGGAGACAAAUCCCGAUAAAACAUCAAAUGAAAGAGGUGAGUCUACAAAGUCGAACAUUCCCUCAACUAGGCCAAUAGGGCCAUCAAGAAAAUCAUCAACAGCUAUAAUGUCCUCAGUAAUCUCCGAAGUAGGGGCAGUCUGGAUCUCCUCAGCGAUCUCAAUGAAAGACACCCCGAAGAGAUCAAAUGGUGAAGUGAGCUCAGGCUGGACUAUCUCCUCAAUCUGGCUCAAGCUCAAUGCAAGCAUCUCAUCGACGUACUCGUCACAUGGCAUAGCUCCGUCUACUAUGUCGCUAAUCUCAACAAAUGUCUUGUGAUCAUCGAUCUCAUCCAAUAAGCAAAGCGUCAUAAGGCUCGUGCGAUCUGGAGAGGCAGGAGCGAUCAACGCAGAAGUCGAAGGAUCAAGGGCUCCGUUACUCAAUUGUAACUGCUGGACGAGGCGCUGAAGCUCGGCCUCCUUGGUGGUGUUGAAUCCUCUGAUGAUCCCAUCAGAUGGUGCAUGUGACUCCGAUGCCCUCACAAAGUAAUCUGCCAGGCUCAUGGUGUAUGGGCGAACAGGAUAAUAAAAGAGCGUAUGAGUCAGUCGAGCCCUCACCCUCUCCUUGCUCAAUCGCGCCAUAUAACGAUAAUCGGCCUCAGUGGGGAUGAACCUGAGUCCGAAUGGUACGUCGUGAUCAGGGAUGGCUAUGAACUCACUAGGCCCAUGCUGACACUACCCUAACCCUAUGCCGGGAAAAUAAGGCAUACUCUGCAUCAUAUCGAGCACCACCGUGCUACUAUGCUGGUCAAAGGACAUGGCUACGAAAUCUCGGUAGAAAUCUUCUAUCUCCACGGUUUGUACCUCAUCAAAGGUGAAUCCAGUCAGAAAAAGAUCGUCAUCAGUGUGACUAAUCUCAAGCACAGGCUUGGCAAAAAUGAACAUAUCUCCCACAGACUGCACCACGACGACCUGGCCAUCGUGAAUAAACUUCACCUUUUGAUGAAGGGAAGAAUGAAUGGCCCCAGCUCUGUGGAUUCACGGUCGGCCCAGAAACAGGUUAAAGGAUGUAGGAAUCCUCAAAACCUGAAACACGGUGACAAAAGUGGCCAGAUCAAUUAGUAGUUCAAUCUCUAGUGUGCCCAUGACCUCCCUUCGAGUACUGUCAUACGCGCGAACGGUCUAAGUGGAGGGACAGAAAUCAGAUGGUGCAUAGCCGAGGGCAGUGAUGGUGGCCAGAGGACAAACGUUCAGGGUCGAGCCAUUGUCCAGAAGGACAGAUGGGACUCGACGGCCUGAACAACCAACAGAUAUAUAGAGUAGACGCGUGUGGUCUGAGCCCUCUGGUGGCAAGUCAUCAUCGGAGAAUACAAUGCAUGUGGCUCUACCGACCGUCAUCAUAUGAAUCAAUCCCUCAUGGGAGGUGGUAGUCUUAACUCUAAUCUGGCUCAGGGCUCAAAUCAGAGCAUCAUGGUGAGUGGUCAAGGAUGCCAACAAACUCCAGAUGGAAAUACGAGCCUGAGUGCUCUAUAGCUGCCUCAAAAUCUCGGCGUCCUCUACUCUGACCUCAUCGGGAACAGAUGUACCCUCAACUGGCUUAGCUGCUGCGCGAGGUGGCUAUCGCAACACUCUACCUCCUCAAAGAAUAUACUAAACAUCCAAAGUUUGAGAAUCAUCAACAUGCGGAGCUUGAACCUCCUCAACAUUCGAGAUCAAGAUGAAUGGCGUCUGGACGCUGUAAUAUGGAAAAAUCAAUGGCUCAACAGUGGUAGUCUGUACUAAUGCCACCUGGGGAACUAAUCCGAAUGAAAUGGGCAUCUGAGGCCCCAAAGUCGCUCCGUCCAUCUCAUAAAUCCCAUUUGACAUGAUAGGCUCUGGCUCAAUGUCAUCACAGCUCAACAUAUGGAUAUAGUCAUCAUGAUCAAAGAACUCCAGGAAAUGUAUGCUAUCGACCGGUGGGGGGACCACAUGUGUAGUGUGGGCAAGUAAUGGGUUUGUGGUUACACUCGGCUGACCCAAGUGCACCAAACCCUGGUCGAUCAGAUCCUGGAUGGCAUGCCUCAAAGUGGUGCAGCGAUCGGUCUCGUGUCCAGGCCCUUGAUGGUAUGCACAGUGCAAAUCCAUCCUGAAUUAAGGUGGAAUCGGCUGAGGUGGCAGCCUGGGAGUGAGAACGGUCAAUAACCCGGCCUCUGUAAGCUUCCGAAGAGCCUAGCUCAAUGGCAUGCUUAAUUGCGAGAACUACCUCUGUGUCCUCAAAGCAGAUGGAGCAAAAGUCUGCUGAGCUUUGGGUUGAGGAUAAGGCGUUGUGGGUCUCGCAGUGAAUUGAGCAGCAUAGCAUGGCUGUCCUAUGGCCGUGUAGGAAAUUGGGGGUCUCUCAAUGUCCUGGGUGGCAUAAUAAGGCAAAGCCAAAGUCUGUGGCAUGUAGACUGAUCAUAAGUCGGGUGAGGCGCUCGUGGCCUAUACUGCUGAGGUGGAUAUGAAGAAUGAGCCUCAGGAAGCUAUGGGAUCGGCUGAUGGCGCCUGGGAGGUCUCUAACUGGAAGAACUAAUGGCGCUCACGUCAACUGAUCUUUGUCCUCCAAAGGGCUUCUUCCCCUUAACAUCACUAGGGGAAGAAUCUGUCCACAAUCCUCUAGAGAUGUCGUCCUCGACAUCGUAUAAAGUCAAAACCAAUGAACCAAAAUCUGUGAAUGGUACCCUAACCACGUGUCUGGCGAUCCUGGGCUGUAAACUCCUCAAGACCAUCUAUAUCUGAUCUCUCUCUGAAGGUCUAUCAAUGAUCUCGACAAUCUUCCCACGCCAGCGGGAAAUGAAUGAAGAAACUAACUCAUCUAUUAUCUACCUCAGAGCCUCGAGCUUUCUCCUCGAUACAUCCACGACAGUGUUAAAUGAAAACUGUCGUAAGAACUCCUGGGCCAAGUCGUCCCAUGUUCGGCGUCGUGAGGACUUCAAGGAUGCAAACCAACGUUGGGCCGUCCCACUCAGAGAUAGUGGAAAUAAAGUGAUCAUCUGAGACUCAUCCAAUCCAUGAGCCCUCAUCACUGUGCUAUAGAGUCUGAGGUGGAUGCGUGGACAACUAAUGAUCGUAUAUCUCUUGAUGUCUGGCAUCCUAAACUUAGCCGGCAAACUGGCUAUCGGCAUACCCUCGAAAUCAUCCCAAACAAUUGAUCUAUCUGACACUCUCAUCUGCCUCAUACGCUGUUUAAGACAGUCCAUACGUGCAUGAGCAUCAUCAACGACAGUGGUCUGGACAACAGCGGGUGGAACAAUCUCAGAAUGUCCAUGUAAUAUAUAGGGUGAGGCCUGAGGCACUGAAGGAACGGGUGGUGGUGGUGGAUGUGGAUGUGAGUCAUACGACGUCUCAUCCUGAACUGUUGGUGGUCUACUUUGCUGACCACUGAUCUCCUGCCUGAGGCUAGCCAAAGCCUCCUGGAUAGAAGCCAUGGUAGCCGUAAACUGAUCCAUUGUAACAACCUGCUGAUCCAUACUCGGUCUCUCUGAAUACCGGACUAAUCUCCCCUCUACUCUGACCCAAGAAGGCGUAUCCAGACUGUGAACGAAGAUCCGAUCCUGAUCGAUUCUUCUCCUACUCCUCUCCUCAAGUCUCUCAAAACCAGCAUCCAAAAGCACCUCCUUCGACCUCUCCUAUCUUCACUCCCCUCAAAAGCACCAGAAGUCUCUCAAAAAUCUCUUUUGCCCCUUGCCAAAAAGCCCCCUCCUCUCCAAAAUAUCUCCCCACAAAACGCCCCCUACGCUUGCCAGAAUAUCCUCUCUCUCAUCCGAUCCUCCUAACAGACUGCGGCCUCUCUAGAAUGUUCUUUCCACGUGUUCAACUCUCAUUUGCUCCUCGAUUCCACUACCUAAUUCUCUGUCCACCAACCACGAGGUGAUACGUGGCUCCUUGAGAGCCUUCCACCUGGCAAAAUGAGUUGCAGAAAAUGCAUGAAAGUGAGGCCCCAAAAUGAGGGUCUACAAAUAGGUUUUUAGAUGAGUGUGAAUUGUGUUUUGGAAUUCUAACUAAAAAAAAUUCAUUAGAAUUGAUGAUAGUUUAUUUUAGUCUUGUUCUACUAUAAGAGGUUGAAUUAUAAAAAUUUGUAGUACAUACAUUUCUAAUAAAAAUGUUUAUGAUUUAAGUAUUGUUAAUUUUAUUAUUAAAUGAGGAAUCUACAAAAAUUUAUGAAAUUUAAUUUUGUUGAGAAUUUGAUGAAUUAUGAAGCAGAAACAGUAGCUAAAUGUGGUAGAAUUUUGAUUCAAGUUUUGGAAUUUAUGAAUUUAUUUAGAUUAAUUUGUUACCCAAAUUAAGUUACUUUUAUGUUGUUGGGCUUCUUUUAAUAAAAAAAAAAAAUCAUUAAAAUUUAUAUCUAAAUUUUAUCAAGAAUCAAGAGGAAAAAUGGACAAAAACAAAGCAUAUUUCAAUCAUUUCAUUUUUUUUUCUUGAUGACAACUUUGUUAAUUUAUAAUAUAUUCAUUUUUCUUCCAAAUUACACAAAAUUGAAAUAGUUUAAUUCUUUCUUCAGAUAAAAGUUAUCUAAAGUCAUAAAAAAAAAUGAAAUUGAUUUUAUUUUAUGUGAGGAAUUAGGUCUAAAUAUCAUAACACAGUUAGAGAUCAAAAAAAUAUAAAGAGAAAAAAAAUGACUUUUUCUAUUAAUAUAAAAGUUAAAAUUAAUUCAUUUUUUCCUUAAGUAUAUAUAUAUAUAUAUAUAUAUAUAUAUAUAUAUAUAUAUAUAUAUAUAUAUAUUUUAAAAAAAAAAGUAAUAAGCUGAAAAAUAAAUAGUUCUAAAAUGUAUUCAGUCUUGAAGCAACUUACUUUAACAUUUGAGUAAAAAAACUAAAUAAAAAAUAAAAAUAGAAAAAAUCAAGCCCUAAAGCAUUGGAUGAGCCAAUGAUCGGAUACUUGAUUUUAACUAAGCAGUUACUUGUCAAUAAUUGUGUUCAUGUUCAUCUCUGCCAAGUACCUUAAAAUGAAAAGGAACAAGUUCAUAUAAAAUCCAAUUUGUCUUUCUCACCCAACACAAUUGCAACCAUCCACCACCAAUUCAAUAUCUCGAAAAACCUUCAAUGUCUCUAAUAGAACCAAAAUCAUGUUAUAUUUGGGAACAUUAAAAUCUUGAUGUAAUGCAACAUUUCAAAAGAAUUUUUCACUUUGAUCUAUGCUCAUAUCAACAUUUCUCUUUGAUAUAGGCAUUUUUCAAAAGAAUUCACCUAUCUUUUCUUGCUAAAGCCUUAAAUUUCUCUCUUCUCUCCAUAACAAACCUUGAGCAUGCAACUUACUAAAUAGACAUUACAUAGGAUUCAAAAUUAAUUUUCAACAAUUCUCAAGUAUAGUGCCUAUUGCAUAAGCAAAUAUACUUUUAAAGAUAUUGUUGAUAGCCUUCUCUAUGCUAAUAGCACUUUUAAUGCUUGGGUUGAUCUUUAUGAUUGAUUCCACCAAAGCAAUGCCCCACGAAUCUUCCAAAUCGAGAAGCACAUAGUUGUUCUUGAGCAAAGAUCUAUGGAUGUCAACACAUACUACACUAAGCUCAAGGUCCUCUAGGAUGAGCUCAAAAAUUAUCAACCCAUUCUUGUCUAUCACUAUGGAGGCACAAAGUCUUGGUUAGACACCAACAAUAGGAGUACAUCAUGCAAUUUCUUAUGGGUUUGAUUGAGUCAAAUGCUUAAACUUGAACACAGAUCUUAAUGAUGUCUUUGCACUAGUUGUCCAAGAAGAAUGCCAAUGUACUAUUAAUCAAGGCUCUUUUUUUCCUAUCGAUUCUCUUAUGCCCAACAUUUCAAAUUCCUCUGCUUUUGUUACAACAACAAAUUUUUCUCGAAAUUCAACUUUAAAACCCAAGUGUGAGUGACCCUAAUAUUCCCACUGUGGCUUGCAAGAACAUAUUGUAAAUAAAUGCUAUCAUCCUGGCUAUAAGUCAAAAUCAAAGAAACCUGAAGUAAAAAAUUCAAGCCACCUAGGCCAAUGCAACUAUUAAUGAGACUAUUAACUCUGGUUCACCCCUUGGAUCUCUUACUUUAGCUCAGUGUCAUCAAUUGUUUGCAUUCUUGAGCUCUCAACUUCAUAACAACUUUCUUGUUAUGCUAGAAUCUCAAUAGCUAGAACCCUUUGUUUCCCAGUUCAAUGGUAUACUAUCUUUUUCUUCUGUCUCAUAAUUUUCCAAUUUCUUUUUCCACCUGGAUUUUGGACAUAGAAGUCGCACAUCAUGUUUGUUGUUCAUUAAGCACAUUUACACAAUCUACUCCAGCACAAAAUUCUUUUGUAACUUUGCCUAAUGGUCAAUCUGUUGUUAUUAAUCGUAUUGGUUAUGUGUUUUUGUCUCCUGAUCUCAUCCUUAAUAAUGUCAUGUUUGUUUCUAAUUUCCAUUUCAAUCUCCUCUUUAUCUGUUCGCUCACUCAAAGUUAUAAAUCUUCUAUUAAUUUUAUGGUUGAUUCUUGUACUAUUCAAGGCCAUACACGGACCAAAAUGAUUGGGAUGAGUAGAAGACAUGGUAGCCUAUACUUCUUAAAUAUAGUCAAUUUUCAUUCCACUACACCACAAAUUUUCAGUCCUUGUAAUAAUGUUUCGUUGUCUCAAAAUGAAAUUUGGUUUUACCAUUUAGGUCAUCCUUCUUAUGUAACAUUACAAACAUUCAAAAAUGAAAUAGAAGUUAAACCAAAUUCUGGUGAUUCAAGUCAUUGUUUAGUUUUCCAUUUAGUCAAAAGAUGCAAAUUACAUUUUAUUUCUCACAAUUAUUUGUCUGUUUUGCCUUUUCAACUCAUACAUUGUGAUGUUUAAGGUCUCCUUCACACAUUUACCAUUGAAGGUUAUAGAUAUUUUUUUUACUAUUGUUAAUGAUUGUACUCAUUUUAUUUGGGUGUAUCUUUUGCGUGCUGAGCCUGAUGUUACUGAAGUUAUUCCUAUUUUUUUUUCUCAUUGAUUCAAACUCAAUUUGGAACACAAAUAAAAUUUGUUCACUCAGAUAAUCCUCCUGAAUUGGCAUUUUUUGACUUCUUUCAUGCAAAAUGAGUCAUCUCAUUUCAUUCUUGUGUUGAUUAGCCUCAACAAAAUUCAAUAGCAGAAAGAAAGCAUCAACAUAUCUUAAAUGUUGUAUGGUCUUUAUGUUUCCAAUCACAUAUUCCAUUGGUUUAUUGGGGGGAUUGCAUUCUUAUUAUUGUACACUUAAGAAAUAAAACUGCAUUCCCACUUUUGUCCAAUAAAACAACCUUUGAACUUCUUUGGAAAAAGAAGCUUGCAUAUUCACAUCUUUGUAAUUUUGGUUGCCUAUGUUAUGCAUCUACUUUAGAUCGUCAUAGGACAAAUUUCUCACCUCAUGUCAUUCCUUUUGUCUUUCUUAGGUACCCAUCUGGUUAUAAAGAAUACAAAUUAUUGAAUCUAGUCACUAAUUCUGUGUUUAUCUCCCAUAAUGUGGUAUUUCAUGAGUCUAUAUUUUCUUUCAAAACUAUUCAAACUUAUUCUCCUCUUCCAAAUAUUUUCUCUGAUACUGUUUUACUAUUUCCUUCUUUUUCUUCCAUUCUUGAAUCUACAUCUUUGCCAAUAUCAACAAUUCCUACUGUUUUCAUACCUUCUACGUCUCAUUGUCAUCCUAAUCGUGUUCGUAGGCCUCCUUUUUAUCUAGCAUAUUACUACUGCUAUUCUUGUUCCCACAGCACAUCUUCUACCUCACAUCCUCUCACACAUGUCCUUGAUUACACAAAAUUGUCAAAUUCAUAAAAAUAAAAAAAUGAAUAAAAGUUUGUGUUAUUUCCUAUAAUUUUGAACCCACCACAUACUUCAAGGCUGCUACUAUUCUAGAUUGGCAAGAUGCAAUGUCUGCUGAGUUAGGAGCUCUUGAACAAAAUGACACUUGGUCUUUAACUACUUUGCCACAAGGAAAACAUGCUAUUAGGUGCAAAUGGGUGUACAAAAAUAAGUAUAGAGUUGAUGGAACUAUUGAACAAUACAAAGCUCACCUUGUAGCUAAAGGCUGCACACAACAAGAGGGCAUAGACUAUCUAGGUACCUUCUCUCAUGUUUUCAAAUUGGUUACUGUUAAGGUUUUGCUUGCUUUGGCUACCAUUAAUGGUUGGAGCCUUCCUUAGAUGGAUGUCAAUAAUGUGUUCUUACAUGGUGAUCUUUUUAAGGAAGUUUAUAUGACUCUCCUAGUUAUCACCUGAAGGAAAAUCAUUAUCCUCACACUCUGUUUACAAAAUUCAAAAGUCUUUAUAUGGCUUGAAACAAGCAUACGACAAUGGUUUUCCAAACUCUCCAAUUUCUUACUUGUUGAAGGUUUUUAAACAUUCUAAUGCAAAUCACUCUCUUUUUGUCAAAGUUGUCAGUACUCACUUCAUUGCUCUGUUAGUUUAUAUGGAUGACAUUGUCAUUGUUAGUAAUAGUGAUGAGCGAGUUGAGAAAUUAAAAGUUCUAUUUAGGAAAGCUUAAAUACUUCUAAGGCCUUGAGGUGGUGAGGUCUAAUAAGGAAAUUUCCCUUAGUUAGCACCAUUAUGCCUUACAAUUACUAUCAGAUAUAGGCUAUGUUGGUUGUAAAUCAAGGAAAACACUUAUAAAUCCAAAUGUGAAGCUCACACAAGACAAAGGUGAUCUAUUAAAAGAUCUUUUAUUUUACAGAAGAAUGAUAGGCAAAUUGCUUUAUCUAACCGUAGCAAAUCCAGAUUUAUCAUUUUCAGUACAUAAAUUCAAUCAAUUUCUUGCAAAGCCCAGAGUUCUUCAUAUGUGGGCAAUACAACAUGUGCUUCAGUACUUGAAAGCAUGGUUUGAAAUAUUGGUAAACACGGAUAUAUCGAUACUUGGAUUUUAUGAAUAUGUUGGAAAUAUUGGUAAAAUAUCGGUAAAUAUUGGUAAAAUAUCGGUGGAUAUUUUGGCAAAAAUAUUGGUGAAACAAAAAUUAUUCAAAAUUCAUGGAAAUGUUUGGAAAACUCUAAAAAAAAUGAUAAAAUAAGCAAGAAUACAUAUGUUAAAGUUAUUGUAAGUGGAAUUGACAUAAAUAUGGUCAAUGAGAAAAAUAUGGAGGGAUAUAUCAAACUUAAUAAUUUAUUAUUUAUCUUAUCAAAUUAAUUUUAAUUUAUAAAAUAUUAGAACUUCAUUAUUUUUUUUAUUUUAGUAAUGUUUUGAAUACAUUUAUAUUUUUAAUAUUUGUAAAAUAAAAACAUUCAAAAUUAAAUAAAAUUAAAAGGAUAAACAUAAAAAAAGUGAACUGAUAGCAAUUUUUAAAAAUAAGAUUAAUGAGAUAAAUGAUGAUACAUUUAAUAUUAAAACUAUAAUUUAUUUAAUUCAAAUACAUUCAACAAUGUAAAAUAAAUUAUGAUGCAUAUAUAAUUUUUUUGAUAUUUAUAUUUUUUUUAUAUAAUUGUCAUAUAAAUGAUAUAAAAAAUAAAAUAAAAUAAAAGACUUGUUAAGAAAAUUAUAAUGAUGGUUUUAUACUUUUAUUAAAUAAUUAAAUAAAAUUUUAAAUAAAAUAAUUAGAAUUAAUUUAUUUAUUCUUUUAAUGAUGAAUUUUACCAUAUUUAUUGUGAACAUAUAUUUACAAAUGUGGACUUGGCCCAAUAGUAGUCAGGCUUCACCCAAGCCUUUUGGCCUAGGUUUGAAUCCCCUUGGAUGCAAUAGAAAAAAAUUUGAAGGAAUUUACCCGAAUAUCGACAUCUUUUCGAUGAAGUUGAUUGACUUUCGGUGUACAAUAUCAUGUCGACUCUCCCUGAUAUUUUGACGAUCAACUUUUAGUGUGGAAUAUUGUGUUAGCUCUCCCUGAUAAGCAAAAUAUCGACAAUAUUUCAUCAAAAUUUUGCAACAUUUUAGUGUGGAAUAUCAUGUCGACUCUCCCCAAUAUUUCAACAAUCGACUUUCAGUGUGGAAUAUCGUGUUAGCUCUCCCUGAUAAGCAAAAUAUCGACAAUAUUUCGCCAAAAUUUUGCAACAUUUCAAACCAUGCUUGAAAGUUAUGCAGGACAAGGUUUUUUUUUUUUUUUUUUCAUUAAUAGAGUUGAAAAGGUUUGUUGAUUCAAAUUGGGCAACUUGUGUGGUCUGUUAAUGAGUUUUGCUUUUUUUUAUUUAUUUAUUGUUGAUUCCUUAAUUUCCCAGAAAUAAAAAAGGCAGCAUACAGUUUCAAGAUCUUUUGUUGAAGUUGAGGACAAAUUUAUGGCAAAUGCAACAUGUGAAUUGAUGUGGUUACUUUCUUUAUUUAGAGAUUUGCAUGUAUCUCGUCCUAAGCCUGCCUUGCUAUUUUGCAACAAUCAAGCAACUCUUUAUAUUGUAGCUAAUCCAAUUUUUCACAAGCACACUAAGCACAUUAAGAUCGAUUAUCACUUGGUUAGAAAGAAACUGCAAAAUGGAAGCUUGAAGACACUACAUAUUUCAUCUAAACAUCAAGUGAGAGACUUGUUGACCAAACCUUUUUCUUCACCUCAAUUUCUUUUUCUUCUUAGUAAAAUCGAAAUUCACAAUAUUCAUUCUCCAUUUUGAGGGGGAGUAUUAGAAUAUUUGGGUAUCUUGCAGUAUGGUUACAAGUUAAGUAAAGAAUUGUUAGUUUGUUAAAUAAUUGUUAGCUUUUUUUUUUUUUUUUUUUUUGCAACUAGAUGUGUCUAUUCAAUAACUUCAUAUGGUUAUAGUUAAUUAAAGAAUCCUUUACGUAUUAACUGUUAAAAUAAUUUGUUUCCAACUUUCCUAUUAAAUUUUCUUCUGCUCAAGAUUUCAAAAAUUAUAGUUCAAGAAAGCUCUUUCGAUUUCUAUGUUGCACUGUAUCUUCUUAUAUGUUAGUACAAAUCAUACUCCUCUUUUUACCUCUUCAAUGAAUCCUUUUAGGAGUAAGACCACCAAGUGAGCACCCUUAUAUUGAUCCACAAGCUUUUUAUUACAUAUUUUUUGUUUGUGCACACCACCUCAAAUUUAAGUGGCCCAUAAAUUUUAUACUUUGGAUACCUUACCAUCCAAUCAUAAGCAUAAACUAAAUUUGAAAGGAUAAGAUUAGUUUAUUUUAGAGAAAUUGAGCUCCAAGUCCCCUAGCCAAACAUGAAGUUUUGAAGCAUGAAAUUUUUGUGAUGGGACAUAAUUGCAAUCCUUAUUAAAUUGAUCAAUUGUGUUAUGCCAAGAAUGCAAAUUAUGCAUGGCAAAGUGGUUAGAAAGUGUACAAAUGCACCAUCUUUUUACUUGUUUGUUUACUCAAAUUUCUCGGUCAAUUUUUUUUUUUCAUUCUUAUCCCUCUUGAUUGAGGCAAACAUGUUUUGGCUAGUGCUCUCAAAUUCCUUAAAUAUAUUCUUUUCAAUAUUGUAAACAUUUGGCUUGGUCAUUGUUAUAGUUAUCAAUUGUGUCAACUUUUACUUUCUCUCAUCCCCAAUUACAUAUGCACUUUGUAGCUUUAAUUUUUUUUUAGUGAUUAAUCUUAGUUUUUAUCUAAUUGUUUGCCUUAUAGUCUUUGACAUAACUAUAAGUGUAACAUGUACCUCUCACAAACCAAAAGACAUCACUUGUCUUCUUUAAUUUAAACAUUUUUGCAUCUGUGUAAGAUCUGAAACUAGAAUUUCACAACAUCGCGUAGUCAUUUUCUCUAGUUGUUUCUCAAAGCUCUCUUCAAGAUUUAGUUCAUGUUCAAUUACCAACUUUGAGUUUUCACUUUUUUUUUUUCCCAUGAGUCAUGAGGAAAUGAAUUUCAACUGUGUUUCAUCUAUCCAUCUCUCUUAAAUUGUUUUAUUCGAUAGUUACCAAUUGUAGAAUUGUUUUUAUAUAUUCUUUUCAUAGAUAUUGUUAAUAAAUUAUGCUAAAUGAGUAGCUUCCUGAUGUGGUGAGAGCUAAUUUUGUUAUUGCUAGGAUAAUAUCUUUUUAACUUUCUUAACUUUUUCCGAAUUAUAAACCACUCAUGCUUUGACCAAUCUCCAUGUGUUUUUCAUUUGUUUGGAUUUAUGGGCUUUUGAUUCUAUUUGGUGAAUAGAUAAUAAGGAAUUAAGGAUCUGAGAUUGACAUUACUUUAAGGAUGUUUGAAGAUGACAUAGUGAAGCAUAGAAUAUUUUUUUGGGUUGUAUCUCCUCAUUUCCCAUACUUAUGGUGGACAUUGAUGAGUUGGAUUAUUUGAAUGAAAUGAGCUUUGGAAAAAUACUAGUAAUUACAUGAAUUGUUGCAAUAUAUUUGAGUGAAAAUAUUAUGUUAGUGUCUCUCCAUGUCACUAAUUCAAACCUGUUACUUUCCAUUGUAAGUGGUAGAAAUAUAUUUUUUAUUUUCUAGAAAACAUUACUCUAACUUGUGAAAAAGGUUCUUAUGCCUCCAUAUUAAAUGUUAUAUGAUGGAAAAAAAACUUGAAUCUCUCUGUUUCCUCAGUCUGGAUCAGGUUAGGAAUAUGCAUAACUAUCCUAGGCUUUUUCUAAAUUCUAUGCACAACAAAAAAAUUAAUUUUUUUUAUACUUUAUAAGGAUCUAGAAAGUGCUAACGAAAACUAUACCUCAAAUUCGGAUGCUCCCGAGUCUUCCGCUCGAUGACUCAAACCUUGAUCUUGGCACACUUCUAAUGGGGAGGAAAUGAGGGUGGAGGCUAUAGUUUUCUCUCUCUCUGGAUGGUGGACGAUAAAAGCUAUGGAACCCCUAACCUCUAGGGGGUAUUUAUAGGGUUCCUAAGUGGGCUUAAGUGACUUGAGCCCAUACAGGCUUGGGUCACUUAAUCUAACCCAAAAUGAGUUCUAACUGAUUAAUUAACCCAAUAAGGCUUACUAAUUAAUCAAUUAGCCCAAUCAAGAGACCUUGUUCACUUACCCCUAUACAACCUUGCGUAAUUAUCAAAAUGCCCUUAUGCACAGAAGUGAACUUAGAGUCAAUUCAACCCUCAUAACCCAUGCCAACAAGGUAUAUGAGUUCAAAGUGGGGACCAUUGGGACCCAUAGAAAUACUGACUCCCUCAAAAUCAAAUUCUAAAGUUGAUUCAAUAUCACACUAUAGAGAAUCAACUAAACUCCAAUAUCUUAUGUAAAUAACAACGAGACACUAAGUGAUCGGGUCUGUGACUUGCUAUCCAUUGUGUUCAGUCUCCCCAUGAACUAAUGUCCGUAGUUUAAUAAGGUGAAAGCUAUUAGUCUUUCAAGACUACCUCUACCUUCUAUUUUGUGUUCAAUUGACAUAUCUUAGCUCUCAAAGAGCCUAUGUCAAGUUCCAUUUAAUGAACUACAUGACCAUAGUUUCCAUGAACACACCUCCUUAAGAUCACCCAAGGGGACACACUAUCUCAAUCCUAAGAGAUAUCAUAGUGCCUCUAUUGAAAAUACCUAUUACUACCAGCUUCUAUCAACAAUGACCCAAUCCAUACGGAAUAUAUGAUCAGCUUACGAUUUCACCUGUAGGUCAAAGUCAUUGCCAACUUUAGCACAAGCUUAAUAUUCUCUCAAGGUUGAGAGACAACACAAUGAAACAGCUUGGUGAGGUCAUGACUCAAUAAUAGCCUUAAGUCAUGACUCACCAUAAGUCUUGUCCAAUGUGUAACCAUACAUACUAGUGCACUCACCAUGGGAAACCCAUCCUGAUAACCAAGACCAGUGAUCCCUCCAAUUAGGAGGUGGUGCACUACAACCUUUAAUGGGUUGCCUAGACCCAUGAACCAAUUGUAAACAAGUCAUCUAUUUGCAAGGAACCCAUGACUUAGAUCUUCUGUGCAACUCCUAAUGCACCUAAGUCACGUACAAUACAAAAAAUGCAGACAAGAAUGCUCAUAAAGUAUAAUAUAUGGAAUAAGAAUAGAUAAAAGUGAAACUGGAACAUCAUUAAAUAAAUAAUGAAUUCCAAAUUUAUUACAUCAUGUCAUGAUUUUAAGUGCUUUAUCCUAACAUUAUAUAUUUGAGAUAAACAUGAUAUAAUGAGAUUUAUGUUUCUUUGUUAUAAUAUUUCAAUAAGUAAUUGUGUUUUAAUUUUAAUAAACUAUGCAUGCAUGAAACAAUUCAAGUAUCAUUAGCAUCAUUGGUAUCAUUGUGAGACAAAAGUUUCUCUUAUUACAUACUAAAGAGAUUUAAGUUAUCAAAAAGUGAAAACGGUUUUAUCUAGGCUAGUUUCAAGUUGACAACUUUUAAAUUGUUUAUCAUGUGAUAAAGAACUUUUCCCUACAAAUGAUACUUGAAUUGUAUAAUUAGACAGUGUAGGAAAACAUAAUAUCUAUGAAGUUAACUGUUUAUUCUUAAUUCAAUUUUUAGAAAUUUUGGUAGUCUUUCCUCUUAUUCUCUGGGUGCAUAUUUGGAUAAAGUUGCAUAGUAUGCCUUGUCCAUUUUACAUACUUAGAGAACUAUAAGGAAAUUCUACUAAAACUUCUUUAAAAUGAAAUUGACCACAUUGGUCAUUGACACAUAGAGAUUAUGUAUUUCUAUAUGGGAUAGGAACUACUACCGAAUUUAGGAUGUUGGAGAUGUUAGAAUGCAUAAAACAUGCAUCAAAAUUUGACAUACUCAAAUGAUUUUCUUUAUUUAGUAAAUUAGUAUAGAUAAUGUUUGAUGCAAAGGUCAUGGACAAACCCAAUAUAAUAAUAUUAAUAUGCACUAGUUUUAUUGAGGUUAUACAUCCCUUUUAAUGCAAGUAUUCAUGGUCAACAACAUUUAUAACUUAUUAGUCACUACUACAAAUAAGAUAUACCAUGACCUUGUUUUUUCCUUGGCACUUUUAAAAAUGUUAAUAAUUAGCGUGAUAUUUCAAAAGUGUAGAUCUAUGUUCAUAGAUCAAAAUGGUUAGAACAAUGCUUACUUUUUUUCUUUUAAAUUUGGCAUCUUAAAGAAAUGUUGAACUACACUUUCUUGAUUAUUAUUUGAACAAAAAAAAAAGGUUGUUAAACGAAUAGCAUAGAAAAUGUUGCUAUUUUCUUCAAUUUGAAGUUUGAUCACUAUUGAAAGUUUGUUCUUAAAAAAUGGAUCAUUUGUGGAUUUCAAAGGAUAGAGGACUAAAGGAGUAUGGGGAUGGGGUAGAACAUUUUUAUCACAUUUGCAAUAUAAAAUUCUGCAUAUAAAAACUCCAUUAAAUGUCCAUGCUUGUAGAGUGGUAAUAUGAUAUUUCAUACUCCUCAAAGAUUUCCUCAAAGAUUUCCUCAAAAUAUUAGAGAGCAUAUGUUUUUCUAUAGAAUUAAUCAGAAUUACCAUAUAUGUUAUUGGCAUGGGGAAGCAACUCCAAGUGAACCACCAACUAGAAGGGUAGAACAUUAUAAUAUGGUUCAAUUUAAUGAUGUAGAUAGUACAAUAGAAAUGGUUGAAGUUGUACAAGUUGAAUGUCAAAAUGACCUAAAAUUGCUUGAAAGAUUACUUCAAAUUGUUGAAAAACCUUUUAUAUCCUAGUUGUAGAAAAUUCACACAAUUGUUUGCAUUGGUUAAAUUAUACAACUUGAAAACACACUAUGAGUGGUCUGAUAAAAGCUUUUCAGAGCUUUUAAAAAUGCUUAGAUAUAUGUUGCCUCUAAAUAAUGAGUUACCCUUGUCUAUGUAUGAGACAAAAAUGGCAUUGAAUACAUUAGGAAUGGAAUAAGAAAAAAUACACGCAUGCCCCAUGAUUGUAUACUUUACAGGAAUAAGUUGAAAGAUGCAUUUCAUGUCCUAUCUAUGGAACUUCAAGGUGAAAGGUAGAUAAUAUAGGAACUAAAAAAAUGACAGGAACUCCUGGGAAAGUAAUGUGGUAUUUUCCUCCAAUUCCAAGAUUUAGAAGAAGGUUUCAAUCAUAAAAAAUCGUAAAAGACCUCAUAUGGCAUACCUAAGGAAGAGAUUUAGAUGACAAAAUGUGUUAUCCAGCUGACUCUCUAUCAUAGCUAAUUGAUCAUAAAUGGCCCAACUUUGUUUCAAAACCUAGAAACUUGAGACUUCCCAUUUUAGCAGAUGGUAUAAAAUCCUCACAAUUCAUUGAUUAGCAAAUAUAGUUGUUUGUCCUAAAGAGCUCGAAGCAGCAACUAUGGACAAUGUUUUUUUUAUCAUAAAGAGUAAGUUAUGGGCAACACUAUGGCUGUAAAUAGAGGUAAAACCUUUAACUUGUUUUUAGUUUGAUUUUUCUUUUCUUUCAUAAUGGAAAUAGAAAAUCAUCUAAACAAAUAGGACCUUAAUAAUUUUUUUUUUCUACAAUUUAUUUUUGAAUAAAAUAAUUUAAAAGAUUCCAUUCUUAUAUUUGUUAGACUUUUUUUUAAUGAAGAAAAAAAUAGUCUCCCUUUUAGCAUAUAUAUUAUAUAUGAUUAACAAUGGGUAUAAUAAAAUUUAUUUAAUAAAUAAUUGAUGUGACAUUCUAAAUUGAAAGUCAUAAAUUAGCUCAUUAGUUUGAUGUUGGCCCUAAAACUACAAGACUUGAUUACAUACUUAGAUUUUAUUCUUGAAAUUUAAGAGAUAAUUGAUGUGACAUCUUGAAUUGAAAGUCAUAAAUUAGCUUAUUAGUUUUAUGUUGGCACUAAAACUACAAAACCCAAUUACAUAAAUUUUGUUCUUGAGAAAUGUCAUUAUGGUUCAUAGUAAGGCUUAGUUUGGUGUGUUAGACCAUGCAUGCAUGAUAUCUCUUCACAUUCUCUUGUUUUUUGACAAACAUGCUACCAUACUUAAGGUGUUUGUCAAGGCUCAUCUUGGACUACUCAAAACUUUGGGGUCCUUUCUUUGAGUUCACAAGCUUCUUUCCCCUAGUGUCAACCCCAACUCCCAAAAUCCACUCCUUAGUAGUGCACUGACGAAAUCUACAAAUGCACUAUAAAGUGAGAAUGGCAUCAUGAAAAUGUAUUAAUGCAUCGUAGAUGUGGGAACUUAAAAAUAUAUAUAUAUAUAUAUAUAUAUAUCUAGAGUUUAGACUUGUUUCUAUUAAUUAGAAAUUACUAAGCAAUGAAUCUUGCUAGUGUGGAAAGUACCAAUAGAUUGACCAAGGAAGGUAUAUGUAAAAAAGAUUGACAUUGUCAAUUGGAAAAAUUCCUUUACAAACGUCAACCCUAUCUUCCUAACCAUCAUGGAUGUUGAGAAGUAGAUAUCGAUGACUAUGAUGAGGAUCACAAAGGAUUAUCAUACCAAGGAGUUAGACAUUUGUUGGGUUAUCAACAAUUUUAAUGAGGGUGGUAUUAACUAUUUGGUUGUUGAUAGUGUAUUGCGUAGUUCCACCAAGCCAAUCUGCUCCUGCAUUGAGAUCAAUCUCGAUGAAAAGGUAGCAUAUAUUUUUCAUUUCCUAAUUCUAUCAAUUGCUUCAUGGUGCCUUUGUCUAAUAAGCUUAACAGGUUCUUCUACAUUUUCACCAUUUAAUUCUCUAACGUUCAUCAUGAUAGGGUUGAAAUUUCAUCAUCAAAUCAAAACAUAUCCUCCUAUAAGAGGCCUUUGAAUUCUGAAAUAAUCAAUUCACUUUAUUCUCAUAUUGGCAAAGACAAGCUUACACUAUUGGAAAGACUACCCCUAACCUUUGCCCUCCCAAAUAGCAAAGAUGAGAGAGAACCUUUCACAAAAUCACAAGAAUUAUUCAAGUUUGGAAUUCAUAGGCAUUGUUAUUGAAUUUCAUUUGUAUAAAAUUGGUGUGUUGUGUUUAUUUUGUUGGUAUUAAAAUUGAAUUUUUUUUAAUUGCAAAUUGAUGAUUUUUUUUCUCUCUCACAUUUAUACCCAUUAGAGUUUCUUAUUAGGGUUUGUGUUUGAAAUUUGGAGAAAGUAUGGUGCAAUUGUUCAUCGGUGUGGUGUACCAUUUUGUUUGUUGUAUCUAAUAUUUGGGUAUUUGAUUUAAUUUUAUUGUUGUUGAAAUUGAAAGUUGAAAUCCAAGUUAAUUGUUUAACUAGCUAUUUGUAGUUGACUUGUUUUGCACCAAUCUUGAUUACCCAUUUCAUGGGAAUAAUCGAUUCCAAUUUUCCUUCAUGGUUACUAAAAAUAUAUUGUAGGUGAAGGACUAUUAUGGAGUAUAUUAAUUCACAAGAAAAAUGUUCCUUUAGUUAGUAAAAACUUCAUUCAUGUGGUCAUUUAUGAGCAUCAUAAUAAUCCAUAUUAAAAAUAUUUAAAAACAUUAAUGCACUAAAACAUUGAUUUCAUCAACAAAAAUACACUCAUUCUUUUGACUUAUAGCAUUCAAAGAUGUUUAAAAAUAUAUAUGUACAAUAAAACAUCAUCGAAUUUAUUAACAAUUAAACUUUUAACCCCAAAACAAUCCGUUACUUUAGUAGAUAAGACACUAUUGGAAUAACAUUAUUUUUAGCUCAAGUUAGAAGUUAAAAUGAUAAGGUUAAAAGAACAAAACCAACAAAAAAAAAAAGUUAUUUUUUGUCAAACUUGACACUAGUACAAUUUAAAUAAUGUAGCUCAAUGCCCUAUUGAAUUGAGUCAUAUAACUAGACUCCCUAAUUAUAUAUUAUGAUACACACACAACCUUUGGUCUAGUAUACAUGAUUAAAUUAAAUGCCAACCUAGUUUGCAAAGCUAAACUGGAAUCCCAAAUCUAGUUCAUUAUAAAUACUCUUCAACCAACUUGCUACAACAUUCAAAUAAGACAAUGACAAUGAUAGAAAACCAAAAAAAUACCUAAUAUAUCAUUGAAAACUCCUUCCUAAAGGAGGUAAAAAAAAUCAUGAAGUAACUUUCUUCUAUUAAUAAAAAUGGGAAUACAAUGAUCUAUAUAGUGUUUUAACUCGAAACUGAUGGUAUUACAAAUAUUAAAGAAGAAAUUUAAAACACACACACACACACACACAACAAGCAUGUUGUCAAGCUUAUAAGAGUUGGAGAAAUUUCUCCAUAUAAAUCUUCAAAACAUGAUGGAGAGUAACCUUGACAUUUAAGUCAAUAAUAUACAAGGAAAGACAACCCAAAAAGAUACAACUUUGAGAACAAACUCUCCUUUUUGCUUUUUUACAUAACCUUUUUUUUUUUUUUUUCCUUUUUGAAAACUUCUCUCCUUUCCUCUAAUUGUUACACCAUACAACAAUCCUAAAAAAACAGAGUUUAAAGGCUUGUUUGAUAACUGUUUUUAAAAAUAAUUUUGAAAAAUAGUUUUUGAAAAUUAUUCUCUAAUGUUUAAUUUGUAGAACAAAAGUUUGUUUGGAAACCCAAAAUAUUUUUAACAUGUUUUUAAUGUUGUUAAAUAUGUUUUAAAAAUAAUUUUUAUGUUUAGUAUUUUAUUUUUAAUCAUUUUAUAUGUUUAUAUAAUUAUUUUUUAAGGCAAACCUUAAAAAAUAAGUGAAAAUAACAUAAAACACUUAAAAGAUAUUAUCUGAAAACACCUUAUUUUAUUGUAACAGAAAAUAAAAAGCGGUUUUUGGUUGUCAAACAUGUUUUCUUAAUUUUUUAUUUUGAAGAAUAGAAAUUUGUUCUUGAAAAUAUCUAGUUAUCACAUUAGUUAUUGCCCAUUUUAUGAUUUUAAUUAUUGCUUAAAAACUAGUUUUUCAGCUAAAAAAGAAGGUCCACUACUUAUGGGUCAAACCUUCAACUUUCAAACCCGAACACAAAGUUAUAGUCAAGACUAAUAUUCACAUAUUAGUAUUAAUAUAGUUCAUUAAAUAUGAAUUUCUAUUGAAGCCAAAAUCGAGUUUUUAGGGGAAGUAACAUUCACUUUCAAUUAAGCAAUUUUUAACUCAUAAGUUAGUACUUGUAACAAAAUUUCUUAAUAGAGACUUUAAUUGAGUUUUAAGAAGAAUUUUUUGUUUGUUAAAAACCAAUUCAAACAAAAUCUAAAACUAAUAUUAUUAUCUAAAAGACAUAAUGAACAACAUAAACCAUAAACCAAAGUGGUAGUGACAACCAAUAUGUAGCGUCAAUGAAUAAUUGAAAAUAACCUCAUUUUCUAAUGACCUCGAACCUAGAAGCUCUAAAAUUCUUGCCUAAUUCCUUGUGAUGACUUUGGUUCAACCUUAAUGGCGAGGGCAAAAUUCUAAAUAAUUUUUGUCACAACUCAUAAAUUUAGAAGAAAAAAAUGAGAAUAAAUGGAAUCCCUAAUGAGAAAUUGUUAUUUUUCCCCUUUAUGACAAAAAUAGUAACCUACUAGUAUUAUUAAAUAACAUGGAAAUUAUUAUUUCAACUUUAAUACCAUGUAUGACAUAACUUUAACAACCUUAAUUUAUAAGAUUAUUUAAUUUAAAAGGAUAAAACAAUUACAUAUUCAUAAGAAUCGCUUCUAUUUUUUAAAAACAAUAAAUUCCAUUUUUUGGACAAAAAUACCCUCCAUUGUUUUUAUCAACAUUUCACAAUCAAACACUUAUUGGAAAAAAAAAAGUAUAAGGGUAGCUAUAUUAAAAUGAGGUUAUAAUUAUAAUACUCAAUAAGUGGAGAUUUUUUUUCCAAAUAUUGGGAUCAUCUUCUCCAUUUGACACAAAUAUUUAUAAUUUAUAUUAUAAUUACUCUUAUAGUAAGAGAGAAAGAGUAAUUUCACAUGAAAUGGACCCAUAAACAUAGAUUUAUUAUGAGGCAUGAUACUAUAAUAAUAAUAGGAAAUAAGACGAGACGUGAUACCAUAAUAAUAGAAAAUAAGAUAAGUAAUUCAAUACUUAAUGAAGGUCUGAAAUAAUUAUGUUUCUCAUUAAAUGAUAUUAAAGACGAAAAAAAACUUAUUAAUUUUUAUUUUAAGUAUUAAGAUUAUUUAAUAAAAUUAACUUAAAAUUUAUUUUAAAUUAUCAAAUUGAUAUAUUUAUUUUCAUAGAUUAUAACUAAGGUAAAUGAAAUCAAGUAAUAAUGGAUGUCAUGUAGUGAAAGAGAUCCUAGAGGCAACGGGACAAAUUGUGGUAAAAAAUGUCAAAUAAAAAUACGAACUUAAGAACAAAUUAAUUGUUUGUACUUAUUACUUAAAGUUGUUAUUUAUUUUAUAUUAUUAAAUUAUUUUACUAAAUAUGCUUAAUUUAUUUAAUGACUUAAAUUAAUUUAUUAGUCACUUUAGGCUAUUAAAUCGGGUUUACCAAUCAUAUCGAAUACAUUUGGCUAGUAGGCCAAGACUCAAGAAUAUUGCUAUCAUAUGUUUUAUGUAUUAAGGUGCCAAGAAUAAUUCACCACAAAAUAUAUGAUGAGUUGAUAAGUAUAGGAUACAAUCUAAAAUAUGCACUUGAUUUCAUCAUCUAAAUAAAUGCUCUCGGCAAAUGGAUCAUCCUAGCUGAUACCAGAGCACAAGCCGCCAUGGACAGGAGGCAACGGAGAAACCCUUCUGCUUCUUCUUCUGCCUUUUCAUCUCCAGCUUCAUCCUCAUCGCGUUUCCGCUCAGAGAAAUUCUCCUCGAAUCCCCCAAAAACUAGUAACUCCCUGGAGGAUGCUCACCAAUUGAAAAGCAAAUGUGGGAAGCCACAAAGACCAAAGCAAGAGGAGGAAGGAGAGCAAGAUCCGAACAAUCUUCUCUCCUUAGUUGGAACUUGCCCAUUCAUGUGCCCUGGUAAAAAUGCGUGCUUAUUUUUCCAUUUUUUUAAAAUUCUAUUUUCCUGUUAUUCUGUGUUUGGUUUCCGAGAAAUUGGAGGAAAACAGUAGAAAAGAGAAGUGAAUCUGGAGUUUCUGUGUCAUUUUUGUGGCUUUUACAUAAAUUUUACAAAUAAAAUUGAUAUUUCUCCCCCUUUAUUAGAUACCAAUCUGCAGAAGAUGUAGGAAUCCCAAAAAAAAAUUCGCUUUUGCCUUUACUUCCCCCAAAUCUUUCAUAAUGGAAAAUGGACUUACCACCUCUUUUAUCACUUUUCCUUUACCAUGUCAGGUUUACAUGUAAUCAAACACUGUAUUUGGAGUAGGGCACUUAUUCUAAUGUCAAAUGGUGUUGAAAACUUGAAUUACUGGAUCUUAAGACUCCAGAAGAAAUUUGAUUGUUUAUGAUUAUUGCUCCAUGAGAAGGGAAAGGGAUUUCUUUUGUUUUUGCUCACAUAUAUGGCCAAAUUGAUUUAUCUCCUUCUCAUACGAACAAAAUAAGGACAUUUCUUGUCUUGCUGCCUUUUAUGCCACCGGUUCCACAUGCUGAUGUGACAACCCUUUUGCUAUUCUGUACAAAUGGUAGGAAAAUUCUGGUAAGACUGGUGGCCAGCCUAUCAUGUUCAGGGAAUAAAUUCAUUGUAUAUCUGGAAUUCACUCUAUAUCAGCAUAGGGUGUUGAUACUGAUUAUAAAUGACAAAUUCAAUUUAUUAUCCUUACAUUAGGGAGUGCUAAAAGGAUGCAAAUUGUUCAUGUUAUACCCAAAGACAUACAAGUGAUGCUAGAGAUUUUCACAAUGUGGAUAAUCAUAGAGUAGAGAUGAACACUAUGGAGUCUUUUGGCAUGUGUUCAUUCCAUGUACGGGAACAUGCAUUGGAAGAUUAUGUUUCCUCCUCCCUUCCCCUCCCCAAAGUUAAUACUAUGUUGUCAUGGCAAGAACUUUGGUGACAUGCUUCUGAGUGGAAUAGCCUCCUAGAAGUCCAUUUAUGUGGCAGUUGGCAAGUUCUUCCGGUCAAUGAGAACUUUGUGACUGUCUGAUUGUUGUACUAAUCAUCAUCAGAUUUUUUUUUAAGUUCAAGUUGUAAAUAGCCUUUCACAGUUGAAGGUAGCGAUGAAGAGGCCUGUUGACAUAAUUAUUUCUUCUGCUUGAAUGGAUUAAAAUCAGAUACCACACCUUCAGCCUAGAAAACUAUGGACUUUCCUAUGUACCUGCAAUUGGCUGAAUACUGGUGUGGCACUGACUAAAGGCUCUCUGAUGCUGUUAUUAAUUUCCUGAGCAAAUUAGAGAAAACAGAGAGGUCAUAAUGUGAAUCAGUUACCUCUUGAGUAGGGAUGAAGGCUUUUUAUAACUUUUUACUUUCUGGUUAGGCCUUGGAAGCACUUCUGUGAACCAUGAUUUUGUACUGUAAAAUUAGAUGGGAUGGAUAGGUCACCUUAACUCUACUUUUGGAAGUGAUUGGGGAGCGCAUGACUGUAUGAAUAUUGAUGUGUUCUCCCCAUACAGAGCCCAACUUCUUUUUGAACUAGGAAGCAUGAAGGGUGGGUGGAUGUGGGCUGAGGAAGGAAGAUUUGACUUGUGUGCCGCAGGCCUGCGGUACCAAUUUGUUCCAGAACUUGAUAAGGCCCAUAAACUGGUAGGCAAGUUUCAUUAUUUGGUCACCACUGAAUUUUGGCAGUAUGGCCACAAGGAAGGUAGGAAGGAGAGGGAGAAGAGAAAACCCCAAUUGCCAAUUGCAAGCUUCCGGUUGGCACAGUGCUCAUUGCUGACAUUUUCAUUUGAUUUUGACCUUGCAACAGAUACAGCUUAACAUGAUGGACCAGUUUUUCACAAUCUUGUGAUUCAUUACCCAACUUCUAGUAACAGUUUCUCAGCAGAUGACUCACCUAUGACAGGCUGAUGAUGUCUGCACACAACUUGAAAGGUAUUCAUGCCAAGGUGUGAAAGGUAAUAUUGUGACACCAUUUUGCCUAUUCCAGAAAAUGUAACAAAUGUAUGGCUGGUUCUUGACCUAAAAAUGCUGGCAUUGGUCACCAAGUGCUAGGGUGAUUCUUGACAAAAAAUGUUCGUAUUGUUCAGAACAAUGAUUUACAACUUCAGAUUGGCCAUCCAGUUAACGAUGAUAAUCACUUGUUUUACAAAGUUCAGUGUCAUAAAAGCAAAAUAAUUUUGUCAACAAAUAUGCGGAUAACUUUAUCAUAAUUACUACUUAUGGAAGUUAAGGAUAAGUUGGGUAAUGUGAGAAAGUUUUGGUCAGAGGAUAUGAGGAUAAAUUUGUUGCAAUUGCUAAGCUUCACCUCCUAGGACUACUAGGAGAAACGUAUGAGCAAUAGAACAAAUUUACAGUCCAUCCCCAUUAGCUGCAUGGAGAGGUUGGGCUUAUUGCUGCUAUGGUGGAGGUCACCUUCUUGUAGACUUUGAAAUCUGCGAAUGAAGAGGCAGAUUUCUUAGAGGAAUUGGUAGGACUCCAAGCCCCCCAAAUGACAGGGGGGUGGGGAGGAUGGGGGUGGUGGGGGGCCAUUUCUAAUUUCAUGUCUUCUCAAUGUGGAUUUGAGGUUUAACGAGAUUUUUGGGAAAUCAUUAAGGUUAAAAGUAAUUGAAAGAGUGUGUCUGUGGAGAGCAAGAGGGGGAAAUGUUUGGUUCCCAACUGGGGUUGCUUCAUCUGACCGUUAAUCUCACAGCAAACACCGACGGAGCGUUGUUGUUGGAGGCUUCCAGGUUCUCUGAUCAAUUCUCUUGUUCUUUGUUUUCUUUGGGGAAGCGGGAAACCUCUCUUUCUUCUAUUCCUUCUGGGCGGGAUGGGGAAGGUGUUGCCAUUGCCAGGGUUUCCGAUCAGGGCAGUGGUUUAGAAGCCGUAGGGGGAGCUGUUAUGGGCCCGUUAAGGAUGAUAUUGGCGGAUGGGAGGGAGGCCGAGGUCUCAAAUUUGGCGGGUAGGGAGUUUGGGACUUUCGAGGAGGCGUCAGAGGGGGUUUCGAAAAGGGUCUCCCAAGAGGAUGAAGAAGAGAGGGACAAAGAGGGGGAACUGUGUUGGCAUUCUAGUAGCUUGGCUAAGUUCAGCCGCUAUCUUGGAAUGCCGAUGGAGGGCUUCGAAGGGGAAAUUUUGUUUUUGCUUAAAAGAAUGAAAGAGAAGAAACUUCAAAAAGGAAAGUUGAAUGGCAGAAAAAGGAAAAAAUUGGAGUCAUCAAAAUUCGAAAUAGAAUUGAGAAAGUUGGAAUGGACAGUGAAUUAUCUUGGAGGAGGAGGAGGAGAGGGGGGGGAAGUACGAGCAGGUCUAAAUGAAGCUCCGACUGCUCACUUGGAAUGUAAGAGUGACCAAUAAUUGUGAUAAGAGGAAGGUGAUCAAAGCGUUGAUAAAGAAGAAUAGGGUGGAUCUGGUUUGCCUAUAGGAAACCAAGAUUUAGGAAAUGUCAAUGGGCAUUAUCCGUAGCUAAGGAGUGGGAAGAUUCCUUGAAUGGGGAGCUGUAGAUUCAAGGGCACAGCUGGAGGUAUAGUGGUGUUUUGGGAUAACAGGGUGUUGGAUUUGGUUGACCUUCAAAAAGGAUUGUUCUCUAUUUCUUGCACUUUUAAGAGUUGCGAGGACGGUUUCAUAUGGACGUUUACAAGGGUUUAUGGCCCAACAUUGAGGAGGAAUAGGGAGAGUUUUUGGGAGGAGUUGGGGGCCAUUAAGGGGCUUUGGAAUGGGCCGUGGUGUGUUGUAGGGGAUUUUAAUGCCAUUCUAAGUCCGGAAGAGCGCAACAGAGGAGGGAGCUUGAAUUCAAACAUGAGAAGGUUCUCAGAAGUUAUAGAAGAUCCAGAGUUAAAGGAUCUGCCUAUGGUUGGGGGUCCUUUUACUUGGAUUGGAGGGGUGAAUAACCAGUCUUUUUCAAGGCUGGAUCGUUUUUUGGUUAAUGAGGGGUGGGACAGUCAUUUUGGUGAUGCGAGGCAGUUUGUUCUACCAAGACCUGUGUCCGAUCACUUUCCGGUUCUUCUGGACGGAGGGGGCCUGAGAAGAGGCCCUUCCCCAUUUAGAUUUGAGAAUAUGUGGCUGAAACUGGAAGGUGUUAAGGACCUUUUGAAGCAUUGGUGGGAGGAAGGUAGCUUCAGUGGAUCCCCAAGUUUUAUCUUGGCCGAAAAACUAAAAUUUAUGAAGGCUAAGCUGAAGAAGUGGAACAGAAACACAUUUGGUAGGGUUGAAUAUAGAAAGAAUUUGGCUUUGGAGCAGGUGGAGUUUUGGGAUACCAAGGAGAAAAUUAGCAGACUGUUGUUGGAAGAGCUGGAAGCUAGAAAAGAAGCGAGGGAAGAUUAUAAAAAAUGGGUCUUACUUGAAGAAAUCACGUGGAGGCAAAAAUCUAGGGAAGUGUGGCUGAAAGAAGGGGAUAGAAAUACCGGUUUUUUCCACAAGAUGGCCAAUGCUCACAGGAGGAGGAAUAAUGUGGACAGAAUUAAGAUUAAUGGAGCCUAGCUUACAUAGGAGAAUGGAAUUAGGGAAGGGAUUGCCAAUGCUUUUAGGUUGUUGUUGUCCAAUCCGGGGGAAUGGCGCCCUUCUAUUUUCGAGCUGCAGUUUGAGACUUUGGAGCCUUUGGACGCUAGUGCCUUGGAGAUUCAUUUUUCGGAAGAGGAGGUCUUCGAUGCACUAUUGGGCUGUAAUGGGGAUAAAGCCCCGGGGCCAGAUGGAUUCUCUAUGACCUUUUGGCAAUUUGCUUGGGAUUUCGUGAAGGCUGAUGUGAUGUGUUUCUUCAAGGAGUUCAAUGAAAAUGGCAAAUUUGUUAAAAGCCUAAAUGCAACUUUUAUGGUCCUAAUCCCAAAAAAAGCAGGGGUUGAAGCCUUAGGGGAUUUUAGGCCUAUAAGCUUGGUGGGAAGCUUGUACAAGUGGCUGGCCAAGGUCUUAGCUAAUAGGCUAAAAAAGGUGGUUGGAAAGGUGGUCUCCAAGGCUCAAGGGGCGUUUGUGGAAGGUAGACAAAUCCUAGAUGCAGUGUUGAUAGCUAAUGAAGCCAUUGAUUUGGUUCUCAAGAAUAAUGAGAAUGGCAUUCUGUGCAAACUGGAUAUAGAGAAGGCGUAUGAUAACAUGGACUGGACUUUUAUUCUCACAGUUAUGCAGAAAAUGGGUUUUGGGGAAAAAUGGAUCAGGUGGAUUAAGUGGUGUAUAUCCACUGCAGGUUUCUCCGUGUUGGUCAAUGAAACCCCUACGGGUUUCUUCCAAAGCUCCAAGGGUUUGAGACAGGGUGAUCCCCUUUCCCCUUAUCUCUUUGUGAUAGUUAUGGAGGUCUUUAGUGCUUUUCUUAAAAGGGCUGUAGAGGGAGGUUUCUUAUCGGGUUGUAGGGUGAAGGGUAGGAGUGAAGAAGGGGUCCUAAUUUCCCACUUGUUGUUUGCUGAUGAUACACUGGUGUUCUGUAAACCUUCACAAGAUCAAUUGACUUAUCUCAGUUGGUUACUUAUGUGGUUUGAGGCCGUUUCGGGAUUGAGAAUAAAUUUGAAAAAAAGUGAACUCAUUCUAGUAGGGAGGGUAGAGAAUAUGGAUGAUCUUGCUUGGGAAUUUGGUUGUAGACUGGGUAGCCUUCCAACCACCUAUUUGGGGAUGCCCUUGGGUGCUCUUUUUAAGUCAGUUACAGUUUGGGAUGGUGUGGAAGAGCGCUUCUGAAGAAGGUUAGCCAUGUGGAAGAGACAAUAUUUAUCCAAGGGAGGAGGGCGACUCUUAUUCGAAGCAUGUUAUCGAAUUUACCCAUCUAUCUCAUGUCAUUGUUGUGCUUACCAAGCUCAAUUAGACGGAGAUUAGAGAAAAUCCAAAGGGACUUCCUUUGGGGUGCAAUUUGGAGCGAAAGCCUCAUUUAGUAAGAUGGGAGUUGGUGUGUUUAAGUAAGAAGAAAGGAGGUUUGGGGGUCAAAUGCCUUUCCAUUCUCAACAAGGCUCUUCUUGCUAAAUGGAAUUGGCGUUUUGCAAAUGAGAGAGAAGCUUUGUGGAAUCAAGUGAUUAGGGGGAAGUAUGGAGAAGAUAGAGGGGGUUGGUGCUCUCGGGAAGUGAGAGAGGCUCAUGGUAUGGGGUUGUGGAAAGGAAUAAGGAUGGAUUGAGAGUUGGUGAGCGAUAGGAUGGUUUUCAUUGUUAGUAAUGGGAGGAGGGUGAGAUUUUGAAGGGAUAGAUGGUGCGGGGAUUCUCCUUUGUGUAUGUCUUUUUCUUCUCUUUUUGAUUUGACUGUUGAAAAGAAAGCGUGGGUGGCAGAUUUUGGGACCCUUUGGCUAAGGGGGGUUUGGGGGGGGGGGGGGGGGUGGGAACCCCGUUUUUUAAAACUUUUCAAGAUUUGGGGGGAGAGGGAGGGGAAAAAUUUUUUGCGAAGGUUUCUGGUUAAAAAAUUUUUUGGGNNNNNNNNNNNNNNNNNNNNNNNNNNNNNNNNNNNNNNNNNNNNNNNNNNNNNNNNNNNNNNNNNNNNNNNNNNNNNNNNNNNNNNNNNNNNNNNNNNNNAAAAAAAGGGUGGGGGGGCAAUUUUUGGGCCCUUUUGGUUAAGGGGGUUUGGGGGGGGGGGGGGGGGUUGGAACCCCUGUUUUUAAGAGCUUUCAAUGAUUGGGAGGUAGAGGAGGCGGAAAGAUUUUUGCAGAGGCUUCAUGGUAAGAGAGUUAUUGAGGAUGUGGAGGAUAUGGUGUCUUGGACUGAAACUAAGAGUGGUAAAUUCUCGGUCAAGUCUCUUUAUGUUGCCCUUGAAGCGGGUUGUUCAUCUCUGUUUCCUUUAAGCUAUAUUUGGAAUGUGAAUGUGCAGCCCAAGAUUAGUUUCUUUACAUGGGAGGCUACGUGGGGCAAAGCCUUAACCUUGGAUAUGGUCCAGAAAAGAGGACGGGCAUUGGCAAAUAGAUGCUUUAUGUGUCUUGAGAAAGAGGAGACCAUAAACCAUCUGCUCCUUCAUUGUUCAAGAACAAGGGUGUUAUGGGAUCUACUUUUUACUUUAUUUGGGGUGUCUUGGGUAUUGCCUUCUUCAGUUAGAGAGACCCUUCUAAGCUGGAAUGGUUUUUUCGUGGGCAAAAAAUGCAAAAAGGCGUGGAGAGUUGCUCCUCUUUACAUUUUCUGGACGGUUUGGAAGGCGAGGAAUAGAUUGGCUUUCAAGGAUGAUAUGUUGUCAAUUUAGCAACUGAAACACUCUUUUAUCCUUUCUUUUUGGUCCGAGAUUAAGUUGUUUAUAGAUGAUUGCCCUCUAACUAUAGCUAAUUUUAUUGAUUGGUUGGGCUCUAAGUAGGAUUGGGUUGUUGGGCUAUCUUUGUUUUUUAGCCUUGUUGGAGGCGGGUGUAUAGGUAUUGUAUACCUUGAGUCACUUUUUUAGCGUUUCUUUUAUAUAUGAAAUCUUAUUUACUUAUCAAAAAAAAAAAAAAUGUAAUCGAAGACUUUCACAUUAAUGAGGUAAUGAAUAACCACUGAUACUUCUUCACCCCAAAGUUCCUUCACAAAAAUUUGGUAAGUGAAGAACCAUUUCUGAGUUGUGAAGCACCAAUUCCACCUUCAUUAUCUUGAUCUUUAGAAAGAGGGAUCCAACUUGAUUUGGGAUUUUAUACCUGUCAACCCAGUCACUAAUUUUUAGGAGAAUACUUCCAAUUUACCCUUGGGUUGCUUUAGAAAGUUUCUUAAUAGUGCCAUCUCUCUAGCUUAAGGGGCUUUUGUUAAUGGAAGGCAAAUACUAGAUGUGGUUAUCAUUAGUAAUGAAAUCCUAGACAAAUACUAGAUGUGGUUGUCAUUAGUAAUGAAAUCCUAGAUGAAAAAUUCUGUUCUAAGGACGAAGGGAUGGUUUUUAAAAUAGGUUUUGAGGAAGUUUAUGAUCACAUAGAUUGGGGUUUCAUGUAUGAUACAUACUUUGAAUAGGGAAGGCCUUGAACCUGGAUGGCACAAAGGGACUGGAUAUUUUGAGGUUGUUUUUCAAACUGCAGGCUCUUUAAUGGUGUUAUUGAAGCUGAGUGUUUAGCACUCGAGGAAGAUUCGGAUAUGGUUGUUUGCCUGGAUGUAAUGAACCUCCAUAUUGAAGGGGAUUCCUUUGUUAUUGUCUCAAAACCUUCUUUGAAGGCAAAGGUCCUUAGUGGAUUGCUCAUCAGAUGGGGUGGCUUCAUAAUCAUGCUAGAGACAUUGCUUGUUCUUCUCUAUUGAGGCCCAGAUCAGCUAGCCAGGUGCAUGGCUAUAUUUUUCUUAUAGGGAUGCUAAUAUCUGAAAAUUUUUAUUGAGAACACUUACUGCUCUUUGAUUGGUUUGAGGCAUGGAGUGGCUUUUCUGUUCUCUUCUUGCCAUACAUGCAUAUCAUCCCUCUUUUUUAUCUUGUUUAACUCAAUAAAUUCUCAUUUGUUAUAAGGAAAAAAAGAGAUAUUAUGUUACAUGAUGGAAGGACUUUAUUCUGUUAUGGAAUAGGCAAAACCUAGAUCUAUUGGCUAGAGCUAUACAGUAGGUUGUUGGGCUGUUCAGCAUUGUCUUUUUUUUGGAUAGGUUUGGCCAAUGCCCCUUGAUGUUACUUUUUGGUAAUGUAAUUUUCUUUGAUUUUUCUUGAAAAUUCCUCAUUUUUCAAGCUUGCUUGUAUAUCUUUCCUUCUUCCAUUAAUGAUUGUUUGAUUCCUUACUAAAAUAAAUAACAAAUUAUGAUGCAAAAGGAUUACGUUUAUGGAAAAUUUUGAGAUUUUCACCAUAUUAGAGUCUCUGAAGUUGGUACUUGUCUUGACACAGAUAAUAGGAAUCAUUUUCCCCCCAAACUACAUAAGACAUGUCUGCUACUUGGUAAUGUUCCAUUGGCAGUUAUAAACUCUCCUGUCAAAAGUGAAUCUGUUGUAGCAUUCCAAAUGGUGUAGUGUCGUACAUAGAUUGGUAAUUGAGGACUUUAUUAUGGAUUUUGUCCUGUUGUGGUUGUGCCAACAAGUUCUAUCCUGUUCUUUGUCUUGCUGAUUUGGGUGGUUGUGCAUCAUGUUCCUACAGCUGUAUAAUUAUGCUUCAGGAGCAUAGUUAUUCUGGUUUUACCAUCCAGAUGAUGGUAUUAAAGUAUUUGUAUUCUAGAUUGCGCAACUCCUUAUAUGGGAUAUUUUUGCACCAAAUGCUUAGUGAUCAAGAGAACUCUCAUAUUAAACACAGUCAUCUUCUAUUAAACUAAAUUCCUUAAGUAUGCAGUCUCACAACUACAUCAUACCAUUCUUUUCCUUUUUUAUUCCUUUCUUGCUAUUACAGGUUGGUUGCCACUAAUAUAGUAGAAAGCAAAUUACACGACCCUGCUUCCAUAAGACCUUUCUUAUUCCAUAGGUUGAAAUAGAAAAAACACUCGAUGGGACUAAUGUUUCUCUUUGCAACCAAGCAAAUUAAAAUGUUUUGAAACCCAUGCUGCCAUGAUCUUAGCUAAUUUGCAUUUUAUAUCUCUACCCCUUUCUAUUUACCAUAAUGAUGCAUGCAUCUAGUCAAAUUGUGUAUUUCUUAUGCUUAUAUUUAUUUCCUGAUGAGUUUAUUCUGACUCUUUGAUCAGGAUUUCUGCAAUCACAUUGCUUGCUAUUGAAUUUUCAAUGGCUUAAUAUGAAUUAUUAAUAAAGAUGUUGUUUAAUUAUUUCAGCAGCUUAUACUUGGUAAUUUCUUUUAACAACUCUUAUCUCUGAUGUUCAUUUGUAAUAUAUAGCUGGAGAAAGGGCCCAACGUGAACGCCUUCGGGACUUGGCUGUGUUUGAGAGGUUACAUGGAAAUCCUGGGAAAACAUCUCCAAGCCUUGCUGUCAAAAAGGUAAACCCUACAUCUCAUUCCUCUAUACCGCAUCUUAGCUUCUCAUCUUGCAUCGGACAAUGAUACUCUUAUUGAAUCAUCUUUACCAUAUCAGCCAUCAACAUGUGCACUUAUUGAGCGCUAAUUCAGGCACUGAUACUUGUGCUUUUGUUUUGUUUUGUUUUAUCUUGUCUUGUUUUGUUUUGGAGGUGAUUGUGUUGGAUGACCUAUAUCUGUGUUAGACACCAAAGCCUAUCUUAAUGCUACUGUAAAGUAAGACUAUGCUAAUAAGCUAUUGAUCUGUUACAGGGUUUAUGCCAAACUGAUUUUUUAGUUUCUCUAGUAGAAAACUUGUUUUUUCCCCUGUUAUAUCGGUGCUAUUGUUGGAUUUGUGUUUGUUGUUGAUCAAGCAUUUGCUGAAACCUUUUUUUUUUUCCUUUGCUUCUUGAUGUGCAAAGCAUUAUUGUUUGAAUUUUAAUGAUCCCAUUUGAUUCACUAUUCAAUAUUUUUAUUUGAUAUUACAUCUAUCUCAUUUGUUUUCUUUUCUUAGUUUGUUUGUUUGUUUUUUUUUUUUUUUUUUUUUUGAAUUUGUGACAUUUGAAUUUGAUGGAGCCACCAUUAAUUUAUUUUUCCUUAUUAUUGUGGGGUGUGCUUUAUUUUGUUCAAUUGUUGUUGCACUAUUAUUGUCAUGUAACUUUUCUUUUUUGUUUUGUUUCUAUUGUUCCUAUGAGCAUUAAAUGCUUCUAAAAUGUAUGGAACAGGCUAAACCUUUCUAUAGUUUUUUUAAAAAAAAAACUCAUUUAUUAUCUAUUUUCUUGUGCUCAAAAAAUUAUAUUUUUUUAGUAAAAUUGAAAAUUUAGGGAGCGCUUAGGCCUCAGCGGCUCAACCCCUUGAGGGUUUAGGCCUGUCAUAGCAAGAUGUAAACCCCCUUGCCUCUUAUGCUUUUACCUUAUGAAACUAUACCAAGAAACAAACACCACAACUCCCUGCUGCCAUCAAAGGAUACUUCAAAGUUUGCUUCAAAUCAAUCUUAAGGCCAAUUAUCAUAGGCUUGUCAUCAUGUCACUAAAAUUGGUAUUGUAACCAAAGUCCUAUUGCGAAAUCUUCAAGUUGCAGCUCCUCCUUUUCUGUUGGCUCUUGUAUUGUUAGGUGGCCGCAACCUGUUGCUUUUCUUAUGCUUUAUGAACUACUCCAGUUAAAAUAAUGCUUCAAGUAGAUGCUUUCUGGAUCUUGAUUCUAGCAAGAGGCUUAUAUUGCAAAUUUUUUUGUGGAGUCCUAGAUAGGUUAACUAGGAAGACAAUAGCUUGCUUAAGAGGAUUGCCACCUCUCCUUUUGGGUUUGUAAAAAUUUUGGUUCUCCCUUGACCUUGGGAGUCCUAUGGUUUCAAUUUUGGAUGUGCUCUAGGUUGUAGCCUGUGUUAUGCUUUCUAAAUGGUAAUCUUCUUCUUGUUUUAGCUGGGAUGCUUUUGUUUAUUUUGCUCGUUUGUUUUCUUUGUUUCUUUAUUGUGGCUGUAGGAUCACCAAUCAACUUUUUAUUCUCUGCAAAAACUGUUUAUGUUUCAUAACGAAAAAGGAAAAAACAAAGGCAAGUUAGCCUAGAAUAGGUUUUAUCUUGUUUCUUCUUUUACCAUUAGUGUGGAUUCAAACUCAGGAAGAGGCCUUCAAACAAGUGGCAUUUGUGUUUUUUAAACAUAUAUCUUUAUUCAAUCAUUGUUAAGUGUUUGUUGUCUUGUCUGUUCUUUUGGUUGUUUUUGUCUUUGUCAAAGUGUAUAAUUAUAAUAUCCCACAUUGUAUAGAGGAAAAAGUUUCUAACGCUAUAUAUGUAUGAACUUUUUUUAAUCUUGUUGAUUCGUUUUUAAGCCGCGAGGGUCGUUUAGGCUCAAAGCAAAUAAUAUCCACACAACUGGGAGUAGGUUGUUACAAAUGGUAUCAAAGUCAAUCCUCGACCUUGGUAGGAGAGUUUGCUUGGCCUAAAAUGGGUGUCCGUUUAUUUGACCUUACAAUCCUAUGGGACACAAUAAGGACGUUGUGUCUGCAUGAGAGGGUGAUUGUAAUAUCCUACAUUACAUAGGGGAAAAAGUUCCUAACGUUAUAUAUCAUAGUUUUAAAAGGCUCAAGGCGCACCAAGGCGCAAAGUAGUCCUGGAGCCUGAGGCGCAAGGCGCAUCUAAGGCGCGGGCUUUAGUGAAGUGAGGCGCACCCUAAUUUACAUAUAUAUUUUUAUAUAAUAUAAUCAAAUUUAACAAUCAUUUAUUUGUCCUAAACACAUAAAUCAUCAAAUAUCAUCCAAAACUUCAAUUUAAUAAACAAAAAACAUAAAAAUAAAGAACUCCAAGCAUAAAAACAAAUCCAAAUCCAUAUUGCUAAUUGCCUAAUACAUAUCCAAAUCCAAAGUUUCCAAACCUAAAGGUCCAAAACAUGAAAUUUGUCCACAAUUCAAAAACAUCAUUAAAAAACACUUAAAUCACAAAUUUGUCCACAACAAGCAAUCAUCACUCCUCCUCUAAAUCAACAAAAUCAUCAUCAUCAUCAUUUCCAUCACCACAUUUGUAGCCUUCCCCAUCUUCUUCAUCUGCUGAAUUAACCAUGUCUCCAUCUUCAUCUUCAUCUAUUAGUGAAUAAGAAGGCAAAGUUCUAGAACUUGAAGCUAUCCCCCUUGUUGGUGGUAUUAUGCUUGAGCUUGCUCUAGCUCUAGCUCUAGUAUCAAACCUGGCCUCCUCAUCUCCAGCAGCUCUAGCAACAUCACCCCAUGUCAAAUUGUCAUCAUCAAAUACAAAAUCAUCUUGUGCACCUCCAUGAGAAUCCUCAUCUUCCAUUCUCCCUAUCAACCAUUCAUUGCUAUCAUCUAUAUCUUUCAAGGAAAUUGGGUCAAUGGUGUUACGUUCAUUGUAUCUUCUCUUCAAGGCUCGAUUAUACUUGAUGUACACCAAAUCAUUCAAGCGUUGAUGAUCUAACCUAUUUCUCCUCUUGCUAUGAAUCUGCAAAAAUUCAUAAGCUCAUAAAUAUAUUUUAAAAUUUUAACUUUUAAGUUACAUUCAAGACUCUAUUAGACUAUUACUUGUAAUUAUUUUGGAUUUGGUCACUCACAUUCUCAAAGAUGCUCCAAUUCCGUUCACAACCCGAUGCACUGCAUGUUAAGUUGAGGACUUUCAUUGCAAACUUUUGCAAAUUUGGAGCUGAAGCUCCAUAUGCAGCCCACCAUUCAGCUGUAGUAUAGAUAUUAACAAUUUAGUGAAACAAUUCACCUAUUUUAGCAAAAAUACAAUCUAAUCAUUUAAAUAAACAAAACUAAAUAACUAACCUGGUGCUCUAGUCUUUCUUGUCCUAACAGCUAACUCAUUCCCGAAUAGUCCUUGGGCAUUUGUGAACAAACUCACUUCGGCCACAACUUUUUCUUGCUUAGCAGGGUCUCUUGUUAGCCUUAAGAUGCAUUUAUACAAAUCACUCAUAAUCUCGGCAUCAUGCUCUAUUUCUGGCUUAUCAUAGAAGAAUUCCGGGUUCAAAAAGUACCCUGCUGCAUGCAAAGGCCGAUGAAGCUGAAUCUCCCACCUCUUAUCAAUGAUGUUGAAGAUUUCUUUGUACUUCUCUUCAUUUCCAUUAAAACUUCUCACAAUUGCAUCCUUAGCUCUAUUCAUGGCCUCAUAGAUGUAUCCCAUAGGAGCUUUUUUUUCACCAUCAACCAAACGAAGCACACGAACUAGGGGACCCGAAACCUUUAAGCAAAACACAAUAGUGUUCCAAAAUGAAGGCAUUAGAACUAUGUUGGCUAUAGUUUUCCCCUUCUACUCUUUUGCCCAUUUACUAUCUAACCAAUCUGAGCUUGUAAACAUCUUCCUCAAAUUGUUUUUUUGUUCAUGCAAUCGCGAUAAUGUGAUGAAAGCAGUUGCAAACCGAGUCUUAGCAGGCCUAAGCAAUUCCCUUUGUCCAGUAAACCGCCUCAUCAUGUUGAGUAGCCCUGAGCGAUUAUAAAUAUACCGAUUUAGUGAUAUAGCCCUCUCCAAUGUCCUCUUGAUGUUUGGUAGCUUUCCAAUAUCUUCCAACAUCAAGUCAAGGCAAUGUGCAGCACAUGGUGUCCACUACAAAUGUGGACGCUUUAAUUCUAACAACCUCCCUAUAUGAAAUUGUAGAUAAUAAAUUUACAUAAGUUCUCAAGAUAAAUAAUUCAAAUUUUAAAAGUAAAUAAAAAUUCAAGAAAUAGUAUUUAUUACUUGCUAUCACAUAACUUGAGUGAUUAUCUGUUAUAACUUGAAUAACAUUCUCUUCACCAACUUGCUCUACCCAUUUGUCAAGUAAUUCAAACAUCUUUUCUCCCGUCUUAAUCAUUGAAGAAGCAUCAAUGGAUUGCAUGAACAUGGUUCCCUUUGAACAAUUAACCAAAAAGUUCACCAAAGUUCUCUCUUUCCUAUCGGUCCAUCCAUCCGACAUAAUUGAACAUCCAUUUUUCCCCCAUUCCACCAUAUGAUCUUUCAUCAAAUCUUUUGUGAGAGCCAAUUCUUUCUUAAGGUUAGUAACUCUUACCUCAUGAAAAGUUGGUCCCUUCAUACCCACACCAUAUUGGCCAAUAGUCUCAAUCAUUGGUUGGAAACUCGGAUAUGUGACUGCAUUAAAUGGAAUAGCAGCCUCAUACAUCCAUCUUGUGAUAAGCGUGCAAGCUCUUUCUCUUGCUUCCUUUUUGUAGGCAUCAUUGAUGGUAGUUUGAUUCAUCUUUCCACUCCUUUGAUUUUGAACAACCAUCUCUGCAUUAGGAGUGAAAAAAUGAUCCAUAGGACCUUUUUGUCUUGGUUUUUUUGAAGAAAACGUCCUACCACUACUUCCUCCUCGGUUACUACCUCCACUAGAAAUGUUGGUGACAUUCGUUCUACUAUUAAUCUCCUCACCAAUAUCUUCAUCUUCCAAACCAAACAAAUCUUCAUUAACAUAUUCGCUCCCCAUAUUCAUUUGCUCUUUUUGAUUUUUCUUGGAACUCAUAUACUCUUCCAUUUCUUCUCUAACAUGUUCCGGACAUUUUCUAAACUUUUUAGCAUUUCUAUAUCCACCAACAAGAUGUUGUUUGUGUCUAUAGAUGCCUCCUUUGGUUACUUUCUCACAAAAAAUGCAUAUGAUGGUGUUCAAAUCUUUUUCAUUAACCAAACGACCAUAUUUCCACCCCGGAUCUCUUCUUCCACUUGCACUAGAGUCCACUUGAGUUUCACUCUCAUUAUCCAUCUUGCAAACAAAUUAUCUAUACUCCACAAUAAAAUAAUUAUAAUUAAAUUAAGAAAAAAAAUUGAAAAAAAAAUGCAUAUCACAUUAUCAAAUAUCACAUUAACAACAAAUAUGCAUGAGUGCUUUUUAUUUAUUUAUUUUUAUUUUGUAAAAUUUUCAUGUCAAAAACUCAAAAUAUAAUAUUUAUUUUUAAAAAAAAAAAAUUACCAAUGAGAGUUAUGAGGUAAGAAUGGAAAAAAAUGCAGAAAAGUGAAGAAAAAAGAAAAAUACCGAGGUUCGGAAGGUACGUGACUAUUUCCCCUAUUUUUCUUCUUCUUUUUCUUCUUCUUCUUCACUUCUCCAGCACAGAAGAGGCUAAGGCAAAAAAUGGCAGUGGUCUCGGGUUGAGAAAGACCAGAAAAGGGGGCUGGAUGGAAGGAACAAGUCAAAACGGCGUCGUUUUGGUCCCUGUUCACUUAAAUGAACAGGCUCCAAAACGACGUCGUUUUGGGCCCAAAAAAAAAAAAAAAAAAAAAGCUAGGGCUGCGGGGCGUCUCUGCAACCCGACUGGAGGAGGAAGAAGAAGAAGAAGAAGAACAAGGAGAAGGAGAAGGAGGAGUGCGUACCUGGUCGGACCGUCGGAGGCGACUCGGGCGAUCGCCUCGCGCCUUGCUGGAGGCGAGCGCCUUGCGCGCCUAAGCGGCGCCUUCGUGAAGGGGCGUCGCCUCUCUUCAGGCGAGGCGCCGAGGGUGGCGUCGGGCCGCCCCGAGCCUAGGCGCGCCUUUCAGAACUAUGUUAUAUAUAUAUAUAUAUAUAUAUAUAUAUAUAUAUAUAUAUAUAUAUAUAUAUAUAUAUACUCCUCUUAACCUUGUACACGUAUUUUAAAGUCAUGAAGACCACUUGAGCAUAGGAUGGAUAAUAUCUAUACGGUUGGAUGCAGGUUGUUACAAUAAUUACUUUUGAUUUUCCUUUCAUAUGUUUAAUUGCAUAACAUUAUUAUAGCAAAAUAUUAAUCUAUCAUAAUGCAACGUCUUGUAAAGCUUAUGUUGGGUGUCAUGAUUUGAUCUCUUGUCAUUUUUAUUAUUCUGAUUCAACAUCAUCUUAGCUUAUAAUCAUUUAUACACUUGAUGCAUGAGAAAUGAAGAUGCUAUAAAUUGUAGGAUCUUUUUCUCCAAUUUGUUCCUUGAUAUUUUAUAAUGCCAUGAAAUGUCUAUAUUUUGAUGCAGAAAGCCGUUCACACUCCAUCUCUCUCACUAGUUUUGCAGAACCAUUGCCACUAAGCACAUGCAGGCGUCAGAUGUGCGGCCACUUCCAGUGUUGGAAGAGACUUUGAACUACCUAUUAAACCUGUUGGAUGCCACAGAACAUCCUUUUGAAGUGGUUCAUGAUUUCGUCUUUGAUAGGACAAGAUCAAUAAGACAAGAUCUUAGCAUGCAGAAUAUCAUUAAUGAUCAAACAAUUCAUAUGUUUGAAGAAAUGGUAUGAAUUUCUUGAAACAUAAUCUCAAUUACCUUUUUUUCUGAGCAUUCAUCUCCUCAACAUACAAUAAGUUAGCCAACCCAUUGCUAAACACUCUCCUAGUUGGAGAAAAUAAUCAAAGUAUACAAGAGAUAAAAUGUUGAAUAAUUGAGUCAUUAUCCUCUCUUUUUGCUUUAUUGAAUAAGAUAAUUUAUUCGAUGGAGUCCAAAUGAGGUGAAACUGUGAUCACACAACUUGAAGCCUACUUUACAAUGGAUAAAUGAAUGGUCUGAUUUUGAAUCUUUCUUGGCACAUUAGUUAUUAUCCAAUCCAUUCUAAUUAAAUUAUCCACUAUUAAGUGUCUAUUUCCAGUCACCCUCUAAGUUAUGAAAGACCCAUAGAACCAAAGCAACUCACACCACCUGUGAUAGGAAUUGGUGCUCUCUUCCAUAAUGUCAAGUUUUCCAGUACACUUGCUGACUUUGUAGAAUAUGCCUACAAAAAGGGCUGCCACCUCCUAAUUCCCAAUCAUAGAAGUUUCUUAACCAUAUUUCAAAAGUUGUAUUUCCUGUUCCCUCUCUUAAAGUUUUUUAAACCUAUAUAUCUUUAUCCUAGUAAUUCGGAAAAAUGAGGAAAUUAUUUAACAAGAACUCCAUCAAUUUGUUCCUCAAAAUUUUAUAUAGUUUCUCUCUCUCACUUUUGAUUCAAAUUCUUGAAGCAAAGGAACAAAUUCAUGGCCAGUAACAUUUUUAGCCAAGCAAUAGAAUGCACGACAAGCAUGUAUAUGAAUGAAUUGUGUUUUUUAAUGAUAAUAGAUCAGAUAUUUUAAUCUCAUCCUAAAACCUUUGAGUUAACUAAAAGCCGCAUCUUAUGUUCUGACUUGUGGUUUGUUUCAUAAUAUAGGUGAAAUUUCAUAUUAUAUCCCACCACAAGCUUCACAGUUGUAGCAGCAAGCCAAGUUUUUCUUCAGUUCAUUACCUCAAUAUGGAGCAGCUGAAAAAGUGUCUAAUAUCUCUAUAUGCUCUAUACAAAGAAAAUCGAAAUUCAAAUUCUAUUUACAAGAAUGAACCUGAGUUCUACUCAUUUCACGUUCUUCUUCAUCUUGGCUCUAACAACCAACCAUUGGUGGAUACUUGCUUCCGUUGUUUGUUUGAGUUCAUCUUUUUCAGUAUCUCUUGCUGCCUUGUACUGGUUUCUGAAUAUGUUACUAUUUCUGUUUUGAAGGGAGAGUCACUCUCUUUGUGGUUGGGUCGUGUACCUUCUCUCAUUUUAAAGUCAAAGGAAAUGUGUUUUGCUCGGAGACUUUUAAGGUGACCGUAAAGCUAUUAUAGAUUCGACUUGCAUUUAAAUUGUUUAUAUUCAUUUUACAUUUAACUCAAUGUAGAGUGGUUCUGUUUUCCAAUCGAUUUUUUUCUCUUCUUUUAGUACCCAAUGUUAAAAAUUUUGUUUUCAUGAACUGAAAGAUCUGUCUUUUCUUGUAACAGAUUAUUUCGGAUGGGCAAUUAUAAGCGUUUCCUUUGUACUACAGCAACUGAGGCAUCUUAUUUACAGUACUACAUAAUUGAACCUUACAUCAAUGAGGUUGCUUAAAUAUGUUGAUUUUGCUAGAUUUUUCAGUUUGAAAAAUAUAUGCUUCUUUGUUCAUUUAUUGUUUUCCAAUUUCAUUUAUGAGAAUAUAUCUAAAAUCUAGACUCGAGUACUUGUGCUUUUGGGUUUUAUUUUUCUUUCAUUUUUGUUAGUAGUUGUACUUCAUUAUUCUUAAAUUUCUCACAGUUGUUUCUUUAUGUGGUUUAUUGCUCCUCACUUUCUUCAUUCAUCUGAAGUGUUCAAAUUCAAUUUGCUUGUUUCAUAAACCAGGUCUUAUUUAGAAGUUCUUCUCAAUUGCCUUUUUUAGUGCUUUUAAAGGACAUGCCUGAUUUAUAUAUAUUUUUGUUGGUUUUCUUUUGACCGUAAAAGGUUCGAGCAUUGGCAUUGUCAUGUGUAAAUUAUUGUGGCUACAAACUUCAUCCGUAUCCAAUUGCACACUUGUCCAAACUCUUGAUGAUGAAGGUAUGAUUGCAUUUACUAGCAUUAAAUUGCUAAAAUUUGUCAUCCAAAGUUCCAAUAUCUUUUGAACCUUGAAGGCUUCAUUUGCAUUUUUGUAGGAAUUAGAUGUGGAAUCAUUUUGCAAUGCUUGUGGUCUUGAGACCAGCACUGAUGAACGGGGAAAUAAGUUCUUAUCAACCAAGCAAACAAACUUCCAUUAUCCCAAGGAAGUCUUUCCAAGCUAUUGCCUUCUGGGUUUGGAACACUUUUAGAGGUAACAAUCAAUUGGAACUAGUUACUCUUUCAAACUUCUUAUUGUACAAAUAUAACCUGCAUGUGCAACCAUUUCUGAUCCCAUAAUUUCAAGAAUUUAUGACACCUUCUAGUGGUUAGUUUUUCUGGGAAUAGAGUAAAGCAAUCUAUUCACUCCCAGAAACUAUCGUCAAAGGAACAGUAGAUAACCCCGCAAGACCAAAUUUAUGUGUGUGCAUGGAGAUGCAUGUUUUCUGCAUCCCAAUCAUGCAGUGUUGUGCCAAAUGGAAUAAUAGCAGCUGAUGAUAAGUGGUAUUUCUAAAAUCUUCUAAGAGUAUUCCAUCUAUUGUAAUAUUGUUUUCUCAAAAUUGUCUUUGAGUCUUAUAUGUAAAUAUUAGACUUGACCUCUUGUAAGCUAUCAACUGAUGUUGUAACUUAACUUGAAAGGGAAAUUCUAUAAAUUUAGCCUUGGUUUGGCUGUUGGAAAGCAAAGAAAAAUUAGGUUAAUAGUGAGUUGAUUUCUUCCCUUCCCAUGGAUGUAAGCACAUUCUUGAAUCAUGUUAAUUACUUUUUGGUUUAUUUUGUUGUUUUGUUGUUUUGUUGUUUAUUGUUCAAUUGUCUCCGCAUAACAAGUGGUAUCAGAGUUGUUUCCAACACAACAGAUGAUUCCUGUGCUAACACAAAGUUUGAGGCUAAACGUAAGAUGGUAAAAGUUUCUAGAAUAUUUCCCUAUGACAACUGCCAAUAAAGGAUGUACUUAACAGAAAGUUCAUAAGGUGUUACAUGGCAAGUUGAACAAAACCAAUAGCUAGAGAUAUCUGAAAUAUUUGGGGCCACUGAUCCAACAAUAGCAGAGAAUAACACAAGAAGAGACCCUCUAAUCACCAUUUUUUCUUUGAUUCUUCUCUACAAAGCAUCAUCUUCUUUAUACAAAAAGACAACCCAUUGCUGAGCCCACAUUAUUCUCUACAUAUCCCAAAAAAGCCCUCUAAAUUUUAGGGCAUGGUGCUCUUUUUAGGGGUAUUUUGGUACUAAAUUUGUGGUAGUCUCUCAAAUACCUAAACUACCCUCCAGAUUUUAAGGCAUGGCCCACUCUUUGAGGUGGUAUUUUGGGUACUAAUUUUUGUUAGGAGAGGUUUUGGUGUGGAAACUGGAGGGCUUUACACACGUUGCAUGUAUUUUCUUUUGCAUGCAUUACACAUAGAUUGGAGUUUAUGCAGUUACUCACUUUUUGUUCGUCCAACAAUACUAUAGUGCCACGUCACCAUAUGAUGGGCUCUUUAGUCUUUUCAAACCCAAAAAAAAACACUAAAAAAAAAAAAAACUAAUACUAAAAGGAUUGCUAACUAGCUAUGUGAAGAUGAACCUCUAUAGCUAGCUUCUUAGAGGGACCAUAAUCGCUUAGGCCAGGGAAGUUUGAGGUGAUAAUAUGUCUGUGAUGCCCUUAGAUGUUUUAGGCACAUGUGCGUUACAUUAAUGUAUUCAAUGAGUCUAUAACCUUGAUUGACAGGUCCGAGUAAUCUUUGAAAUUUCAUUGUGGUGGGAAGGUUCCAUGUGAACAACACUUGCACAUGGGUUAGUUAAUCUUAAGAGACGGGGGAAGCUCAUCUAACAGCACACAAUGUGCGAGCUUUGAAAGGCAAUCGGGUUAACAUUUCUGAAUUGGGACAUGACAGCGGACAACAACAUUAGGUAGUCCAAAGAUGUCGUCAUAUUAAUUGUUAUCAAUAUUUUUAUUUAUUCAAUAGAGAUUGAGGAUUAAAAAAAUACCACAAAAAUUAGAAAAAACAAAAUUAAUUACAUGGCUUACAUUUCAAAUAUUUAAUAAAAUAUUGUAUGAAAGUUGAAUAUCAUACACUAUUAAAUGGUUGGAUUCUCUUCUUUAAUUUUUUUAAUUGUCUCAUCCUAUUAAAUUACUCAUCUAAUAUUAAUUUAUUUUAAAGGUGAAAUUAAUUAUAUUGUAAAAAACUUUUAACUGACCAGAGUUUGUGCACAACAUCUAAUAUAUACUUAAAUAUAAUCCUCCAACUAAGAAAUGAAAUCAAAACUUAAAAAUCAUUUAUAUAUAUAGAUAUAUGUUAUCAAGUUUAGGUAGUGAAGCAAUUAAUGUGGAUAUAAAAUUAAUGCCAAAACUUUUGAUUGUUCCUUCACAUUCUCCACAACCAAACAAAGGAUAUAAGAAAAAUAAAGAAAGAAAUUUAGGGUAGUUUGAUUUUUGUUCUCAUCUUGUUGUGAAGUUAAUAGAGGAAUGCUUGGGUUGGUGCUCAAUAGUUAAGUGACAGCAGGGUAUAAUGAUUCUUCCAAUCGUGUAAAUAUUAUUUGUUUUAAUUUCAAUGGAUCAUCGUCACUUUAAAUUGCAUCCACAUGGUUAAGAGCAACUCAUAUGUAUAUAAUAUCAUGAAUUUCUUCUUAUUCGAUACGGAAUAUCAAAUUAGGUAUCUUUCAAUUUUAGGUAUUGUGUAAGUGUUUCAACUCAAAUGACUUGGCUUAAUGUAUACUCAAAGCCUUGACAAAGGAGCGUAUAUGUAAUAAAGUGAAAAUUAAACCUUGUCGCCCUUCUAUCUCUAGUACUCCAUUAUCCCUUAAACAUGUGCAAAAAAAGAUAUACACCUUUGAUACAUUAAUUAAAAUAAACGAUAGAAAAAGAGAUUUUAUAUAUCCAUGUACAUAAUUUGAUUAGAUUUGUUAUAUAUGAGAGAGAGAGAAAAAAAAAAAAACUGUUUAGAUUAAGGAUCUCAUUAAUUAAUACCUAGAAAAUAUAAAAGAAUAAAAAAAGAUUAGAAGGUGUGAAUCAGAAGAUAAGACUACAUUUUUUAAUUAGAUUCAUCGAAAGAUGGCAUAUUGUAUGAACAUUUUUACUCUACAUAUAAAAACUUAUAUUAUGGUUGAGAUGUAUUAAUUUGUCAUAUUUUUGGACAUUUAAAGUAAUGAGUAAUUACACUAAAUUAAAUUAUUGACCUUAUUAAUCAAUACCUCAAAAGUAUAAAAUAGUAAUAAAUGAAUAAGACAAACUUCAUCGAAAUAUUUUUAUGGGCACAUUACGUAAAUAUUCUUAUUUAAUAAAAGUUUAUAUGUCAUUAAAUGAAUAGAGAAUUUUAACAUUAAUUGCAGUGCUAAGUAGAGGAGAUCUCAUAUUUAAGCUGUUGAUUAAGGCUUAUUACUUAAUAAUUUAAGUUGACUUUAAGUUAGAUUAUAUUUAAGUUAUUUACGUAAAAUUUAUUAUUUAUUAUUUAAUAUUUACUUUAAGUAUUAAAGUUAUUUGAUAAAGUUAAUUUAAAAAUCAUUUUAAAUUAUCAAAUUGUCAUAUUUACCUUCAUUAAUUUGAUAACUAGAUGCAGAUAAAUGAAACAAAAAAAAAAUUGAGAUUAAGAAUAAGUUAAUUAAUUUGAUUUAACACUUAAAAGUAACUUUAAGAUAUAAUAUUAAGUUAUUUUAUCAAAUAUAUUUAAUCUAUUUAAUAAUUAAAUUAAGUUAUUAAGUUAAUGAAUGAUUACCAAACACCUUAUAAGACCCAAAAAAUCGAAUGAGUUUUAAUAGUUUCCAGGAUGGGCAUGACUAGGUGGUGGUUCAAUGCUGAUUAAUCAUAAUUCAAUCAAGGCAAAAUAUGUAACAAAUACAUGUCAAACUGCACCAUCCAAAUGGGCGCCAAGAACGUUACAUUUGACAAAUGCCAUUAAACCUCGACAGCUACCAAUUACUUGAAGCUCAUUAACUUCAUCUUAAUUUGAUCCAAAUUGCAGAAACAUGUGAAACUCCAUGAAUCUAUGGUGCUAUGGUGGCCUACAUUCAUAUAACUGGGGACACUUUGGUUUACACUACAAUGACCCCAAACAGGGUUUGUAGAGACUUUAUCAAGAUCACUAGCUUCAAAAGACUAAGGAAAGAAAGAUGUUCUCAAAACUUGGAGUCAAAUUGCAGAUAAAGACCUAAAACUCCCACUUAACGUGUUUGAGGAAUUGUUGUUUCAUGGGGAUAAGCUGUUUGGUUUGUACAUGUCUCCUUGGUGAUACUUAGAGUUCGGCGAAGUAUACGUAUCCUUUGUGAUCUGGUUUGUAUAUGGGCAGAUGAAUGUUGAUGCCAGGUUCAUAUAUGUUUCUGAUAUAUAUCACCCUGGAAGGAUCUAGAUCAAGGGGAUGAGUUUCAAAAGCUUGAGUAGGUUUAAGAUGUUCCGAGAAUUGGUGAGCAUGAUAUAUAUCAAUAUGAUAUUGCAGAAGACAACAGAGCUUCUGAAAUUAAUAUGUCAGGUUCAAUAGUGGGAAAUCUUAUCAGCUGUCACUUACUGUAAUCGUAUGCUCUCAAUAUUCAUUUGUUGAAGAAGAAAAAAAAAAUUGCUUUCACACUAUUCAAUUACAAGAGAAUGUUCAAUUAUAGAAGAAAAUAAUAUUCGCUAGUCUCUUUCAACUUAAUCAACAUGCAGAGAAAAGCAGUGAAUAAUAACUUACAUACAUUGUCUCUCUACCCCUACUUGUUACUCAUCAGCCAAGCUUAUGGUAAUAUAAGCUUGGGUUCAUCUCUCUAUGCCACUGAUGAAAACUCCACAUGGGCUUUGCCUUUCUGGUGAUUUUGCAUUUGGAUUCCGACCCUCUCCAAGUGAAGAGGACCUAUUCCUUCUUGCUAUCUGGACUGCAAAUGGAAGUUAACUGGUGCCAAGAGGAUCAAAAGUUUGGGCUUACCACCAAUGGACAGCUUGUUCUCUAGAGGCUAAGAUAUAUGGAAGACAAAGACUGGUAAUGUGAGCAGCGAACCAGUGCAUGGUGCCAUGCUUGGAGAUGGAAAUUGUAUACCAGUAUAUGGGAGAGCUUCAAGCACCCAACUAAUACCAUAUUGCCAAUCCAGGGAUUGGUGUUGGAGCCUACUGUGCAGUUGCUAUUUUUGAGGACCUGAGGUUUGCAAAUGGAACUGGAAGCUGUUGGAGGAAAAGACUACCUCUUUCAAAUGGGAGGUUGGAUCAAACUGCUGUUUCCAGAAGUGCUCUAAUCAAGAUAUUGAAGUCCAGUGAACUAACUUCAGGCAGAUGCAAGCAAAAUAAAGCAAUUCUAAUACUCUCAGUCCUCUUAGGCCCCUCUGCGUUCUUCUUCUUCGUUUCUCUAGCUGCAAUUUCACUAGUUUUCUACUGCUUGAACCUCAAAAAUCUGCAGCUUUAUCACAGAAUCCUGAGUACAAGCGAUGGUAGAAGCCUUUGGCACUGUCUAUAAAGGGAUAUUACCAUCAGGUUCUGGAAAUUCUGUUGCUGAAAAGUUGGAGAAGGUGGUGGGAGAAGAUGAGAAAGAAUUCAAAGCAGAAGUGAAUGUGAUGGGCCAAACUCACCAUAAGAAUCAAGGACACUUGCUGCGUUACUGUUGUGAGGGUGAACACUGACUACUGGUGUUUUUUUUUUAUGCACAAUGGCUCUUUAUCAAGCUUCCUUUCUGGAGGCGCCCGAAAGCCCUCAGAACACAACUCUUGGAUGAUUCUUUUACAGCCAAAGUUGCAAACUUGGACUGGGAAAGCUUCUGAUAAGCAACCAGACUAGAACACUCACAGGCAUCAGAGGGACUAUGGGGUAUAUUCAGACAACUCGGGCAGCCUAUGUCUCUUAUAAUAACACGUUAUGAAGCAUCAGCUCAAUGCUGGGGUUCAAUCUGCAAAGCAAGGGAUUCAUCAAUGUUUCCUUCAAACUAAAUAAUAAGGAACAGAAAUGGAUCAUUCUGCAUUUUCAGUGGUGUUUGUUAUAGCAUUUAUACAAGAACUCUAGGGGUUUCUAUGUAUAACUUCAUUCCCAUUUUGUAUAAUCCAAAUCUCUUCAAUCGAUUAAAUGUAUAAAUGAAUCCUAUUCAUUGUUUGGAGUAACAACAAAAUUCUGGAAGACUGGGAAAGUUUCAACACUGGAGAGAAAACAAAAUGACAAGACCAUAAAUUCUGGAAGAGGGCUUUGCUUUCUAACCAUUACCAUAAUUUUAGAGCUCAACCCGGAUGAGUAAAUUAUAUUUCAGAAUGUUCAGGAGAUAAUUCUAAAGUGAUGAACCUUCUACUCACAGUUUCUUGUUCUUCUUGAACAGAGCAAUGAACAUCAAUAGUUCAGCACCCAGGAAUCUCCCCUCUCCAAUUCCUCCACUGGGAAAAGUCACCUUUCCAGUUAAGAAAAUCUUCAGGAUUAAUUUGAGCAAAACAUCAGAGUAUACAUCAAGAAAGCCUUGAUCAAAAUCAAAAUACAUCAAGAGCUGCCAUUUUCUUCUAUUUCCUCUUCCUUGAAUGGAAUGCCUUUUGGACUGAGGUGAUCAAUGGUAACAGUCUAACACACUCCUUAAGCUUUGAUUGAGGUCAACGGGGAUUGGCACAUUUAAUGACUUUGAAAUCAUAGCUGUGUGAAGGGAGGCAAACAUGAAUCUCAGGAUAAUCAACAAGUCAACAACUAUCAAUCAGUAAGGAAAAGGAAAAGGAAAUACCUUUGGAUAUUUACAAAUAAAAAAUUUGAGAGAGUCCAGCUGCUCUGUACAGAAAGGCUUGAGCUUAUUCCAUGGCCAGGCUUUAGAUGGUUCUGAAUUACGGAUGAGAGGAUUGAGUUUUCUUUCAUUCUGCAAUAAGAUUAAAAACAUCAAUGAAACACUAAAAGUUUAUAUAUAGAAGCCCUUUAAAGAUGAGAAUUGGUAAGAGAGCUCACCCAUGGUCUAGUAAAACAACAUCUGUUAGAUAAGUAACCACCAUUCGAUUGUCCAGCUAAUGCAUUUAGACAGUCCAAAAUAGCUAAAGACAGUCCAAAAACUCAUUUGACUAAUAAUUUUCUAAAAGCAGUAACAUAAAACCUGGAUGAAGAAUCCACCCCUCUACCUGACACCACUUCAAUACCAAAUAAAAUGUUACGAUGACCAUUUAUAGUCUUAAGAGACAGUGGGUGUUGUUUGGGCUCAAGACCAUCAAAAUUGGCACAGAAACAAGUACAACAACUAUCUAAUAAAGAGAUUUAUGCAUGUAACAAAUGCAAAUGAAAUAUGAUACAAGAAGUUCAUAGAUUAAACAAAAAUAGAUGGCAAAAUAGAAGGAUAAGGUCACAGACAGGACAAUAUUAAAAGAAAUUAUUAUUUUUCCGACCUGAAAAUCGAGGCAUUUAGAACAGUACAAGUUUGUAAGUAGUCCAUGGAAACCAGGGAACUUAUGCAGAUGUUGUAUUCUAUUGCAUAAGGCAAACACUCAAUACUUACAAGCAUAAUCAUGCCCAGAAAGCCAUGAAUCCCUUUUUGUUUUGCUUUUUUACCUAUUCUCAUCUCUUAUUGCCAGAAGUGCCCAGGAUGAUACAACCUCACCAAAUAAGUUAGAAACCAGCCCAUUCAGCAGGUUGAGUAGCCAGCUUGCCCUCAAUCUUCUUUGAGUCAACAAACAGUUGGGCAUUAUUGCCUCCAAUGGAGGGUCUGGAAAUAUUAGAGCCGGCAGCAGGGGUGGCUGUAAAACUCUCUGUUCCAAAACCCCAAGUUUCAGGGCCAGAAGUUCCUUCUUUGGCUGGUUUGUUGUGAUGGCCAUUUCGGGUCCUACCAGACUUGCUAUUGUUGUCUGGGCACCUGCCUCAGAGAAAGCCUGCCAAAGAUUAGAGUCUGGGCCAGGGGAAACGGAUUUUCUUUGCUGGAGUUCCCAGUCUGUUGCUUCAAUCUUUUCUCUGUGCUGUUACGAGAAGAAAACCUAUCAGACACAUGAAUGGGUACAAAAAGGUAAACUUCAGGUUUUGGUUGUAUUGAAAAGCACAGGAAACUUCACAAGAGGCAAAUUAUACCCCAGACUUAUUGAAGAAAAAUGAAGUACAAUUGACUUACCCAAAUGUCUACUUCCUCAUUUAUAGAUUUCCUCCUAAACAAAUCCCCACAUCUAGGACAGGAAAAGGAAGAAGCUGGGAGUCAACAUUUUUUCAACCAAAUGUCAGCACUAACUUAUCAAAAAACAUAGUUUUCCAUUCAACCUCGGGAGCUGUACUUUCUGAUAUUGUCUUCUUAAAGUGCUUAUGAUUGGUGGAGGUGCUUCCAAAAUCACACAACUUCCAUGAUGCAUUAGGGCCCAAUAGAAGAUUCUCAGCAUUUAUAUAAGAACUUCAGGGCUUAUACGUAUGAUCAUGUUACAGUAUAAAUCAUAGUGAACUGGUGGAAUUUGAUUAUUAGCCAACCUCAUCAAAAACUGUUUCACAGUUGAGGGGAUUGUUAACCUUGCCAUGGGCCAAGCAGCAAUUUCUGGAGAAGCUGGGUGACAAAGAGUACCAUCAUUUGGACUAGUUUCAAUGGAAAUUCCUCUGUUUUUAUACAUGAUAUCUUCAGCUUCAGCUUUUCCUUUUGCUUUUGACAUGGCUGAAACUGAUCCUGAAAUAAAAAAUCCCACGCAAGUAGAUAUUUAACAGAAGAGGAUCCGAAUCUCUUCAAUUGAUUAAUGUAUAAAUGAAAUAAUCAAAAUUUUUAGAUAAUUAUAGGGAGAUGAACCUUGUACCUCUGAGUUUCUUAGUCUUCUUGAACAGAGCAAUGAGCAUCAAGUGUUGAGCACCCAGGAAUCUCCCUUCCUAUACAGGGAAAAUCUGAACAAUCUAUCUUUCUUCAUAUUCCACUUCCUUGCAAAAGUCAAAACAUGAAGAAAAUAUCAUCAAAAUUGAGACAAAAAUAAGUGCAUCAACUGUCUCAAGAAGAGAUUUAUGCCUAUUGCUUACCUUUUGCAGAAGUCCACUUGGUUAGAGCACAUUUUACAUGGACGCCCAAUCACUGCAAGCUGCUGAACCAAAGGAGAGUUCAAACAUCUAAAAAAUUUGACUAACUCAAGUAUCAUAAAAUACUUCACAUGAAUUCUAAAUGAUCUCAUAUCUAAAAAACAUUGGCAUAAAAUUAUUGUUGUUUACCUUACAUAUUUCUUCCAUGGUCAUAAUCGAAACUUUGUUUAUCAUAACAAAUCUUCUAUGCUCAUCCUGAUUACUAACAAUGAAAAUUGAAAUGAAAAGAAAAAAAAAACACAAAAAAUGAUGAUUAGUUUGGUUUGAUAAAUUUAGCACACACAAUUCCCUUUUUCUUGCCCGAAAAAGGAAAGAGUAAAAAAAAAAAAAAAAAAUUAAUAAUUUUUCAAAACUAGCAAUUAUAAAUCUAGUUUGGUUCUCAUAAAAUUUAUGGGAAAGCAGGGAAAAAAAAGUGUAAACUUUUUCUCUUGUUUGAUUGUUUAUGGGAAAAUUGAGGGAAAAACAAAUAUUUAUGAGGAAUCUAUUUAACACUUUUGAGGAACCAAAAAUGUUUUAGAUGUUGUCAAAUCGAUAAUUUAAAUGUAUUUAAUUCCAAUUAAAUGAGUUUAAUCAAACACAUGAAAUCGUGAAUAAAAUUAUUUAAAAGCAUUGAAAUUCAAGUCAUUAAAGUUGUCCAUAAAAUUUGGUAUAUUGAAGCAAGAAAAAAACAAAGCAAUUUGAAUGACUUGCUAAUAAAGCAGCUAACUAGAAUAUGCCCUAGAGUUGUUCUGUGCCUUGUAUAUAAGAAAUAAACAAAGAACACAAUAAAAAUAAAAAUAAAAACCAGAAAAUAAAAUACAAACAAACGAAAUAUCCAUGGUUCUUCGUUAUUUUUUUCUUAAUUUUUCAAUGGUUAUUUUUGCAAACCACCAAAUCAAAACAGAGCAUGAAAAUGUGUUCAAUAUUUAUUUCAGGCUUGAAGCUUCAAGAAAAAGAAAAUCUUAAAUCAAAUAAACAAGACUAGCGAAUGAAUUGGAACUUGAAAGAAAAGUUCAUGCGCAAAAGAAUUACCUGACUCUAUAUUGGCGGAGUGGCACUUUGAUUAAUAUAGCACACCAUUGAUCACUAUUUUUGGAACGUGAGCUAUAUAACGCCAUUCUUCCCCUUUCUCAAAUUGACACCGUUUUUCCAGUAAAGGACACCCAUCGAUGACCAGAAAAGAGAGAGAGUCUGGAAGUCUUUCUUUUGUCAAGUAUUUGAGCUUACGACAGUUCAUGAUCACCAAUGUUUUAAGAGAGGUGAGGUGUUGAAGACCCACUUUUGUCAAGGAUUGGAGCAUUCGGCAGUAUACGAUCUCCAAAUUUUCAAGAGAGGUGAGGUGUUGAAGACCCCCUUCUGUCAAGGAUUGGAGCAUUGGGCAGUGUUUGAUCUCCAAAUUUUCAAGAGAGGUGAGGUGUUGAAGAACCGAUCCUAUCAAGGAUUGGAGCCUUGGGCAGUAUAGGAUCCUCAAUAUUUGAAGAGAGGUGAGGUGUUGAAGAUCCGUUUCUGUCAAUGAUUGGAGCCUCAAGCAUCCAUAAAUUCCUAAUUCUUUUAGAGAGAUAAGGUGUUGAAGAACCGAUCCUGUCGGGAACUGGAGCUCUGGGCAGUUUCUGAUCUCUAAUUUUAGAAGAGAGGUGAGUUGUUGAAGACCCCUGCUGUCAAGAGACUUGAGAUCGGGAAAUGAUUCAAUUUGAAGAGAAGUCAGAGAAGAGGGCAGCAAACACUCCUUGGGAAAUAAUUCAAUGUCUUCACAUCCACCUUGGAUUCUUAAACGAGUAAGAGAGGUCAGCCUUUGCAAACCCCACUCCACCUGGGGCGUGAGUUGGUUGCACUUCUUAAUUUCAAGUAUACGUAGGUUGGAAGGCAAACCCUCUCUCUGAAACAACAAUUCUGGACAAUCACAUAAAUACAACUCCUGUACAGAUGACUGUGUGUGUGCCAACGACCUAAGGUUGAAGCACCUAUCAAUCAAACAAGACUCUAAGUUGAGAGCGUGCAAUUCGAUAGAUUCAAGAUCAGAGCAACCAAUUAGACGCAGGGAACAUAAAGAUGUGGGAUCACCCUCUGAAACCAAAAUGGAGAGCUUCUCAAGCCCCUUAAGACCAUCGAUUGUGAAAUCAGUCAACUUGGGGAAGAUGCCUAAUGAGAAGGAUAACGUGAGAGAAUCAUCGAUAACACCACCUUUGAUUUCUAGACUUUCAAGGACUGGGAGAUGGCAUCUGAACAACUCAGGUACGAGAAUCUCUAAUUUCGAGCACUCAGAGAUGAAUAGUGAUUUCAGUGUAGUGGGUAAACCAACUUUGUGCAGGGAUCUAGAAAAACUGCAAUCAUAGAUUUUCAGAUCAUGUAUGUUGGUUUGCGAGAUUUCCUCCUCUAGCAGAGACUCCGCAUUAUCACAUUCUCUAAUUGAGAGCUGGUGUGGUGCCAUUGGAAGUUGACUCCACUGAGACACAUCUAAAAUUUCAAUUUCUGAAGUUUGAAGAGCUGUGAAGUCACAACCUGCCAUUUGCAACUGCAGUUUACCGAAAUCCACCAUCCUCAACUGACGAAUUACAGGAACUGUGAGUGAAGCCAUAAGCAGUUGCGGACAUUCAUGAAUUUGAAGUUCCACCAAUGAAAGAAGCUGUUCUGGUAAUUUCCCAGUGAGUUUGGGACACCUUCGUAUAAAAAGCUUUUGGAGACGAGGGAAUUCUCCACAACAUAACCAUUUCUCCCAGUUCUGCAUAUCCUCAAAUGAUAGUGUUUCUAGGAAUUGAAAGGAAGCAUUCCCAUAGAACUCAUCACCCACACACUCUACUCCAUUCAUCCUUGAGAUUUGCAGAUAUUUAAGCUGGGUUAGCUGUCCAAGUGGUGGCAAUGUUGAGCAAUUGCCACAACCCCGAAGCUCAAGGGACACGAGAUUCAACACUGAAGGAUCUCCAAGCCAAUUUGGAAAUCCUUCACCAGGAUAGUUUGUGAUGGAGAGUUGUUUUAAAUUUGGGUGAGGUUGUAACUUGUUGAGUAUAUCAUGCGUUGUUGCACCACUUUGUGUAACACCAUUGGUACACUCGUCACCCCAAUCAAAGAUUAACUCAUCAAGAUAACUUUUAUCCUUCAUAUUAGCCCUUGAUGCAUCGUUAACACUCACUACAUUCUCCAUGUUUGAAAUAUAAAGUUUUCCUCGAAUCUCUGACAGCUCUCCCAAUUCUCCAAUUCUUAAUCCAUUGUUUUGGCCCACAAUAAAUUGAGUCAACCUUUGUAAACUUUUUAAUUGACCAAUUCCAUGACUUGACAUUUCUCUCAAUGAACCACAUCCAUGAAUAUCAAGAUAGCGCAAAUUAAUCAAUUUUCCCAUCUUUGAAGGCAAUUCAUUAAGUCUUGAACAUUUUAUUAGCAUCAUCGUUUGUAAAUUGUAUAAACAACAUACUGAUUCAGGUAAUUUUUUAAUCCUUGUAAAAGACAAAUCCAAGUGACGCAAAUGUUUCAAAUUGCCUAUUGAUAUAGGCAAAUCAGUUAUGUCAUAUGCACAUAAUGAUAACACGCGUAGACACCACAUUUUUGGUAAUAUAUCUUGCAAAACUCUUUUACUCAAAGUAUACCUAGGAUAGUCUUCCAUUGGCUUCACUCCUAAGAAUGUUCGAAGAGAUUUAGCUUUAGUCAUAGCCUCAAAAUUCUUAAAUGCUACCAAAUCGUUAUAAUCAUCACUAUUAAAGUACAAAAAGUGGUGAGCCUUCUCAGAUACUUUUGGUAAUUUAUCAUCAUCUUCCACUCGAGCACAAAAAUCUCCAGACACAUGUUGAGCCAAUUCAUGUAUUAGAUCAUGCAUUACAAAGCAUGAUCCUUUUCUUCCAAUAGAUUUUUGAAAGAAAGACUUGGCAAGAAGCUCAUCAAAAUAUGACUCACCGAUCUCUUCCAUUCUCCUUCCUUCGUUUUGUUGUGGAUGUAAAAGACCUUCUGCCAUCCAUAAUAAAAUCAGCUUCUCUUUGUAGAAUUGGUGGUCCUGGGGAAAAAUAGAACAAUAAGCAAAACAAUGCUUCAGAGGUAAAGAAAGAUGAUGGUAGCUUAAUAUCAAAGAUGGAAGAAUUUCGGAGCCACUCUGCGGAUGCCAUAUUUCACUUUUCAACACAUCGUCCCAUUCCCUUUUUUCGACCUUAGAAUACAAGAGACAGCCGAGUGCUUUCACAGCCAAAGGCAAUCCUUGGCACUUGUCCACAAUCUGUCUGCCUAUGCGUUCAAGCUCAAGGAAUGCGUUGGAGUCUCGAUCUUGAAAUGCAUGCUUUUUAAACAGGGACCAACUAUCUUCAGAGCUUAAUUUCCCAAGAUGAUGAGUAGGGACUGCUCGCAUGGUUGUUGCAACAGAUUGAUCACGACUGGUCACGACAAUCUUGCUUCCCUCUGCUGCAGCGAGGAGUGGAGUUCGUAGAAUAUUCCAACCUUCACGAUCACUAAGCUCCAUAUAACCUUCAUCACGAGGCUUCAAAUUCCAGACGUCAUCAAGAACAAGCAGAAAUUUCUUGUUACUAAGUUGCUCUUUGAGUUGAAGCUGAAGCAAAUUUAGGUUGUCAGCAGAAGUAGGUGGAGAACGAAUUUCCUCAAGAAUUGUUUUGGUGAGUUUGAUAAGGAGAAACUCAGUGGAAACACAGACCCAUGCUUGCAAGUCGAAGUGUUUCUUCACUUCCUCAUCGUUAUAGAGAAGCCGAGCAAGCGUGGUCUUGCCGCUGCCGCCCAUGCCCACCAUGGACAUCACCCCCAUUUUGUCGCCUGUUGUAUUGUCAGAAAGCAACCACUCCACCAUCUCCUUCUGAAUUUCAUCCCUGCCGACAACAAUGGAGUCAUCCUCCAAAGAAGUGGAUAUUGGUGAUCUUGGUCUUGGUGACCGUUUCUCGCCCCCACCUUCUGCCAGCCCCAACCCAACUUUUUCUAGUGCGAUUUUUUCCAGUAGAUCAAUCAUGCCCCUGACCCUGGACUCCAUGCUUUUGAUAGCAAAUGGAGUCUUCACAGAAGCAGAGAACUUGUUCCAUUUCCACGCCUUAAGAGUUCCGCCGGUUUGGGAGUCAGCAGCUUCCAUCUUGCAACGCAAAGCGUCGGUAGCGAUCUCGUCCAACAGGUCUUCCGCAUCAUACACAGCACCCGUGACAUGGACGAGCCACUCUUUGACAUUUGGGUUUGAAAAUUGCUUCACCUCCGCAUCAUCGAGCACAUUGAGAACAACCACGAGUUUCCUCUUCAACUCGUUGAGGAGUUCAUCGCUAAGGUUCCGUCGCCGAAUGAAGUUUAUGAGCUCUGGAGAAGCCAACCUUUCGAAUAGAACUUGAAGCGAAGCUGAGAGGAGGGCGUCCGCCAUAUCUGUGUCGACUGUUGCUUUGCAAUAGGAAUUUAGAGGAUUGGUUUCUG
rnacentral:lncRNA from 1 species